rnacentral:lncRNA from 1 species
CAGUGACAAUGGUCUUCCUGGGCCCAUCUCCGUACAUGUACACAUUAACAUGAUCUUUGGUGACGGUAAUGUACUCGCGGUAGAUUCCGGCCUUCACGUAGAUAACAUAUCUUCCUUUGAGGUUCUUGGGGUAGGCGGCGAGAGCUGCAGCAAUAGUCGUGAAAUGUCCGCUGCCAUCCUUGGCCACAAUAGCGUUAGGCGUAAGCCUGCCGUUGUCUUGUAAAGCCAAAAGCUUUCUGUCCGUGGCUGAGAACCAGGUGGGAUACCCAUCAUGGCCAAGUACUUCAAUUUCUCCGAGAAGCCUUCGGGAGUUGGGCUUGAGAUCCAGUGGGACAUUGAAUUUGGUGAGAAUUUGAGAAAGGUCGGACACAAUAGCUAGGGCGUUGCUGGUAAGUUGCGUGGCAUUGAGCAGACCUUUCUGCAUAGCGGCCUGAAACCGUGGUUCGAUGACUCCAUCAAGGCAUGUCUGUUGGUACGAAACAGCAGCACUCAACCAGUUCAUAAUCUCCGUUGAUAGUUGAUCCAAGGUCUGGAGAUCACUCUCACCCACAGACGAGAAUGAUUCCUGAAGCUCGUCAAUGGCAAACUGCAACAAGUCCUUACAGUCACCGAGGGCCAUUUGCGUCCUGGAGUCAUUAGUGGCUUGGAAGAGUUUCUCCGAAAGAUUCAUCGAGCUCUUAAUCUGUUUAAUGGUCACUUGCACAGCCGCCUGGAUGUAAUCCUUGGGCGUAGCACUGCUUCCAUUUUUGGGAACCGGACUGAGAGUUUGCAUACAAGCGUCCUUAUAAUCAGCAGUGGCACAAACGGAGGCAACAGCCUUCAUUGACGACGACAUGUUGGUGUCACCGUCAGUACGAUCGCUUCCAUGGGGGCGCGUUACACUGACAAUGCCGAUGAUCACACCCACCACAAGGAACAGAGAUAUCCCUGAAACUACUGCUUUUCCUAUCAUUUUGGUUCCCUUAUUUAUUCCCCUCUCCGCCAACUGGGGCUUUGCAACCGUACAGCCUCCUCCCCGACCAGGAGACGGAGAGAAAGAUUAAGGGGAAAGAGAGAAUUACCUCCCUUUUCGGGCACUUCUGGUGCGAGGCGACGAGGGCUGCAAGAUGCAUUAUAUUCAGCAUGGAGUUUCCAGGAUUAAAUAACCUAACAUUAUUUAAUUAUUAAUUUAUGUAACGUAUAAAUUAAGUUCUAUUUGAAUCUAACUUGAUAUUUUUAUUAUUUAAUUAAUCUAUUUACUCAAAAUUAAAAUUUAAUAUGAAUUAAAUCAAAAUCAAAUUAACAAGUAUAAUAUUAAGUAGUUCUAUUUAAAUCUUAUUUAUAUGUAAUGUUGUUUAUUAAAAAAACUGCACAUCUAGAUGGAAUUUGAUCCAAACAUACCAUUCUAUUUCAUCAAAACCCUUGAAAGAAAAGGUGUUAGUGUUCACGAAUUAUAUCAAAUUUUGUCAUCCCUGUUAUAUUUUUGGUCCAUUUUCAUUUUCAAUCAAUAGAAUACAUAAUUAUAAUUAUUAUUAAUUUUGAAAUGGAUAAUGAAAUUUGCACCACAUUUUCACAGGUUUUUUUUUUUUUUUCUUUUAAGAUCAAGGGGAACCAAAAUCAUAUUACAUUGCAGAGCAAAGAGGGACAAGAGGGAGGCCUACAGACCAAAAGUCAAGGAUUAAAGAAGAAACCAGUGGGUACUUCACAAUUGAAGGACAGUCUUCCCUCAAAAUGAGGCACCACUUGCUUAAUUCCCUCAAUAAGAUAGAACUCAGCUACACGCAUGAUGAUCCAGUCUGCAUGGCGCUCUCUCUUGAAUGUAUAUCCCCUCUCCUCGAGGCCAACAUGUCGAGCUUUAACGUUUGAGGCUUGGCAGAUAAGGGAUAUUAAUUUGUUUCAGCCAGAGGUUUCCCUGAAUGAAUGAGUUGACCGUGUACUGAAGAGCCUCGUUCCUGGUCUUGAUGAUCCUGUAACCCUUCCAUGUCACCCUGCUGCGGGUGUUUGCACCAGGGCCGCGGUUCCCAUACUCAGCGUAGAAGAGUGUGUUCAGGGCAAAGUCCCCAGCCCACGGCAUCCACCCGGCUGGUUGGAUGAAAUCUCCCAAGGUCGUCUCCAUUAUAAUCGUCUUUGAGUACGGCUUCCAUGGACGACCCAAGAAUGAAGGGAUCUUGAACCUGUCAGGGAACAGUUUUUGCUCUGGGACGAUUCUGCAAUUGUGGAUCACCAAUCCAGUGGUUUCACGCUUUUCAGCUUUUCCGUGUGCAGUCACUGUGUUUUGUUGGUUGUCCUUUGGCCUUCUUACUAUGAUCAAGGAGUUCUGGAUCACAGUCGUCGAGUCACCGAAGAUGAAGUCUAUGGUGCCCGAGAUGACACAAUUGCGGUAGAACUGGCGAUGGGCCUGGAUGUACAAGGUGUCUUGGUACCCGUCCAUUCUGCAGUUGAAGAUUGCUGACAUAUCUGAUUGGACGCGGAGAGCAACAGCCUGGUGCCCGUCAGGACCUGCGGUGUUGACGAAUCCCAUCGACCUCGCAACAAACCCCUUUCCAAUGGCCGCUGCAACCCAUAUUUACACACAUUAAAGCAUGGACAGUCAUUAGUCUUAACGCAAAAGAAAAGCAAUUAGGAGACUCACAGAAUGUGGCAGUCUUGUAAGUGGUGAUUCCGUCGCGGUAGCUUUUGGUUCCAGUGACAAUGGUCUUCCUGGGCCCAUCUCCGUACAUGUACACAUUAACCUGAUCUUUGGUGACGGUAAUGUACUCGCGGUAGAUUCCGGCCUUCACGUAGAUAACAUAUCUUCCUUUGAGGUUCUUGGGGUAGGCGGCGAGAGCUGCAGCAAUAGUCGUGAAAUGUCCGCUGCCAUCUUUGGCCACAAUAGCGUUAGGAGUUAGCCUGCCGUUGUCAUGUAAAGCCAAAAGCUUUCUGUCCGUGGCUGAGAACCAGGUGGGAUACCCAUCAUGGCCAAGUACGUCAAUUUCUCCGAGAAGCCUUCUGGAGUUGGGCUUGAGAUCCAGUGAGACAUUGAAUUUGGUGAGAAUUUGAGAAAUGUCGGACACAAUAGCUAGGGCGUUGCUGGUAAGUUGCGUGGCAUUGAGGAGACCUUUCUGCAUAGCGGUCUGAAACCGUGGUUCGAUGACUCCAUCAAGGCAUGUCUGUUGGUACGAAACAACAGCACUCAACCAAUUCAUAAUCUCCGUUGAUAGUUGAUCCAAGGUCUGGAGAUCACUCUCACCCACAGACGAGAAUGAUUCCUGAAGCUCGUCAAUGGCAAACUGCAACAAGUCCUUACAGUCACCGAGGGCCAUUUGCGUCCUGGAGUCAUUAGUGGCUUGGACGAGUUUCUCCGAAAGAUUCAUCGAGCUCUUAAUCUCUUUCAUGGUCACUUGCACAGCCGCCUGGAUGUAAUCCUUGGGCGUAGCACUGCCAUUUUUGGCAACCGGACUGAGAGUUUGCAUACAAGCGUCCUUAUAAUCAGCAGUGGCACAAACGGAGGCCACAGCCUUCAUUGACGACGACAUGUUGGUGUUACCGUCAUUACGAUCGCUUCCAUGGGGGCGCGUUACACUGACAAUGCCGAUGAUCACACCCACCACAAGGAUCAGAGAUAUCCCUGAAACUACUGCUUUUCCUAUCAUUUUGGUUCCCUUAUUUAUUCCCCUCUCCGCCAACUGGGGCUUUGCAACCAUACAGCCUCCUCCCCGACCAGGAGACGGAGAGAAAGAUUAAGGGGAAAGAGAGAAUUUCCUCCCUUUUCCGCCACUUCUGGUGCUAGGAGACGAGGGCUGCAAGAUGCUUUAUAUUCAGCAUGGAGUUUCCAGAAUUAGGGUGUUUGCAUGAAAUGGACGUUAAGCUUCUGUGGUUGCGCGGCCUUCGAGUAGAGACAAUGAGAGGUAGACACAAAGACUAAACCGUCAAAGCAAAAAUAUCCAACAUUCAUCUCUUAAUUACAAAACUACCCUUUUCCAUUUUCUACCUCAGUGGAGUCGCUCCUCAGAAUUUCUGGUUCUCACCCGAAGAUAUUUCUAAUUAAAAAUAAUUCUAAUAAUUAAAAGCUGAACUUGCGGGAACGAGUUCAGGACAUCUCAGCGAUGCGGGGUGAUGAGGCGAGGUUGUUGCUAGGGUUUCCUCCUACUUCUCGCGUAACUUUAUCUCAGGUACUCACCAUCCAAUCACUCUCCCUAUAAUGAUCGAUUAUUCAAUCGCUGUAUUAGAUUGAUUCCCUUGGUCAUCAACUCGUUGGUUUCUUCUUCACUUUCUUUGAAUGAUUGGUGUAUGGCGUGUGUUUAGUUGCCGAGACCUGGAUUUGAUUUGGAAUUAUGAUUUCAUGGAAUUUAAAAGUUUUUGUUUUCUCACGGAGGAUUUCUUUGUUUGUGCGGUGCUGGGAUCUGUGAAUUUAAAUUUUCAGUUCCAAAUCCAUUCGUAUGCGAAGCAACCAAACUCUGCAGCCACAAUUGGGUUUUAAAUUCCAUUUCCACCAACCAAACACCUCAUUAGUGCCUUGACUUAUAGUUUCAUUUCCGCAUAUGCAAGGAGACAGGCCUGAGUUUAACAGAAUCUCUGGUCUCAUGGUUAUCAUCUUGACUUAUAGUUUUUGUAUGUAAUAUAAGUCCUAUGGUGAUGAUUGAGUGUAGAUUAAAGCAGCUUACAAAAGCAAGGCAUGGGAGUACCAUCCUGAUCGCGUUCCAGUUCAGGAAAAACCUGGUGCAGAGUCUAAGUUCAAAUUGGUAAGCAUCUAAGAUCCUAAGCAGCUCAAGAUUUCUAUAAUUCUUUAGAAUAAGCCUCCAUGGGCUGCUCAUUUGGCAGACACUCCUACUCAAGAAUGUAUGGUUCUUGGGGAGGGGGUGUUUAUUCUUUGGUUUUCCCUGGAUCUAGCUAAAGCAGGUCCAGUGGAUUUCUGUGUUGUAAAAGAAAAAAGUUUCUAUAAUUUUUGGUCAUUCAUCAAAAAACUUUAUAUAUAAUUUAAAAGAGUUGCAUAUGUGCAGAAAAAUUUCCUUUUUGUGACAUCUUAUUAGUUUUAAAAGCAAACCGAUUUAUAGAAAGUUGUAUUUUUAAUGCCCGUAAUUGGCUUUAAUCAGCAAGUGACAUGAUACUCAGUACUGAUUCAUUGAGUACUUGAUUAAAUUGUGCUUCUGAUCACACUUACUUUUUAGUAUAUUUAUCUAUUUCUAAUUGACUGGUUACCAAGUAAAAGGUGUAUAGAUUCACUAGAUUGAUGGUAAAGUUUAAUCUUCUAGAAUGAAGGAAAAGCACAUCCCUGAUUGGUAAUCAGUUUGUGCCUGCAAAAGAAGACUUCUUGUUCAACAUCUAUACUGCAGUUUUUCUAUUUGAGGAUGAGUGAAAUUUUUUUGACUUAGGCAGAACCCUUUUUCUUGGCCUACAUCACCUUUACCAUCUAUUAACGGUAUGCAAUGCUGAACCUCAUAUGGUUGUCUCUGGCCUCUGUUUGACAGUAAAGAAUCUAAAUGACUUGGCGACACAAAUCGUUAUUACAACAUAGAGAUCACUGUUGUCCCCCUUGAUUUGGUUUGAAAGAUAUCUGAAAGGAUAGUUUCUACCAUAUAAUCAGUGUCUCUGCUGUUUUAGUUUGAAAGAUAUCUGAAUGUAUAGUUUCUAACAUAUUAUCAUAUUAAAUCUUGCAACAUCUGAAUUAUGUACUUUUUCCACAUAAUAUUUAAUACCAUUGGCAAUCAUUGGUCCAAUCUGACCUUAAUCAGUGCAUUUGCUGCAGAUUUCAGAAGCCUACAAUUUUCUGCUGGAUGGUAAUUCUUGUCUUCAUAUUGUUUAUGAAAGAUCAAAUGCAUAUUCUAAAGAAUCAUGGUUUGCAAACUUCCAAAUGGACUGGAAAAAUAACAGAAUGAAUUUGUCAGUCUGAAGUCAUAUGCUUGUGACAUUGCAUUUAAUUGGUUUACCCAGGGGUAAACAUGUAAAAUUUUGGUAGAUGCGAACUGUCUUUACCAAGCCAGUUUAAGCUGUUUCUCUUCCAGGUGGAUAUGAUCUCAAUUUUGUGAACUGUUGUUAUGUUAGUUGAUUUGAUUUAUUUUUAUUUUCUGGAAUUUUUAAUGUUUUUCUGAAAACUUAUUUUUCUAUAUAUAUAUAUAUAUAUAUUUUCCUUUUAAAAUUUGGAUUCACCAUUUAUUGUAGUUCUAGUAAAUAGUUCAGGUUUCCUCAAUGUAUCUAUUCAAGGUUUUUGAAGAGGAAAUAUAUGCCAGCUUCAUUCUUAAUGGGGAACGCAGCAGGAGGUUUACAAUUGUAAAAGGAUUUCCAGCAUGUCAAACAGACACACAAAUUGUACAACUGUAAUUCUUCUUUUCCUUCCUGUCUGGUGGACUGUUUUUACUUUUUAUAUUUGAGAAUUAUUGGGAAAUUUUCUUUUGAUUUGUUGGGUGCAGAGUUGCAUGCCUAGUUUUUCAUUUGUUUGAGUUGGAGAUUUUUUUCCUUUUUUUUUUUUUUAUAAAAUUUGUUUGAGUUGGAGGUUCAAAUUCAGAAUAUUAAAAAACCUUAUUUUGUUCCCCAUUUUGAAAUUCCAUUGAAUUGUGGCAUGGUUUUAUGAAAAUUCUUGGUAUUUCUCAAGAGUUUGGAAGAAUUCCUGACACUUUUAUUGACUUUGUGCAAUUUGGAAAGUUAGAAUUUGUGGGAUUACCGGUGAUCUAUAACUGAAUAUUUGUUAUCAUGACAUCAUAACCUUCGUUCUUAUAGGUCUCAGAUAAUGGCUGUAUAUGUUUAGUCCCUCAUUUAUUAAACUUAUAUGCAAUAGAAGGCUGCAUGUUUGAUGGAUUAUUGAGUUAAAAGCUUAAGUUUUUGAUGGAAGUGUUAGUUAAAUAUGGUAUUAGAGUUCUAGCUCCUAGGGAUCUUUGAUUCAUAUCUUUCUGUUUGUUCCCUUGUUUUGUUUGUUUAUGAUUGGUUAUCAAUCUAUCUACAUAUAUAUAUAUAUAUAUAUAUAUAUAUUGGAACUGAUGUGAAGAGGGUGUGAAAUUGAUAUGCAUUGUUGGUCUGUUCCCUAAAAGCCAAAAGUUUUUAGGGCGAGUAGUAGUUUAGUAUGGUACCAAAACUCUAGUUCCUAGAAGUCAGGUUGGGCCUAACAAUGCAUAUCAAGCUGAUAGCUCUUUUGACAUGCAGCCUCAAAUCACACAUGAAGAGACUAAAUAACCAAUCACAGACACAGUGAACUCAAGACCUCUAGAAAGUGUUUGUCAAACUAUUUGAUUUUUUGUGUGUUGUUUUUUUUUUUACAUCUGCUUAUUCCUUUCUAUCUUAUAUUUGGAGUUUUAGUUAUGAUGUGGAGGAAAGCAUGUAAAAGAAAUAAUGUGGAGGACUAUGUCAAGAGUUGCACUUUGUGUUUUUAAUUAUCUGCACCUGAAAUACCCUCAUACAUAAUUGGGAGACUGGAGGGACAAAAUGUUUUUGUUUAACAUUUUUUUGUUGAAAUUUUAGGUCUUGUUUGUUUAGUCUGUUUUUUGUUUUCAUUUUCAAAGAAAACAUAAAUUAGGUUGAAAAAUGUGUUGGGAUGGUAUUUUUCCUUUUUUAUUUUCUAAAAAACUGUAUUCAAAAAAUGGAAAAAGUGAGCAAUCUGAAUAUGAACAGGCAUCUUCAAAUUUCCACUAAUUGAUUAUAAUGGCAAGGGAGAAGCACCUGUUGGUUUUAAACAUAAAGGAAAGGCAAUAAUGGGUGAUAAGAACCUAGUUACAAGAUUUGCCCCUCUUCGAUCAUUAGGUUAUGUAGAUCCUGGAUGGUAACAUUGUGUUGCUCAAGAUGAAAGGAAGAAAAGGGUAAAAUGCAAUUGUUGUGAAAAAAUAAUGAGUUGAAGCAUAAACUGGUUUAAACAACAUCUGGCUAGGAUCCCUGGAGAAGUUGCAGAUUUUAUGAAAGUACCUCAAGAAGUGUAUCUUAAAAUCAAGGAGAACAUGAAAUGGCAUCAUAUUGGCAGAAGACGUUGGAAAUCUGAGACUAUGGAGAUAGCUGCCUUCUAUAUGCACUCCGAUAACAAGGAUGGAGAAGAACAGCACAGGGAGGAUCUAUUGUGAUGCAUAAGCAAGGACAAGCUGACAGUUGGUGAUAAAAGUUCUGAUAAUGACAUUAGAAAUAAGAUUAAGGGGAGGUCCCCUGGUAGCAGUAGCAGUGGUGCUGAAACCCAAUUGAUUAGAUCAAGAUUGGAUUCUUUUGUUCUGAAUAUGCUAAAAGGUCAAACAUCACCAGAUUACAAGCAAGUAAAUUCAAAUAUUGGUUUUGAUAAGGUUUCUCAUAAGGAAGUGAUAUCUGCUAUAUCUGCAAAUUCUUUUAUCAUGCAGGAAUCUCUCGAAAUGCAGCAAAUUCCAUGUACUUCCAUAAGAUGCUAGAAUUAGUUGGCCAAUAUGGGUGAAGUUUAAUAGGCCCUUCACGGUGAUUGAUAUCGGGUAGAUUUCUUCAGGAUUAGAUUUUAACCAUUGCAGACAAUUUGGUGGAGCUUAAGGCAUCUUGGGCUAUUACAGGUUGUUCCAUCAUGGCUGAUUGUUGGAAAGAUGUGCAGAGUGGGACAUUAAUCAACUUUGUGGUUUCUUGCCCUCGUGGUGUGUAUUUUGUUUCUUCAGUUGAUGCCACUGAUAUGAUAGAAGAUGCUCUAAACCUUUUUAAGUUAUUGGACAAUGUGGUGGUAGAAAUUGUUGAGGAGAAUGUUCUUCAGGUAAUUAACUGGACCCCAUGUGCUGUCCAUUGUAUUGCUUGAAUGCUUGUGGGCAUGUUUGUAUAAAUGGGUGAGGGAAUCCUUGGAUAAAGCCAAAAAAAUUACUAAAGUUCAUAUGAAGAGAGAAUACAUAGAGGAACGAGAACUUAUUAAGCCGGCUGUGACUAAGUUUGCCACUAGGUUUUUCACAGUUCAAGGCUUGUUGGACCACAAGAUUGGUCUUAAGAGAAUGUUCCAAUCAAACAAAUGGCUUUGUUCUUGAUUUCCCAAAUCAGAUGACUGUAAAGAAGUGGAAAAAAUUGUCUUAAAUAUCACAUUUUGGAAGCAGUAUUUGAAGAAAUCUUUGGAACCACUUAUCCAAUUUCUUCAAAAAAAGGACAGUGAUGAAAGUCAGUCAAUACCAUCUCUAUAUAGUGAUAUGUAUAGAGCAAAGCUUGCUAUCAAAUCUGUUCAUGGUGAUGAUGCAUGAAAAUAUGGACCUUUCUGGAGUAUGAUAGACAACCAUUGGAACUCGCUGUUCUACGAUCCCCUUUACAUAGCAGCUACAUUCUUAAUCCAUCACAAUCUUAUUGUCCUGAUUUCCUAAUGGUAUGAGAAAUAGUGUCUCCAUCACAUCAUAAGCUUAUUCUCCAGCCUCCUAAUCAUAAUUGUGCAAUUUUCUAUGUUAUUGUAGCAUCCUGAGGUGGUUCAUGCCGUAAAUGAAUGUAUUGUUCAGAAUGCAUUGUUUGGCUAGAACCAGGCACUGGGAAAAGGAUUUCUUCAUCCAUGCAAGUAAUGGUUCAUUCAUUUUAUUCUAUGGCUAUCCCAUGCUUGUUGGGAAUGACUAAUUCCAGAGCAAUUUGGUUACCUCCUUAUUAUUUCAAAGUCAAAAUGCCCCUUGCUCUGCAUUUAACUGUUGUGGAACAGAUCAGGAACAACCCUUGAUGAUAAUCCUUCCACCUGAACUGUUAAUGUUUUUCUUUUUUUGGUGUCAUUUUUUGAUUAAUAUUUCAAUAUCAUCCUAUCAGAUAGCUUUUGAUUAUGCAAAAGCUGAUUUUGGAACUGAUUUGGCUAUAAGUACAAGACCAGAACUAAUUUUGGAAACUCAUGAUACUGUGUUACUUAUUUAUUAAAGAAAUGAAUUCAAUCAUGUGACUUGUUAUGUUAUAAUGACAGGAAUUUGUAUGUUUUUGUAUUGUGUUCUUAGUAGCUGCAUGGUGGCAUUAACAUGGGAUAAGUUGCAUAGAGCUUCAGAGAAUUGCCAUUCAUAUACUGAGUCAGACAUGCUCAUUUGGGUGUGAGGAUAAUUGGAGUAUAUAUGAUCAAGUUCACAGAAAAUUGUGUAGCCAUGUGUCUAGAAAAAAAUGGAAAGACCUUGUCUAUGUUCACUACAACUUGUGAUUUAGAGAUUGCCAAUUGGGAAGAAAAUUUGAUACCUUGAACUCUGCUGACAGUGUCAUGCUGGAAAGUCUAUCAGCUGACUGGAUUGUGGAGACAGAGAAACAAGCUAUGCAAGAAGAUGUGGUAUUUCUAAUCUUACAUUACGUACAUCUUUCUCACAUGAGAUUUUGAGUGAAAUUCCUGAAAUCCUAUUUCCUGUUGUAGGAGAUCCUUUAUAACGAGAUAGAACAAUUCUAUGGAGAUGAAAAUGAUCAGUAUGAGAAUGAAUCAAAAUGCAGAGACAAGAGAGAGACCUGAAGAGUUGGUCACAUUGGCUGGUGUAGUUGAACCUUCAAGGUUAAUCCUUUUGAUGAUGAUCUUGAUUUUCUUGAUGAUGAUUUGACUGAUUAAUUAUUUAUAUCACAUGAACCAUCAAGCUAGAGUAAGCACUAAAAUCCCUCACAUCCUUGAUGAUUCCUGGAAAAAAGAAGUGGUUUGAUGCUACUGGAGACCACUUCUUGUCUUGUAAUUGUUGCAUGGUGCUUCUAUUUCAAGGUGUUCAUUUGUUGGCUAUUUGACAUGAGUUGUUUGUUCUCUUUUCUUCUGUUGACAUUUAUUUAUUUAUUUAUUAUUUAUUUUAAAUAAUAAUAAUUAUUAUUAUUAUUUAUUUAUUAUUUAGUAGGUAAGUAAUUUUGUUAUAAGUUGUUAACUACCAAUUUUUUGUUCUAUUUACUAUAUAAUAUCUACAUCACUGAAUAAGUUCAAAGCAUUCAGCAUAUUUUAAAAUUUUUUUUUUUAUCACUUGAUCUAGUUGUUGCUGUUUGGUUUAUCUAUAAAUAUUUUAAUUUCAAUUGUAGUACUUGCUGUAUUUGAUGAUACUGCAAUUCCCAUUCUGGUUUUCUAGCAUGUGUAUUGAUGAUGCUUAUUUUGGGUCACUCUUUCUUUCUUAUUAAAUCUUAGAGCCCCAUGGUUAGAUAUAUUCACUGUCUUCCCUACCUAUCAAAAUCUGCGAGUCCUCAAUUCUUGGAAGUUCAGAUCCUUGUUUAUGGUUGCAGAUAGAUAUAUUUCUGAUUUCCAUAAAACUCUGGUGGAUUAGUUGGACAAUACUGAGUAUUAUUCAAGUUGCGAGUGCACUCAGAUUUAUUUUUUGUAUCCAUUUUCAUUAUAAUCUUUGUGCAUGUUAGGCAUUGAAUUAUUGUUUCUUUUUUAUUUAUUUUUAUCUUUUGUGUCACUCACACCCUAGAAAACAGACUGGAAAGAAUUAUAUUUGAGAUUGUGAUGGCUGUCAACUAGAGGUUAUUCAAUAAGGAUCUAUUUGUCCAUUUGGGUUUAGUUUGCAAACCACGAUUGAAAUUCUGAAUAACAUGUCAAAAAGAUUAUGAAGUGGUUCUAUAUUUUUAAUGUGCAAAAAGAAAGAAAGAGAAGAAAAGAGAUUAAUAUGGAUUACCAUGCUUCCUGAAUAUUUCAUGCCAUGACCACCACAGGUGCAAGAGGAGAAGGUUCAUCUGCAGGUACUUUUCUUCCUUAAGAAUGUUUGUUAUACUUUUAACUUUGUUUCUUUAUUGCCCCAUCAAACGUAACCUCUCUUGACUAGCUACAUACACUCGCGUUGUGAGAACUGGAGUUCCAAGCGUGCACAAGGGAAAAAGUAAUGGUGCUUUGAUUGGGAUUCCCUUUCUUUUGAUUGUUGUGGGAACAGUUGGAAUUGGGGCACAUCGUGCUUAUAGGUGAUUGACAAUCUCAGGAUGGUCCUUCUAUAUGUAUAUAUUUUUUAAGUUUUUGGAGUUGCUUUAGAAAACAUUCAAGGGGAUCUAAAUGAUUGAAUAUCUUUAUUUCAUGGAUCCUUUUGCAGGGCCUAUGAAAAGGAAAAACUGGCGCACCCUUCUCACAAUCCCUUUCUUCCUUGAUCUAAACUUCAAGUGGAACUGGUAGAUAUUGGUUGCAUGGAAUAAUUAGUUUGCCAUGUGCAUUAAAGUUCAGUUUGUAAUGCAUUGGUGCAAUUUUAACUACCAUAAAUAUUAGUAAUUGCUGAACUUCUGUGGUGCUGAGUCUGCAGCCCUGAUUCUUGUUUCUUUGUGCAUACUGGCAUUUACUUAUUCAAAAUCUUUACUUGACAUAGUUUUUUCUGCUUCCAUGUGUUAUUGUGGUCUGAUUAUUUGUUAGCCCUGGUUUGCUGCUGCUACAUCACUUCCCAAAUGGCUGACAAGAAGCUGUUGCUGCAGUCCACUGGAUGGGAGCAUAUGCUCAAUCUGCAAGGAAAAACAAGGUAAAAUGCAAUUAUCGUGUGAAAAUUUUCAGGAUGAAGCAACAUUUAGCUAGAAUUUCUGGGGUAGUUACUGUGGAAAUGUUACAGAAAAAAUUAACUUAGAGAGACCACAACUUUCAUGGGUAUGUAAAAUGAAUGGACAGGAUUCACUUUGGUGGUUGGUAUAGACACUUGGCGUCGGUUUUUCUUGUUCUCUUGCAUAGGUUUCUUCACUUGGUUUUGCAUCACUCUUCCUUGACAUUACAGAAAUUCACCAUUUUUCUUCCCUUGUUUUAGUUUCACUAUUUGACGUAAUGAUUUCAUUUGGGUGACUCCCUCAAAAGUUCAAGAUUAGUUUUAACUUCGCCAUUUUUCUGAAGUGUUUGCUCUGUCUGAUCCAGUAUCACUGGGAUUGUUUUUUGUAAAAAAUACUUUUGGUAACCGUUUUAAAAAACUGCUAUGAAAAACAAUUUUUGAGAACUUUGUUAUAAUGUUUUGUAAAACAAAAGUCUGUUUGGAAACCUAAAAUGUUUUUAAUUAUUUUUAUAUUUUUAAAUAUGUUAUAAAAAUAAUUUUUAUGUCUAGUAUUUUAUUUUUAAUUAUUUGAUAUAUUUGUAUAAUUAUUUUUUGAAACAGGCCUUAUAAAUAAGUGAAAAAGCAAAAAAUAGCUGAAGGAUGGUUUUUUGUUCUUAAGAAUAUAAAAACAAAAAAAACAGUUUUUGAUUGUUAAAUAUGUUUUUUUGAUUUUUUGUUUUGGAGAACAAAAUAGUAUUUUCAAAAACGGUUGUCAAAAAGUUUCUUAGGCUUUGUUUUCUAAAAUUGUAAAAAAAAAAACAAAAAUGGAAAUAUAUUUGGAAAUUAGAUAAUAGAAAAUAAAUUUUUAUUCUUAAAAACAAAAUAUGAUAUGUUUUUAAAAAGUAUUUUUUAAUUGUUUUUACUUAUUUUCACUUGUUUUAAAAAUGAUUUUAUAUACAUAGGAGAAUGGUAAAACAUAAAUCACUAAUUAUAAAAGUUAUCUUUAAAACGUAUUUAAUAACAUAUAAAAUAAUUUAAGGUUAAAGAUAUUUCAAGUUUUUAAGGAGAUUUUUGUUUUAUAAAAUGUGAGAGAAUAGUUUUAAAAAUUAUUUUUAAAAACUGGUUUUGAUGGUAUUUUCUAAACAGAGCCUUAUGCUCCGUAUCAAGAAGUCGCUAUAUAAUAUCAGUACUACCAGUCAUUUAGUACUGCAACAUCGUCAGUAAGAAUGUAGGCCUCAUUCAUAUUCUGCUCUCCCCCUUAUCUCUGAUCAAAGUUAUUAUUAUUAUUGACCCAGAUGUUUCAAUCAAUACAUAUUUUUGACCCAUCUGAUUUCUGCUCUAGGAAUCUUUUGUGAUCUCUAGAUGUUAUAUGGAGGUAAGUUGGUAACUAACACCCACCCCAACUGGAAAGAAACAUAGAAGGAGAAAAUUUAGGUUAAAUAAACCACACUGCCUGUAUGCCAAUUUACUCAAUAACAUAAAAGAUGGACUGGGGCACAGAAUCAGAUGUAAAAGGGCAAAUGUGUAGAUGGAUCUUAAUAGAAUGAUCAAUAUCCCAUAGACAACAAGCAUCUCUCUCUAAUCUCUAUGUUCAUAAAGGCAUCUCCUGCAAUUCUGUUGCAGGCGGCAAAUGCUUCAAUUCAAAAAAAAAAAAAAAAAUACAAUUACUUUUGUAUCUCUUAACUUGGAUGUAUCCAUGGUUAACAAUAUAGGUCCUGCCACUGGUGUCAACAUUAAUCUGUACGCCGUGAUAUUGAAACUGCACCACUGCUGAAACGAUCAGUAGCUAUCUAAUUAGUAAUAAUAAUUUUUCAACCAUUAAGAAUAGGGUUCAAAUGAAUCAAGGUGCUGAUAACAAACCCCUCAGAUUAUAACAAGUCCUUAGGUUUAGAGUCAUACAUGGCCCAAAACCGACUGAGCUGAAGCUUGAACUGAACAACUCACUAUGAUCAGCUCGGUUCAUUCUAGGCCCCAUUCCCAAUUAAGAAAUUUGGUUGGACACAAUAUUUUUGGGUGGUUAAGAGGUUGUUGAUCUUAAAAUUAAAUGGCCAUGUAGUGAUUACCUUCACGAGUGAAAAUGAACAUUCUGAAGCAGACAUCGAGCAUUAUGCAGAACCGCAUUGAUCUCCUCAUUUGCGGCAUCAAGCAGGCGGAGUUCCCUGAUUUCCUCCUGCCACUUCUCUAUCUGUUCCUUGUGUAUCCUAUAAGCAUAAAUUUGAGAAACAAAUUGUGUUUACGGAAAAGGAAAAAACCAACAGCAACUCCAAUAGUUUUAAUUCUAAAAAUUCAGUAACAGACAGAAUCAUUCGUUCUUCAAAUUCGUUACUCAAAUCCUUGAAGAGCGUCUUUCCUGAUUCCAGCAACUCAGAUACCUGCACAAGUCAUGGUUACAAGUUACAUCAUUCCGUUCAUUUGGAGAAGAAGGGCAGUUUACCAGAAGAAAGCUUUGAAUCUAGCACGGAAUCAUCUCAAACUAAUUGACAAUCGGAAAAAAAAAUAAAAAAAUUGUGUUGUUAUGAUAGGUACCAGCUGAGUGAAGUUUUCAAUCUUUUCAAGAAUGCGAUUGAUGCUAAGCUCCAUCUCUUCAGAUCCGGCAAUGUUGGUUUCAGUUUCUUCUUCUUCUAUUUGAUCCACAAUUCCAUCUCCGACCUCGCCUUCGUUCUCAUCCAUCUACCACAUCAUCGUCACCAUCAACAAAAUUAUAAAAAUCAAAGGAAAAGGCACAAUAGAUGAUUCGUUCCAAAGUGGAAAGAAUGAAAAGGGACAUACAGCUGGUUUCAUGCGUUUUCUGGCGACUUCAGCCCCUUGGCUUUCCAUCGGUUAACACUGUAGAGUGUGGACACGUUACAGUUACAAAAUUACACUAAUCACCAGAGUGAUUCAAACAACAAAUGGAGCUGCUUAGGUUGAAUGUUGCCGGAAACUCACCGUGGAUGAAGCCCUCGUCUCUUCGCUCUUUCUCCAAUCUACUGCUCAGCAAAUGCCUCAAAUCUCAAUCAGUCUCAACUUCUCACUCUUUGCCUCGAUGGUUAGGCGCCCCCUUUUGUUCCCGAGAGGUGGAGUUUUCUCAAUUUUUUAUUUUUAUUUUUUAUAAUUUUAUUUAAUAUUAUCAAGUAAAAAUUAUAUUUUUGAAAAUAAUUAUCCAACCCAUAAAAAAAAAAAAAAUUUAAAAAUAUUAAAAAAAAAUAAUUUAUAAAUAUAUAUAUAUAAAAUUCUAUAUAUUUUUAAAAAUUAGUAUGUAAAAAUCCAUUUUCCCUUAUUAUUAUUAAAAUUUGGAGGCAGUUAAAAUAAAAAAGGGGAGUUGAUGGAAGAUGCUCUUGUGUUGGGUUGCGUUUGGUUGAGUUGGGUCGUGUUUGGUCGUGACUUUAAACACACCCUCUUUCAACUUUCAAACCGUACGCUUCUCUUCCCGUACAGACCGGGCUUCACUGUAACUUUUUUCCACUCCCCAAAGUCCACAGAAAAAGUGGGGGCGACCCUCACACUCCCGCUCCCUCACUCCCUCACUCCCUCACUCGCUUCAUUUCUGGAAUUGGCCUUUUCUCCCCGGACAUCAGCCAUGCCAGGCCGUCUCUUGUCGUUUCUUUCUUUCUCUGCUCUGGUAAGGGGAUAGAUUCUCAGACUUUCCUCUCGUUUCCACAGCCCUACAAUUGCAUCGAUUCUCCCUGAGGGAAAUUUUCAAACAGGCAGGAAUGGCCACCAAAUUACGGAGACAUCGUCCUACUGCCCACCGUCGUUUCCUCUGCUUUUCACUUGUUGUUGUCCUAGGCAUCUGCUGGGCUGUGGCCAUGGAAGGGACUUCUUUAUCUUCUUAUUCUUCUUCUUCUUGGGAUGAUAAAUUAACAUUGCUUGAGCUCAAAUCCUGUGUCACCCAAGACCCACUAGGGUUUCUCACCAAUUGGAACCCCAACGACCCAGACCCUUGUUCUUGGAACGGUGUCAUCUGUGACACCCUUUCCCGCCGUGUUACUGCCUUGGAUCUCUCAUCCAACCGUAACUGCUCCUUUCUUUCCCUUUUUGCUACUCCUGCUAGUGAUGUUCAUGCUGCAUGCUUGCUAGGAGGAGGGUUCAACAAGAGUUCAUCAUCUGCUUCAAAAUUGAGGGGGAGGUUGCCCCCCAUCGUCGGUCGUCUCUCUCAACUUAGGGUUCUGUCGCUAGGGUUUAAUGGGUUUUUCGGAGAGGUGCCCCGGGAGAUUGGCCACCUGGCCCUUCUGGAGGUUCUGGACGUUGCCUCUAACGCUUUUCACGGACCCAUACCCCCUGCUCUUCGAAACUGCACCGCACUGCGGGUGGUUAAUCUUUCGGGGAAUCGGUUCAAUGGAACAAUUCCGGAGUUGCUUGCUGACUUGCCCAGUCUGCAAAUACUUUCCCUUUCGUAUAAUAUGCUCAGUGGAGUUAUUCCGGAGGAAUUGGGUCACAACUGUGGGACUCUGGAGCAUCUUUACCUCACCGGGAAUUCUCUGUCUGGUUCCAUUCCUGCCAGCUUGGGAAAUUGCAGUAUGCUCCGUUCCCUCUUCUUGUCUUCUAAUAAGUUUGAGAAUGAAAUUCCUUCUUCUUUUGGGAAACUUGGGAUGCUUGAAGCUCUGGACUUAUCCAGGAAUUUCUUGAGUGGGAUCAUACCAUCCCAAUUAGGCAACUGCACGCAGUUGAAACUGCUUGUGCUCAAGAACAACUUUGGCCCUCUAUUAUUAUGGAGAAAUGAGGAGGUGGAAGAUUACAAUUAUUUUGUUGGCCAACUGCCCAAUAGUAUAGUAAAACUUCCCAAUCUUCACGUCUUUUGGGCCCCCCAAGCAAAUCUUGAGGGCAUUUUCCCUCAGAACUGGGGGUCUUGUUCUAACCUGGAGAUGCUGAAUUUAGCCCAGAAUUACUUUACAGGACAAAUACCCACAUCCCUGGGCAAAUGUAAGAGCUUGUACUUUCUUGAUCUGAAUUCCAAUAACUUGACUGGGUUUCUUCCCAAAGAAAUUUCUGUUCCCUGCAUGGUUGUCUUCAACAUCAGUGGAAAUUCUCUGUCUGGAGAUAUUCCGAGAUUUUCUCAGAGUGAGUGUACUGAGAAGGUCGGAAAUCCAUGGAUGUCAGACAUAGAUUUGCUUGGUCUCUACUCUUCCUUCUUUUAUUGGAAUGCUGUCACCAGUAUUGCUUACUUUUCUUCACCUUCCUAUGGUCUGGUCAUGCUGCAUGAUUUUAGCAACAAUCUGUUCACUGGCUUGGUUCCUCCCUUGUUGAUCACUUCUGAUAGAUUAUCUGUUAGACCUUCAUAUGGAUUUUGGGUUGAGGGCAAUAAUCUCAAGGGAAAUACUUCAACUUUAUCAUUUGAUAGCUGCCAGAGUUUGAAUAGCCUGGUCUUCGAUAUUGCUUCCAACAAAAUUACUGGUGAACUUCCUCCAAAAUUAGGCAGUUGUAAAUAUAUGAAACUUUUAAAUGUGGCAGGAAAUGAACUAGUUGGUUCAAUUCCUCUCUCAUUUGCUAACUUGUCUUCCCUUGUUAACCUCAACCUCAGUGGAAACAGAUUGCAAGGUCCUAUACCAUCAUAUAUUGGUAAGAUGAAGAAUUUGAAGUAUCUUUCCUUGUCUGGAAACAAUUUUAGUGGUACAAUACCACUGGAGCUAUCUCAAUUGACUUCAUUGGUGGUGCUGGAACUUUCUUCAAACUCCCUCUCAGGACAGAUACCAUCUGAUUUUGCCAAGCUUGAGCAUCUUGAUAUUAUGCUAUUAGACCACAACCACCUCUCUGGGAAGAUACCAUCCAGCUUUGGUAACUUGACCUCGCUUUCAGUACUCAAUGUGUCUUUCAACAAUUUAUCUGGAUCUUUCCCUCUCAAUUCAAAUUGGGUAAAAUGUGAAAAUGUGCAAGGGAAUCCAAAUCUUCAGCCUUGUUAUGAUGAUUCAUCAUCCACUGAAUGGGAGCGGCGGCACUCUGAUGAUGUUUCCCAACAAGAAGCUUAUCCUCCCACUGGAAGCAGAAGUAGAAAGAGCGACGUGUUUAGUCCUAUAGAGAUUGCCUCCAUAACAUCUGCCUCAAUCAUUGUUUUUGUUCUUAUAGCAUUAGUUCUCCUCUAUGUGAGCAUGAAGAAAUUUGUAUGCCACACUGUGUUGGGUCAAGGAUCAGGAAAGAAAGAGGUUGUAACUUGCAACAACAUUGGUGUUCAGCUGACCUAUGAGAAUGUUGUCAGGGCCACUGGAAGUUUCAAUGUUCAAAACUGCAUUGGAAGUGGAGGUUUUGGAGCCACAUACAAAGCUGAGAUUGUUCCCGGGGUUGUGGUGGCAGUGAAGCGGCUCUCAGUUGGGAGGUUUCAAGGCGUUCAACAGUUUGCUGCUGAGAUCAGAACACUUGGAAGAGUGCAGCAUCCAAACCUUGUUACACUAAUAGGCUAUCAUGUCAGUGAGGCAGAAAUGUUCCUAAUCUACAACUACUUACCAGGAGGCAAUCUGGAAAAAUUCAUCCAGGAUCGGACAAGGAGAACUGUUGAAUGGAGCAUGCUUCACAAGAUUGCUUUGGAUAUUGCACGUGCCCUUGCUUAUUUGCAUGAUGAAUGUGUCCCAAGAGUGUUGCACCGUGAUAUCAAACCAAGCAAUAUAUUGCUGGAUAAUAACUUCAAUGCAUAUCUUUCUGAUUUUGGCCUUGCCAGACUUUUGGGUACUUCUGAAACUCAUGCCACUACUGAUGUAGCAGGAACUUUUGGUUAUGUUGCUCCAGAAUAUGCGAUGACAUGUCGUGUUUCAGAUAAGGCAGAUGUGUAUAGCUAUGGUGUUGUCCUUCUAGAAUUGAUUUCUGACAAGAAGGCUUUGGAUCCAUCCUUCUCUUCCUUUGGAAAUGGCUUCAACAUUGUAGCCUGGGCAAGUAUGCUCCUCAGGCAGGGCCAGGCAUGUGACUUUUUCACAGCUGGACUAUGGGAAUCUGGACCCCAUGAUGAUCUAAUCGAGAUACUUCACUUGGCUAUUAUGUGCACAGGUGAGUCUCUUUCCACCAGGCCUUCUAUGAAGCAAGUUGCCCAACGGCUGAAGCGGAUUCAGCCCCCAACAUGCUAGUGGAGGUUUUUAGAGGAUCACCUUUUUGUAAGUUAACACUGUUAAGCUAAUGAUUUGUAAUUCACCAUUGAUUUUUGUCAUUGAUUCUGAGUUAUAUGUCUUGUAAAAAAACAAAAAAAGUUUUCAUUAUAAUGUUUGCAACAAUUUUCCCCUCAAGCCAUGUAUCUUAACCUUUGCCAAGAACCUAAUUAUAGCUACUGUCUCAAAACUUAAAUUAAGUCAAAGCACAUUCUUCCUUUGGUCCUGAUCCAUUGGAGUUAGGGUUCUUUUAGAGGGGAGGAAUUAAUGAAGUUGUCUAUUAUAGUUGGAUGAACCCUAGCAUCUGUUAAUGUGCCAACCAAAAUAAACAAGAGGAAGUUGUAGGUCCUCUAAGGAUCUAGAAUCCCCAUCACUCAGUGGGAGUAAGUCCAGUGGCUAUAGUCACUUUCCACUUUAUCAAAGUUGAGUUGUUCACUGAUGGGUAUUUUGCAUAUUUGGGUGUAUAAAUCCUCGUACUUGUUAGAGUGGAAUGAGUUUGAUAAUAAUAUAAAUAUGUUAUAAACAAUAAUGAUAUUUAUAUUUAUAAUAUAAAUAUGGUAUAAACAAUAAUGAUCUUUAUAUUUAUAAUUUGAUUCCUAAUAGUUUCAGGAGGUUGUUAUUUUGAGUACUUUCAAUGGCAAUUUCUAAUGCUAUAAAGUACCUUUAAGAAGAUGCACAAAUGUUUUAGAGCAUUUUAGAUAUUUUCAACUACCAUUGAUUUGACAGUCACGAAGUUAGAAAAUAAGCUUACAUAUAGGGCUAAAAGCAUAUACAAGGGAGGAUUGCACACUUUGAAUAAUAAGUGGAAUUUGGAAUGAUUAACUGUCCUAUUUUAAUCAUAUUUCCCUUUUAUCUACAUGCUAUUUAUUGGGACCUGCCAUGUUAAACUUUAGGGUGGUUUUCUUGAAUCAUCCUGCACAAAUACAUUUUCCAAUUGCCCUUAUAACACGAUGUAUCAUAUUGUAUUACCAGAUCAUCUUCAUUGGGAAAUUUCCUUGGUAAGAUGUGAUUCUUUUUUAUUUGGCUUCCCAUCCUCACAUCUAUUCUCUCUCCCCACCGAACCCCCCCCCCCCACUCUUUUUUUUUAACAGAAGCAAACCUACUCAUUGAUAUGGAUUUAAAACUUGUAUUGGGGUAAUUAUCCUCACAUCUUUUUUGAUUGAUUCGUUUUCCUUUUGUGCCUGUUUGACCAUGUAGUAUUUAUUAGGCAGCUUGAUUUGUUUAUUCAUGGAGAGCAGGUUCUCUUUUCCUUUGUUCCAGUAUGUGGCAUCUGUUUGGGCAGAUUGAGUUGUUUUUUGGGCAUUGAUAUAUUAGCAAUUAAAUUAUACCUCUAUAUCAUAAUUGAAAGGAAAAUUGUUUCAAAUGGGGAAGGUGUGGUUAUAAAUCACAUUCACCUCCAAGUUAUUUUGUCCAUUGGAUAUGCUUUCCCUUUAAACUUUAAACAAGAUAGAAAUCUUCCUUUUGGGAAUUGAUUUUACUUAGUCAUAUGUUCUGUUUCAUGGGCUUUAAAACUUAUCAAAAAUAAUAAAAAAUAAAAAUUUGUUUCAUGGGCUUUAAUAUUUUAUUUAGUUCUUUGCAGGAUGGGAUUGAGUUUUUUAUUUUUAUUAUUACAUUUAAGAAAUUUUAUCCUUGUAUUUGAAUGGUGGGAAGGGGUAUGCACUUGCAGAAUGAUAGGUUAAAACUAAUCAUAUCUUACCUUCUUCUUCUACCUAGACCCAGUUUUUCAUCCUCCCCUUUUUAUUUUUUAUAUUUAUUUUUGGUUUUUGUUAAGGGGUUUGUUCGAGUAAUUGGAAUUUUGCCCUAUCAUCACCUAUACAUGAUGCUUGCUGAAUAGCAGGAAAGGAUUCCAGAGGAUAAAGUUUUGAGUUGAUUUGAGUUUAAACGGUACAUCUAGUAGUGAUGGUCUGUUGCUAAUGGAAACUUUUUACAGAUUUUACAUGCGAGAUCCUAGCAUUUGGUCUCAUAUGACCUCAAAGAGAUUCUGUACCUAUCUUCUGUAUCUCUCUACUUUGAUUGGUUGCCUACAUCAGUAUCAAUUCAGAGGAAGAGAAUAUUUUGAUUUUUUUAUGGUUUGGUGUGUCAACAGAAAUACUUUGCAUUAAAAAGAAGAUUUAAAGGGUGCUGUUAUUUUUUGCUCUCUCUAUUGAGCCCCAGUAAGUUGCAGGUAAUCACAUUUCAUACAAUUAAAGGUGCAUGACUUUUACAUCAGGAAGGAAAUGAAAUCACCCAUGGUUCAGCUACCCAUUCCUGGUGUAUUUCUGGUUUCCAGAAAACAGUAGUGUAUGGUUGUAUGUACUCAGGGUCUUCUGAUCUUUUCACCAUGAUAAUCAUAUUCAGAUUGUUCCUACUCAAAAGAGGUAUGGUCAGUAAUCUUCAAUUCUAUUAGAGGCAUCCUCUACUAUAUUUAUUUGCUUCUUGUCUAAGUUCUGAUUUUUUAUUUUAUUUAGUCCAAUUUGUUACCCUCCAAUCAUAAAUUUGCCUUACCCUUAUCAUCUGUUUCUGUCCCAUAAAUGUUGGUACAUGGACAAUGAAAUGGAUGCCUUUUUUAAAACUAACAUUUUGAGUUUAGCGAUCUACCAAUUGGGUGAAAAACUGUGGGAUAUCUUGAGGCUGGAGGAUCUUCCUGUGGCUUCAUUUAUGUGGAUGAUUUUGAGUCUGUGCUGUGGCUUGCUUAAAUUUAAUUCUUCUUGUUUAAUUAAAUGCUGCUUCAAAAAAUGAUUGCUUCAUCUGACAUUGUGAAUACCUUUUACUUGGUGACAACUCCUAGGUUUGUUGCUAAAGGGAAGCUGCAGGUUGAGGAAAGCUACCAAUGGACCAAAACAAAUGUCCACAGCCUUGGUUUAACAAGUCGUGUAGUGGUAUGCAAGAGAACCACUUUAGCUAUGUCUGUUCGAUCACAGGGGAAUGGUUUCAUCAAUCUGCCUUUUUCAGAUGGAUGAAGUUGUAGGAAGUAAUGAGGAAGGCGUUAGGGAACUUGUGGACUAGUUGAGCAAAUUAGGAUAUUUUCUUCGGUAAAAGGUAGUAUGGCCACUUGAUGAAAUUGGCAUGUUGAAUCUUGUGCUGGCUGUUUCUCUGGUGGAAUUAUAAGCUUGAUAACAUACAGAUUAGUUAAUCAGUGAUCCACAGGGGCAUGGGAGACUAGUUGGUAUAUUGAUCUAUCUUACUUAGCUUUGCUGUUGCAAUGGUGAAUCACUCUGCUCCAAUGCCCAACAGUGAUCAAAUUGUGUAAGGUACUGGUUUGCUUAGAUACAUAAUCUUUGUUUUUCUGUUCUACAAUGAAAAUAUGAUUGAAGUGUGCAUGCAUAGGGUGUCUUUUGGAAGGCAACUUUAGGCAGAAUUACUUAUAUUUAUAUUCUUGCAUUGAUAAUGUCUAUCACUUUCUUUUUCAUGUCUAUCAUAAGUGAGCAACAUAGUCUGAAUUUCUUCUAGACUCAAAUUGGUUCAUGUCUAGAAGUCACAGAAACCGCAAAGGAGUUGUAAUCAGCUCCUAAUCUCCAAGCAGGUAGAGAAUGUGGUCUUGUUCAGGACUUGAUUAUCUGAUCACCGCAGGAUUAUCUAUAACAGAUUUCACCUUGAGAAGAUACUCCAUGUUCAAGCUACCUUUCCUGAUGGUCUGAAGUUGAAGGCGAAGUUGCAUAAUUCUUGCUUUUGACACUGUCGAAAGAAUGUCUCGAGAGCAUUCCAGAUCUUGGUGGCAGAAUUGAUAGAAGAAAAUCAGGAUUUACAAAUCUCUGAGUUCUCAAGAAACCUUGGUGGACAGGGUCCUCAAGUCCAUUACCAAUCACAAUGUUGAGCAUCUGAGUGUGCCAUAGGAGAUAACUUGAGAAUCAAGUCUGAUGGUGAAUGCUUAAUUCAGAGAUGUCAUAAUUGAAGCAGCACUUGGGCUUGAACCAGUGCCAUAGUAGUGAGGACAGUAGAACAUGAGGAACCUUCAGACACCAUGGAGCCUGAGCUUCAAGGAUCAAUUGCUCUGAUAUCAAGAUAAAAUUCAGAGAUCUGAAAUUCUUUGGAAGAAUGCCAAAAUAUUUUGAGAGAAGAGCAACUCUAUGUAUGCGGAUAUACAUUAGAGAAGUUACUAAAACUAUUACAGCAACUGAAGUGGUUACAACUAAGUCUUAACUAUUAGCUUAUGUCACUUACAUGAAGUUAUGUUUACAAUUUUCAAUUUGAAGGCUGUGUUUUUAAAUGUGAUGAUUAUCUUGCUCCUUUGACACAAACAUUUCCUGAUUUAAUUUCCAAUGUCAAUGACCCCUGAAGUCUGUCUCUGCCUCAUUCAUCUCUACCAAGACGAAUACCAACAUUCCUGCAUAGACUACUCCUAACAUUUUCUCUCUUUUUCUUUUUCUUUCCUUAAUUUUUUCCAAAAUCAAAUCAAUUGAUUAAUGCAUGGCUGCAGGCUGCAGGGUUCAAAUAAACAAGCCCAACAGACCAAGCUUCUCCACUGAGAGAUGGGUUGAGGUCAGAAAUCGGAAAUCUGCUUCUGGUUAUUUGUAGUCCAAUUCCAGUACUGGAACUAAAGGAUUGACAUAAUUUCUCAUUUGAAGUGGGGUGCAUGUCCCACUCAAAAAGGCCAACGCUAAUUACCAAAGCCUUAACUAAGCUUAGGAGGAAGCCUUGCUCUGGCAGCUCUCUUCUCCAUCUCUCUUCUGCAGUAUCCACCUUUCUCAUUAAAAUUGUUAGACAUAAUUUGAGUACACGAACCACUCAAGGACGACAGUCACAUCCUGCUGUAAAAAAUCUCAAUUCAGCUUUGAUAGUGAUGUGAAAAACAGAAUUCUUGGGUGGAUUGGAGAAAGUUUUUGCACAGUAAGGAUGGAAAUAUUCCUAGGUUGUAUCAUUCAAUUCUAUGAAUCAAUUUCAUAUUUCAAUACAAUUGUAAUGUGCUUCAUCUCAUUGAAUAUGUGGGCAAAAAUUUGUUUAACACCUUUCAGAAUAGUGUAUAUCUAUGCACACACAAAGGAGGAUACAAAAGAUUUGGUAGGGGACUUAGGAAACCAUUUUCUAAUUUUUUUUUUCUCAAGAUAUCUAGGCCUUAUUUGAUCAACUUACAUUGCAGAAAAGACUCAGCAACAUGUAAGAAAAAGUCUUUCCAAACCUAUGAAGACUAGGAAAGUAUAAUUUAUCUUAUUCCACCUUAUUGCAUGGAUGAACAUUUGCAUGUAUGCCCCUCUGAUGCUCCUUUCUGUCAUCGCUUCAUUGGAAAAACAUUGUUCCUAAAUGAUUGUCUCGUCCAUGAUUACAGAAUUCUUCAGCACAACAGUAAUUCCUGAUCGAAUAUAAAAGCCCUCCGAUGGUCUAUCCGCCUCUUCUACCUUCUGCAAUUCAUUCAAAACAUAGAAAGUCAGCAUUCCCUGAUGAACACAGAGUCAUCUUUGCAUUUUAAACUGAUACUAGUGAAAUGAUCAGAAUGAGAGUCCGGAAAACAAUUAGAUUGUGGUAAGAAUGCAUUUCAACAAUGUUGGAUCUAACCAAUAUCCUUCCUCAUCACACCUCCCAUCCCCAUCAUUCUGGUGAAUGAAACAAAAUUAAAUACAGAGUCAUUAGUUAACCAUAAAAGAUCUUACAUCCUUGUUUGUGAUGACGACGUUCUUUCCAAUCCUUGCAUUCUUGUCAAUUAUACAGUUCCUGUGAAUGAGGGAAUUUAUCAAGUGAAUCUCAUGAAGCAGUAAAAUAACAAAUCUUGUAACAAGGAAAAAGGAAUUGAAUUUGCUUAAUAUCAUUGCAGAGGAUAAUUUGCAACCCAGGUGAAGAAAAAGAGAGAAGCUGAGACGAUUAUCCCAGCAUCCAUGGAGAUACUAAUCCUCAUAUGAGUUGUCUAUGUGAUUCAAAUGUUACACAUUAGAACAUAAUCUUCAAACCAGAUACUAACAUAAUUUUCGUGCCUUUCCCAACCCCUAUUGGAACCUUUCCCUCUGCCAGGAAGGCUGCUAUCUCUUCCUCAGUUUGGUAAUAGUCAGCACCCAUCAUCAUGGUAUCCUGAGAAAAAAAUGAAAUGAUUUCAUAUUACCAUCCAGAAAAAGAAGCAAUAACACCCAUCAUCAUAGUAAGCCUGCUUCUAAUUACUACUGGUUAUGAAGGACUAAAAGAAUAAACAAAUCAAUUCCUUGAUAUGACUCUUUUAUACACCAAGUCCAUUUAUCAAUCUCAAUCCCAUAUGGACAGCCCAAAAACAAUAUAUAUGCAUUUUACAACGAGCAAUUUAAUAAUUUUAUGCACACAGCCAGAACAGCAAUUUCAUCUUCAAGCUGGUUAAAGAAGAGUGUUAUGGGGGCAUCACUGCAUUAUGUGAACAGGGAUAGGAAUGUGGUAAGCUGCUAGAUUUAGAAUUCAGUACAAUAAGGGCAUUCUCAUUUAGAUAACCCAAAAUGCUAUAAGCUAGUUCUGAAUGCAGAAGCAUUUUCCAUUCAUCCUAUUUCUAGUUUCUUACAAGAAGAAAUAUUUUUUUCCUGUCCAAUUUAUUCUUUAAAUGUGACUUUCCUCAUGCUUGUGCUUAGGAUGAACAUUUGGCUACCUUCUUUAAUAAGCAAAGGAUCCAAUCCAAAAGGACAGGGAGAAUCAGUCACCUUCAUCUCUACGCCAUAAUCCAGUCUUGAACGAAUCCCCACAAUUGAAUGUUCAACACUGCACUCCCUCAAAAAGCACCCAUGUGAAAUUAUAGAAUCCAUGACCUAUAACAAUCCAGGGUCAGGCUCAAAAUCUGUCAAUCAAGCUCUGAAAUCUUAGCAGCAUGAGAGAUAAGUUUAAAAAUGAUACCCGACAUUUCUCUAUUUUAGUUGGUGGUAGAAACCGAGGGGAUGUGAAGAUUGGCUUGAGUGGGUCGUAGAAGUGAAACUUGGGAGGCUUCAAAGACAAGAAAACUAUGUUUGAGUUCAAGAGCUCAUUUUACCAAGAAAAAGACCACAGACACUUUAAAAGGAAGCUACCUGAUCUGUGAGUGCUAAGUUUGCAUCGAAAAAGGAUUUUAUGGUCCCAAUAUCCUCCCAGUAGCCAUUGAAUAGAUAUGCCUGUGAUGGAAUGAUCAACAGCCACCAAUUAGCAACAGUCCCACUCAUAUUCAGAAAGAGGAAAAUACUAAUUAAUCAAAGACUAUUGUUGCAAUCUACCUGGACAUUACAUUCUUCAGCAGCCAUUGGGAUGACCUCUGACCCAAAAUCAUUGGCUGUUGGAUAACUCCACCUAAUAGCAAAACAAACCAUAGCAGAAACUGUAACUUUGUCCCCUUGCUGCUUUGUCCAGUGGACUUAAGAAUGACCAAAAUAUCAGUUCAAAUGAUUCCAUCUUUGACUUCUGGGGCCAAUGAGUCACUUUUGACUAAGAAAUGCAAUGAAUCCAGUUGAAACAAUUACAAAAGUAUUGUUCAUUAAACAAGAAAAGGUUUGAAAAUUUUAGAUAAUGCAAACCCAUAUAUAGUAGCUAAAUUUUUUACUUCUGUUUUGAGAGGAAAAAAAUAAAAAUAGUCAAACCUGAACCAAGUGAAAGAUUUAUCUAGUUGCCCCUUCCAGACAUGUAUGCCACCAUUAACAAGAACUUUGCUCAUCUUGAGAGCACAAAUGAUGUAAAAUAGAUUAGCAGUAUAAAUAGCAAGCUAUCUGAGGCAAAAGGGGCCCUUGUAGAUAAUGGUGCUGUAAACAGAAUGCCCUAUAAUGUAUUUGAGGGAAGGAUUCACAACUGAAAUUAUGGCUUUCCAGAAUUGUAGGAGGACAUGUCAGAUCAGCACAGAUUUGUGUGGGCAAUUACUGAUAAGGAUAGUUGAUUGAAUAAUAAAACAUAGAAAAAGAGAUUGUUCUUGGGAUUUCAUGGAAUGAAGUAAGACAUUUAAAGAUCCAUCAACCAUGAAGAAGAUAAAGGCCAUCUAUCAUAGGGUUCUUGGCCACCAUCUAUUAUUCGGGCAUUCUUCCAAGGAGGCAUUGUAUGACCUUACAAAGCAUAAUUAGUUUAUCUUUAUUUUUUAUCAUUAAAAUUUACAUAAAUUGAUCUAUCCUUCAAGUCAUCUUUCAAAUCAAUUCCUUCUUGUUUUCUUGUCCCUAAAGUUGGGGUUUGGCUUGGGAAUACCAUCUUGAAUGUUAAAUGAUCCAUCAACCAUAAAGAAGAUAAAGUUCAUCAUCCAUCAUUGGGUUCUUGGCCACCAUAUAUAAUGCGGGUGUUCUUCCAAGGAGGCAUAGGCACUUUUAAGAGCAUAAUUAGCUUAUCUCAAAAUGUCUUCUUCAGAUAUAUGGAUCCAUGUAAAGGACUCCAUUCCCUUGUCUUGAUCUAAACUUGUACCUUGUCGAAGGAUGUCUUGAAAAUAGAAUUAGUUUAUCUCUAAAUUAUAUGCUUAAAUUUUACAUGAAUUGAUCUAUAACCUAAGUUGUCUUUGAAAUCAAUACCUUCUUUUUUUAUAAUAUAAGAAACACUUUUGUCCCUAAAGUAGGGGCUUGGUUUGGCAAUAGCAUCUUGAAUGUUGUGGAUUUAAAGCAUCUCCAUGCAGUCAUUUGAUGAAACGAUAUCCUGACAUUGAGUUCUUUUAGUGAAGUCAAUCAAUUGAAGAAGACAGGAAGGAGAUAGAAAGCGCACCUAACAGCAAUGAGUUAAACCCAAAGCUGCACUUAACUCAUAGGAGGGACAGGAUUCAAUAUCACAUAUCACAUAAAAAAUAGACAACUACCACGCUGCAAACUUUGGGUUCCAGUAAGUAUUUCCAGAAUUUGUGAAAGAGCUAUUCCUGGGCUGGAAGGUGAAAGGCAUGGACAAGGGGCAGUGGAAAGUGUGGAGUAUGGCUCCUCUUUGUUUGUUUUGGCGUGUGUAGCAAGAAAUAAAUAGUUUAAUGACAUUAAGGUAAAAGAAUCCCUGCUUAGGUCUCUUAUGGAUUGGUCUGGAAUAUUAUUAGGGGAGGGAUUGUGCUCCUCUUUUGGACUUUAUUGAUGAUUCAAAUUGUGGAGGCAGCUUUUAGUUUGUUUUUCUAGUUGGGGCUGCUUCUUUUUCAUCUAGGUGGGUCCUCUUGUAUACUCCCUCUUGGAACAUUGAAUAUUAGAGUUUUGAAAAGUUCAAAUAAACAAAACCUCAAGUAGGGAAAAGCAAUUACCUGAGAAGUUUUAGUAGGACAUCUGUUUUGAACAAAUAUAUACCCAUUGAUGCAAUGUAUGGGAAUUUCUUUGCUUCUACAGGUGAUAAUCCUAGAGCAGUUGUAUCCACUCGCUGUGACAACAAAACUUGCAAUCAGAACCAACUGCUAUAGGUUUACAACCAAUUUUGAAAUUUCAUCUGCAUACACCAACUAAUCAACACAAAUGGAAAGUGUAACAACCAUAGAUUUCAAAGUUUCACCCUUGGGUUUCUCAAGAAACUGCCGUAUCUGUCCCAUUUCAUCAAUCUUAAUCAACCCAAAAUCAGAAGCACGGCUGCAGGAAACAAAGUUAUGAUAAACAAACUUCAAUACAGAUUUUUUAUUGUAAUUCAAUUUUUAUAGGCAUAUUUACCAUCUUAUAUAAGGCAAAGGAACAUUUUAGAAAUGUUCACCUUUCAUCCAUGGGAAGACAGGAGACAGAUAUAUCAGCAUCUGAAUCGAUGUGCUUCUGCAAGCAGAGAUUUGAGUUCAUAUCCAAAAGUAAAACAUGUAGUAAAUAAUGAAGCAAGGAAAAAAAGCCCACUCAGCAGGUGAUGUUUGACCUGUACAAACUCCAUGUAAUCCAUUCGAUAUAGAUGAUCACCAGACAAUAUCAGAAUGUUCUCAAUGUGUCUAUGCCUAGCAUCCUACACAAGUUGCCAUGAUUAUGCAUUAGAUUGUAGCAUGGAAGUUCCAAAAGACUAAUUCCUGGCAGUUGCUUGACAUACUCUUAUGCCACAAUGUUUCCAUUCUAAAUUAACAAAUAAGGAUUAAAUCUGCCAAAACAGAAAAAUUCAAGAACACACCUCAAACAACCAAAUGAAUUGUCUCACUGCAUCUGCUGUUCCCUGAAACCACUUCUUUCCAGAUUCACCAGAUGUUUGAGUAGCUGCUAAUACCUGUCAUAACAAAUGAAGUGGAAUUAGGAAUACAGGAAGUAGGAACACUAAAUUUAAUCCAUCUCGAAAAGGGAAAGCAUGUCAUGGACAGGUUCAGCUUCUCUAUAAUACCCCUCCUUCCAAUCAUUUCCAUGAUAUGCAUGUCAUGGAGAGAAAAGAUUAAUAAGUCAAUUGGUAAUACCCUGAAAUCACUUCAUACCAAGAGGUGUCCCUUCCACUGAUUGAUGAUCAGAUGGCAACAGCAAUAAUUAUAGAGCACCAUUGCUUCCCAAACAUGCAAGGGACUCUUCCAUUGACAAGCAGUAGAAUGAUGGAAUCCAACAUACCUCAACAAACCCAUCGCCGAAGUUUACACCACUUCCCAAAUUGUAUGUUCUAGCAAUAUGACGGUUGAGGGAUUGAGAAUUGAAUUGGGUGAGGAUGUAGAUUUUGUUGAUUCCACUGUUGAUGCAAUUACUCAUGGGUACAUCUAUAAGUCUAUAGCAUCCCCCAAUUGGCACCUGAAAACCAUGUACAACUUCAUAUACUUCUAUAUUAUUAGCCAUAAAGAGAGAUGGAAUCCCCAACUUACAGCUGGUUUGGCCCUUGAUUUAGUGAGAGGAAAAAGCCGUGUUCCUGCUCCACCCCCUAAUAUGAUAGAAGCAACCGUUUUUGGGUCUGCUUCUGGUUUUGCCAAUUCUGGGGCAUCCAAGGUCUGAAUUCACACAAAAUUCCAUCACAGGAAUUUCAGGGAAAUUGCAACACAAAAAAAAAAAAAAAAAAAAAUACUACCCCUUGAGAAUCAAACAUAGAAAUUACCAUAAAAUCUUUAUAAACAUCGGCAAGGAGACAAGCAGCAGAGGAGCCUUUUGUUGGGGCCCAUAUAUUCAAAUUUCCGGAAAUCCUAGAGUUUGAAUGCACAACCGGAUCCCGAAAGACAGACCUCCUCCUGUGAUGGACCCUUGAAGUUGGCUGGCAAGAGCCCAGAAUUGAGUAAAUAGGUGCCUGCAUUUCUAUUUCAUGCUGGCCCUCUUCUGGCCCUUGAAUUGAAUCUAGUAUCUCAAAUCAUCAUCUAUCGCUCUCCACACUCAGCCUCCACUAUGUACACAAACAAAUAAACCACUGAUUCAGUUUAAGAUUUUCAGUAGCUUGGGAAAAAUGAAAUCCGUUGCCUCAAAACAGAGCAAGGAAUGGCUCCACCAGCCACCAUCCCAUCCCCAGCUCACCCGCUUUUUGUCUGUCAUGAAUCCCGGGAUGUCUUGGAGAUUCUCAGCAGCUUAGCGGCAAAGCCACCUCCUCAUCUCAUCAAUACCAGUACGGCGUUUUCCUCUCCUCUGGGUUUUCUCAUUCCCCGGUCACUAUGGAGACUGCAUGUGCAACGACUCAUGCAUGCAUCUUCCUUUUCUUCUCCUCCUUUUUUUACAUCAAGAAAUCUAUAUAUUCCCUUUCUUCCAGAAGGAGAUGAAGUUGGACAGUGAUCAAUAAAUUUAUUUAAUUAAAUAAAAAGGAAUAGCUCAAACCCAAUCUUUAUCUACUUCCAAAACCAAUGCUAGUUGACCGUUUCCCUGGACUUAUUAGACCACCAACAAAUUUUUUAAUAUAUGCUGCACCGACCGUUAUUUUUACCGCCAUUUUUAUUACUUCGUUAUAAUAAAAUUUGAACCCCCAUCUAUUAAAUGAAGAAAUUUAUUAAGAUAUAAUCAUCACCCACCAUACAACGAGUGGAUAAAAAUAACAAUAAAAAUAAAAGCAUGCAUAUCACAAGAUAUUAAAAUUUUAAUUCAUUGUUCCGUGCUAAAAUAAAAACUAAGAUAUUGUUUAUUUAUUUUUAUUUAAUUUUAAAUAGAACUUAAACUUAAUAAUGUUAAAUAUUGUAUUAUCUAUUUUGUAAUAUAUUUUUAUUAAAUAUUAAAAAAUAAAGAAAAAUCAAUAUAUUACUUUUUUUUUAAUUCAAAAAAAGUAAAAUAUUUUAACUUUUUUAUUUAAUAAAAAAUUUAUAAUGAAUUACAAAAAAAUAAAAAAUAAAAUUUAAAAUCUAAAAAUAAAUUACUUUCAACUCAAAAGUUAAAAAAACAAACACCUUCUAAGAAUCAUUUGAUAGUGUAAUAAGAUCUGAACUUAAACCUAAAAUUUGAAUUUAGAAAAUGAUGGGCUAAUGAUAUAUUAUUCUUGUUUAGGCUUUGACUCAAUAGAAGAGGAAAACAAGAACCCUUGUCAUCAUAAGGAAUACUACUUGCUUUGUCUACUAAUUGCUUUUAAUUUUAAACUUGCCCAAUCAAAAAGUUGUGACCAUCAAGUGAAGGAAGAAGACUCAAUUGUGGGGCAGUAGAGAGGAACUUGAGUGUGGAGGAAGGUUCAUCCAUUUUAUUGAUGGAGAAGAUAAAAUAAAAUGACAGUUUAAACUUUAGAGCCUGGUUGUUAACACUGUUCUCAAAACACAAAAAUAUGAUAUGGUAAUUUUAUGAAAACAUAUUUUAGUAGCUUUAAGUUAUUUUCACUUUUUUUUAGGAUUAUUUUUAAAAAUAAUAAGACAAAUAUGAAGAAUAGUUAAAAAUAAAACACUAUAUAUAAAAUUUAAAACUAAUUCAAAACAUUCCAAAUUCUCGGAUAGACUUUUACUUUAGAAAACAUCGUAAAACUUUUGAAAAUUAUUUUCAAAAACAUUUCUAGACAGACCCAUCAUGUUUGAAUGUCAAAAUGACCUGUCAGCUUAAUGGUAAUGAAUUGUGAUAUACAAUUAACUAGUGCAAUAAAAAGUUAAAAACACAUAAUAAAAUAAAUAAAUCAAUAAAGAUAUAGGGAGUAAAAAAAUAGUUCACAAAGAAGCAACGGCCUCAAGGAGAAAGGAAGAAAUAGGUUCAUUUCAUGUAGGUAUUUGGCCUUUUGAGUUUUUGCUUUCCUGCUAGAAACCUGGAGAGAAGUACCUAGAACUAAAAUGAGCUGUACUUUUUGUAGGACCUAUUCACACAACUCUUUAUUUUUUCAUUUUUUUUUCUCUUUUCCCCUUUUGGUAAGCUGCUAAUACUGGAGAAACUGUUACAAGGAUAGAUAGCCAGCUGUGCCUGUACAUAAAUUUAUCUGCAGAUGAUUGCUAUAUGUCUGAAAUCAUUUAUCCAUCCUGAGGUUAUUACAGAGAUGGCCAAGUUCAGGCCUUGCAUCCAUCCAAGCUGUGAAUUCUGUCUCGGUUGCAGAGGUGCAGUAAAGGUAGGACCUGAAUGUGAUGAGGAAAAAGUACCGCCUGCAAUUGCAAAAAAGCCAAUAAUUACUUCAAACCAAAGGUAUGCUGCUAUAGCUGACAACCUAGUGACUAAUUGCUGACUGAGACCACUAACUGUAGCAGAUAAUAUUCAUCAUACUCUUCGUUCUAAACAUUGAGAGGUUGGGCAUUCUGCCCAUGGAAAACUACAACUCAUUCAUUUUUCUCAGAUUUAUCAGUGCUCAGAAAUGGAUCCAUGUGUUGAUCUUGGGGAUCUUUAAUUAGCUAAUGAAUGGGUCCAUGUCUCUACCAUUAAUCAUGGGAAAGGAGCAAAAAAAUGACCCACUUAACUACCUGUAAGGUUUGAUGACUCAAUAAUGUAAACUGACCUUAAAGCUUUAAUGCCCAUAUCCAUGAGGUAUGCUCGAUGCUCAUCAUCACCAUUGGAGAACUUCUCGAGUUCCUUGCUAUAAAAGAGAAUAUCAUGUCGUAAAUUCCCAGCACCUGCACACCUUUAAAACAAAGGAACAAACAAAACAUCGUUCAGAGAAAGAAAAGCUAUCUUAUUGACACAUCCUUUCAUUUUAUCUGCAAAUGGUAUUCAACUAGGAUAGGAAUCAUAAUAUAAACAUAAUUUGGGGACAUCUCCAUGGAGAUCAGUGAACAUAGACUCUAAUGCCUUGUCAUGCCAUAAAAGAGAACCCAAGCUAACCAUGUUUCAUAGAAUCUCAAUGGUGAUUCCAUCUCUGCCUUCUAACUUCCCUAAGAAAUGUUUGAUUGACACCACUAGUGAAGAAGUUUACACCCCUCUCUCCAUGCCAAUUUGAGGGAGAUAAUCCCUAUCCUAUAGGUACAUGGACAAAGAGUCAUGGUACAUCAACUAAUCAUGUGGCACACAUUGUUGUAUGAUAUAAUGGCUUGUUCUAUUGAUAAACAAAUAGCAAAAAUAAAUUUAAUAGAAAUCAAGAGUUCCUUUCCCUAUCAUUUUCUGACAUGUGAAGUAACAUUUACCAAACAAUAUAAAGUUUUUCUUUCUUCACCUAGGGUUUUAUUUUCCUUGCUGAUUGUCUCUCUAAAGUUAGGGUAGGAAAUUUUCUAAACAUGAUUACUACUGAUAUUAUCCUUAUUAGCCCACAUUUCUUCCUCUUUUGGUUUCUUCAAAGGACCAAAGAAAAGAGUCUACCUUUUGUAGAAGAAUUUCAAAAUCUUUCACACAAUAUUAUGACCAUGUCCAAUAAUAAUAUUAUGUCUUUAUAUUUAAAAUGCAUAAUAUUAAAAGAAAUAAGAAAGCCUGAUAAAAAGAAUCCUUCACAAACUAAACAACUAAACUGCUAGCCAGGAGUACAGCCCAACUAAAAGCAUUAAGUUACAAACUUGAAUUAGUCUAUUCCCAGGAUGAGUUGAAGAGAUGAUUCUCAAGUCCAACAAACAAGAAUGAACCAAGAGGACUAUUAGAUGAUGUACAGUUAUUUAGGUUAUUUACUUUUCCUUUUCCUUUUCCUUUUCUUUCCUUAUUGUAUUGUGGGUCCCACUAACAUGUAUAUAUACCCAAGUCCAAUGUGUAUUAUUAACAGUUUUUCAAUAACAAAAAUUAGAGAUUCUCCCUUUUCUCUCUUUUCACAUGGUAUAAGAGCCUAGGGAGAAAAAAACCCUAAUUAUUUUCGGUUUAUCCGUGAAUUCAUUCUGGGAAAUAUUUCAGUGACCGUGUUUCAUUCCGGUCACCUUUCCCAUCUCCUAAAGCUUUCCGAUCAACCGUAUCGCCGUCAGAAAACUCUCACCGCCGGCGACUUUUCCGGCAACCUUUUUCCGGUGAAGUCCUUUUUCGACACCAACCAUACCAUCAGGUGCGCAAGGAGGAGAUCUUCAAGUUUUCUCAAAGCACCGGAGGGAGAUUCUCAGCCACGCGCUGUCCAAGCGCGUUUCUUCUCUGGCGGCCUGAACCUCACGCGUCGGCGUGUGAGGGCGCGUGGAGCACUUUCCGGCCACGCGCUUCCACUUCCAGCCUCACCUAACGCCGUCUAGCCACCUUCCAUUUGUGCUUGUGCCAUCCGAGCCCUGAAAGUGCAUUUUUUGGGGUUUUUUUUUGUCUCCGUCGACCCUCUAAACAACCUUUCCGACAACCUCCGGUGACUUCCUCUCCAUCCCGAGCCUUGCACGUGUCUUAGGAAGUGUUCUUCUACCCUUCCAGUAGUGCCACAUUUGUUUUUCUUUACUAUUUGGUCUCUCACAGCCGUGGAUCCUCGGUUUUUUUUCUUUCAGCCGCGAUCUGAAGCCGUAUUAGGGCUCUCUUCGAUCCAAACAUAUUUUGUUCUCCAGAUAAAUAGAUAUGGCUACUAAAAGUUCCACUUUUUCCUCUGUCAUAUCUAGAUCUCCUAUAAUUACUUCGUAGAAAUUGGUUGGCAGUGAAAAUUAUUUGUCUUGGUCUGCCUCUAUGGAGCUUUGGUGUAUGGGUCAAGGUUAUGAGGAUCACCUUGUUACGCAGGAAGCGGAUAUCCCUGAGGUUGACAGAGUACAAUGGAGGAAGAUAAAUACACAGUUAUGUAGUGUGUUAUGGCAAUCAGUUGAUCCUAAGAUUCUGCUUCAUCUUCGGGCCUACAAAACAUGCUUUAAAUUUUGGAAUCAAGCGAAAGGGCUAUACACGAAUGAUAUCCAACGUCUUUAUAAGGUGGCUUCUUCUAUUGUCAAUGUUAAACAACAAGACAUGGAUUUAUCUACUUAUAUUGGUCAGAUUGCCUCUCUUAAGGAGGAAUUCUUGACCGUGAUGCCUCUUACUACUGAUGUUGGGGAUCAACGAACACAGAUUGACAAGUUCUUCAUAGUUCUUAUGCUUAUUGGCCUCCGUCCAGAUCUCGAGACCGUCCGUGAUCAGAUUCUUGGUAGUUCCUCCGUUCCAUCCUUGGAUGAUGUGUUGGCUCGCCUCCUCUGUAUCUCCUCCACUCAGACUUUGUCAUUUGAUAACACUUCAGAUUCUUUUGUGUUAGUUUCUCAAACUAACUCUCGAGGAGGACGCAGUGGUAACUGAGGUAAAGGCCAACGUCCUCAUUGCACUUAUUGCAAUAAGCUUGGCCACACUCGUGAUCAGUGUUAUCAGUUACAUGGGCGACCUUCCUGCACUGCCCACGUGGCCUAGUCAUCUGAUCUUCAGUCGCCUUAGCCUCCUAGUUCCUCCACAUCUCAGGGUAUUUCCCUCACUGACAGUGAGUAUGAUGACUAUCUCCGCUAUUAGGCCACCAAGUCAACUUCUGUUGCUUCUAUUGCCUAGACUGGUAAUGCUUUUACUUGUCUUACCCACACAUCUUCUCUUAGAUCUUGGAUUCUAGAUUCUGGCGCUUCUGAUUACAUAUCUGGUAAUAAGGAUCUUUUCUCUUCUAUUACUACUACCUCUGCCUUACCUACUGUUACUUUAGCUAAUGGUUCCCAAACUAUGGCUAAAGGUUUUGGUAUCGCUCAUCCUCUCCCUUCCCUACCUCUCCAUUUUGUCCUUUAUGCCCCUGAGUGUCCUUUUAAUCUUAUUUCCAUCAGCAAAAUAACUUGCACUCUUAACUGUUCUAUCACUUUCUUUGAUAAAUUUGUGACCUUGUAGGACCGGAGUACGGGGAAGACGAUUAGCAUAGGACGUGAGUCUCAAGGCCUCUAUCACCUCCUCGCCUUCAACUCAUGCAGUUUGCAUUUCCACUGAUGCUCCCCUCCUCAUCCACAGUCGCCUAGGCCACCCUAGUCUAUCCAAGUUCCAGAAAAUGGUCCCUCGUUUUUCAUCUUUGUCGUCGCUUGCGUGUGAGUCCUGUCAGCUUGGGAAACAUACUCGUGUCUCGUUCCCAAAGCGUUUGAAUAAUCGGGCAAAGUCUCCUUUUGAACUUGUCCACACUGAUGUUUGAGGUCCUAUUGGACCGCGUCUACUUUAGAAUUUCAGUAUUUUGUCACUUUCAUUGAUGACUAUUCUCGAUGUACUUGGUUAUUUUUAAUGAAAAAUCGAGCUGAGUUAUUCUCUAUUUUCCAGAAAUUUUAUGCUGAAAUCCAAACCCAGUUCAAUAUUUCUAUUCGUGUGUUGCGCAGUGACAAUGCCAAUGAAUAUUUUUCUGCACCAUUUACUUCAUUUAUCUCCCAACAUGGGAUCAUUCAUCAGUCUUCUUGUGCUCAUACUUCUUAACAAAAUGGGGUAGCUGAACGUAAGAAUCGACAUCUUGUUGAGACAACUCGUACUCUCCUUCUCCAUAGUAAUGUUCAUUUUCGUUUUUGGGGGGACGCUGUUCUUACAGCAUGUUAUUUGAUUAAUCGUAUGCCCUCAUCUGUAUUACACGAUCAGAUUCCUCAUUCCCUUCUUUUCCCUGACCAACCACUUUAUUUCCUUCCUCCACGUGUUUUUGGUUGUACUUGCUUUGUUCAUAUUCUCACUCUUGAACAAGACAAACUUUCUGCCAAAGCCACAAAAUGCAUCUUUUUGGGAUAUUCCAGAUUUCAAAAGGGUUAUCGUUAUUAUUUCUCUAAGACUCAUCGCUACUUUCUCUCCACUGAUGUCACUUUCUUUGAGGACUCACCGUUUUUUUCCACCUCUAAGUCUCUUCCUGUUUCUGAAGUCUUACCCCUUCCCAUUAUCUCCCCACUUGAUGCAGUGCCUUCUCGCCCACUUCAGGUUUAUCAUCGCCGUCAUCGUGUCGCUGUUCCUCCUUCUUUGGCCGAGGUACUUGCUGACUCACUUCCUAUCCCUUCGGUUUCUCCUGCCCCGGCUCUGCCUCCUUUUGCUGACUUACCCAUUGCUUUUCGGAAAGGUAAUCGAUUUACUCGUAAUCCUCAUCCCAUUUACAAUUUUUUGAGUUACCAUCGAUUAUCUUCACCCUAUUCUGCAUUUGUUUCUGCUAUAUCUUCUGUUUCUCUUCCCAAGAGUACCCUUGAGGCUCUUUCCCAUCCAAGCUGGCGACAGGCAAUGGUAGAUGAAAUGGCUGCUUUACACUCCAAUGACACUUGGGAUCUUGUUGUUUUACCCUUUGGUAAAUUUACAGUUGGUUGUCGUUGGGUUUACAUAGUUAAGGUUGACCCUGAUGGUCGGGUUGAUUGCCUUAAGGCCCGCUUAGUUGUUAUACUCAAGUUUAUGGUUCUGAUUAUGGUGACACUUUCUCUCCUCUUGCCAAGAUAGCUUCUGUUCGUCUAUUGCUCUCCAUGGCUGCUAUGCGUUCUUGGCCUCUUUAUCAGUUAGAUAUUAAAAAUGCUUUCCUUCAUAGGGAUCUUGCUGAGAAAGUUUAUAUGGAGCAACCACCUGGUUUUGUUGCUCAGGGGGAGUCUGGUUUAGUGUGCAGGUUACGCCAUUCUCUAUAUGGCUUGAAACAAUCUCCUCGAGCAUGGUUUAGCCGUUUUAGUUCUGUUGUUCAGGAGUUUGGCAUGUUCCGUAGUACAGCAGACCAUUCCGUUUUCUAUCAUCAUAACUCUUCGGGAUAGUCUAUUUAUCUGGUAGUUUAUGUGGACAUCGUCAUUACAGGCAGUGAUCAGAAUGGUAUUCAGAAACUAAAGCAACGCCUUUUCACCCACUUUCAGACUAAAGACUUGGGGAAACUCAAGUAUUUCUUAGGGAUUGAAAUAGCUCAAUCCAGUUCCGAUGUGGUUCUUUGCCAAAGGAAGUAUGCUUUAGACAUCUUGGAAGAAACCGGUAUGUUAGACUGUAAACCGGUAGACACUCCUAUGAAUCCAAAUGUCAAACUUAUACCAGGACAGGGGGGAGCCUUUAGGAGAUCCUGGGAGAUAUCGGCGACUUGUAGGUAAACUGAACUACCUCACCAUUACUCGUCCAGACAUUUCUUUUCCUGUAAGUGUUGUUAGUCAAUUCCUACAGUCACCAUGUGAUAGCCAUUGGGAUGCUGUAAUCCGCAUUCUUCGAUAUAUCAAAAGCACACCAUGCCAAGGUGUGUUGUACGAGAACAGAGGUCAUACUCAAGUUGUUGGUUACACAGAUGCGAUUGGGCUGACUCACCCACAGAUAGACGUUCCACUUCCGGGUAUUGUGUUUUUAUUGGAGGUAACCUAAUAUCCUGGAAGAAUAAGAAACAAGAUGUAGUGGCCAGAUCUAGUGCUGAAGUCGAGUAUCGAGCUAUGGCUCUGGCAACAUGUGAACUCAUAUGGUUGAAACAUUUUCUUCGGGAGUUGAGAUUUGGAAAGGAUGAACAGAUGAAGCUCAUCUGUGACAACCAAGCCGCUUUGCAUAUUGCAUCCAAUCCAGUCUUCCAUGAAAGGACCAAACACAUUGAAGUUGGUUGUCACUUCAUUAGAGAGAAGAUCGCAUCAAGAUGUGUGGCGACUAGUUUUGUCAAUUCAAAUGAUCAACUAGCAGAUAUUUUUACUAAAUCUCUUAGAAGUCCUAGAAUUAAAUACAUUUGUAACAAGCUUGGUGCAUAUAACAUAUAUGCUCUAGCUUGAGGGGGAGUGUUAGAUGAUGUACAGUUAUUUAGGUUAUUUACUUUUCCUUUUCCUUUUCUUUCCUUAUUGUAUUGUGGGUCCCACUAACAUGUAUAUAUAUACCCAAGUCCAAUGUGUAUUAUUAACAAUUUUUCAAUAACAAAAAUUAGGCAUUCUCCCUUUUCUCUCUUUUUACAAGGACAAUCGACAAAGUUCUUAGCCAUAGGAUUCCAAAUAGAGGUUGAAAAGUCAAUCAUGUUCCUCAACUUUGCAAGUAUUUUCUCUAUCCUUUAAAAUCAUAGUAUUUCAUUAAAUCAAAAUCACAAAUAUGAGCAAGAAAUGCAGAAUGCCAAAGAAUUUUGAUCCUUCACAGCUCCAAAUUUCAAGAUACAGGUACAUGGCCAAAAAGGAUCUCAAUCAUAAGUAGACGACACUUGGACACAAUAUUAUAAAAGAAAAAAAAAGAAAUAAUUGGAUAUCAGUCAAAAGAAAAGUAUCCUUGAUAAAAACUUCCCCUCUUCUAAUUAUCUCAAAUAUUUUCUUUCUUAUCCAUAGGCCACAGGCAUUCUUACGAAAGUUCAUUUUUUUAAACCUCUUUCUUUCUUCAAUAUAAAUAUUUGCUAAGAAAGUUGAAAGUAAGAAACAAAUCAAUUAAAAUCAACAAUAUAUCCAAAAUGUAUUAGUAGUUAUCUAACAAGUAUUUCACACCCACACCUAUGUCCUAUCAUGCCUACAUGAGUAACAUCGGGUGAAGUUGCAAAGUCUGAGUAUCAUAGCUGCAAGGGAAAGAAGGGUACUAAGGGGUCCCUACAAGGAAGAUGGCUUUUUUUUUUUUUUGUUUUUAGGUAAAUAGCUAUUGCUGUUCCUCAAAGAAAGUGACUCAGUAUAAUGUCAUGUUAUCAUGAGAACUUACUGGUUGCACUCAAAUGGAUAGAGGACGCUUAGGUGGUUCCAUAAAUGUCUUUGAAAAUUCAUUUCCUGAGGACCCCAUGACUUUGAUUGCUUAUUUGUUUGAUUAUAGGAAAUGGUUCAAAAAUUCUUUUAUGGGAGAUUUUGAGGGAGGUUAACUGCUUUGCAUCCUUUGUCCUUGACUUUAUGCCCUUUCUAGGGAAAUAUAUAUUCUCAUACUUCUCAUUGUUACAUCAACCCAAAUCUCCAUAUCCAAAACCCUUAUUAAUUUUUCACUGUAAAUUGUCCAAUUAAGAUAUUGGUAAUCUCCCCUAUCCAUAAUCUCUUUGCAACAUAUUUAUUUCUCUCAUUCUUUCCUAGACGAGGGGUGCUGAACAAAUGCUUCUUUUGACAUUUUUCCCUCAAAGUUCUUUUACCAUGCCUUCUUAAAGAGCAAUCUGCCUUGCAUUUUUCCCUAAGUCAAUUUCAUGUAGAAGUCUAAAGCUCCCUUAAAAUUCAAGAGCCUUCACAAUGUUAGCUGCCAAGAAAAAUGCAAAUACCAAUGACUUGCUAAAAAUUGGGACACCUUAUACCACCUCUGAGCAGUGCAUUCCUUGUUUAGGUAGGGGAGAGAUGAUUAAGCAUCUCUUCCUUGUCUGGUUAGACAAGGCGUGCCACAGAGAUUGUUUGGUUUAGCAGGUAUCUCCUGGGAUUCUUCUAGAAGCAUCACAAACAUGAUGUUGAUGGUGUCCUAGGAUUUUGGGAACAAACUGAAGGGUCGAACAAUCUUGCAGGAAGCAAUUCAUGUCAUUCCUUGGGUGAUAUGGACUGAGAAGAAUACAGGGACUUUUUUAAGACCAGUGGAGAACCAUAGAUGCCUAGUGAGAUUCAUCUCAAUACUUAUUUUAUAACAGUAUCUGUUACUAAAGAGUCCAGUGGUAUUCCCAUAAAUAUAACUAUGAUGGAUUAGAGAUGAGUUAGCAGUUACUUGAGAAGGAUAUUUCCUCCUACAGUUUAGGUGGAAACCUACACAUUCUUAAUCUUGAUGGCUGUUCAUUGGACAACUUAGGCCAAUGUAAACUGGUAGUUCAUUUAAAGAUUCUGAGAGCAAGGUGGUUAGGGGUUUUUUUCCCAAGCCAGUUGGAUUUAGCUUGGCCAUUGAAGCAAAGGCCUUUGUGUUACUGAAGGGUUUGCUAGAAGCAGCCCAUUUAAUAAUAUUUUCAGGUGGAACGUGACUUGGUUGAUGUUCUUUCACGGAAUCAUGGGUGCCUCAAGGAAAAAGGGGGCUGUGAAAAAUGGAACCUUGGAUUAAAAAGAUUAUUAACUUCUCAACAAUAGGGAUGUUGUUUUGCUUGGGAGGCUAGAUCCAUACACCAGACAGCAGAUAGAUUGGUCAAAAAGGAGACCCUAUGCUAGAGGCUUUUCUUAAGCUUUUCGUUCAAAGGAAAUCUAUAUGUUUAUGUUGGGGUCUAGUUAGGGUUUUUGGAGGAUAUCUUUUGAUGCCUUCUUGUACGAUUUUGACUUCUUAUUCCCUUUCUUGCUGUGUUUAUCUUUAAGGAUAACUCAUCCUUCCUUGCAAUUGGUUACUUUUCUAUUAAUAGUAUCAAAGAUAGUAUACUAUUUUCGUAGUAGUUGAUGUCUUAAGCAGGAUGUUGAGAGUAGAGGAAAAUGGUAUCUUGGAAGGAUUUCCAAUUAGGGAAUAAGGGUGUCCCACUUGCGAUUUGCAAAUGACACCAAUUUUUUCUCAAGUGCUACUAUGGAAGAUUUGCAAAACCUUAAACUAAUAUUGUUAGUUUUUGGGUACAUUUUAGGUCUUAAGAUCAAUUUAAGCAAGAGCACUUUAUUUGGUAUCAACAUGAGUCAAGAUUAGAUCUCCAGGCUGGUUUUGAUGCUUGAAUGUAAGGUCUUUGAAUGACCUUUAACCUAUUUAGGUCUUCCUCUAAAGGAGCACCCAAAGGCUAUUGAUUUUUGGGAUCUAAUAGUAAAUAAAAUUUUGCAAAGGUUAGAUGGUUAGAUAAAGUGGUUCUGUGUUCAAGUGGACGAAUUAUACUAAUCCAGUCUUGCUUGUCUCGUAUUCCUAGUUAUUUCCUUUUGCUAUACAAGAUCCCAUUAGUAGUGACGAUAAAGAUUGAAAAAAUGUAAAGAGAUUUUUUAUGGUUAGGGACGAGGGAGGAAAAAAGAGAUCAUCUCAUAAGUUGGGCCUAAGUGUGCAAGCGUAAGAUGGAAAGGGUUUGGGACUUGGGAAUUGGGAAGAUUUCUUUAAGGAAUAGAAUACUCUUAGGGAAAUAGCUUCGGAGGUUUCCUAGGAAAAGUGACACUCUUUGGCAUAAAGUAAUUUUGAGUAUCUAUAGUGUUGAAUAUAAUGUAUUUAUAGUGUACAAUCUUUCUUUCAUUUCUUAAUAUAGGUCACAUAUAUGGUAGUUAGUUCAACCUAGCCUUGUAUAUAUAUUUCUCUAUUGUAAGAAGUUAAUCAUAUGAAUGAGAAUUAAGGUUUUCUCUCUCUCUCUCUCUCUCUCUUUCAACAUGGUAUCAGAGCCAAGGGAGAAAGCUUUAUUCUUUCUGGUUUACCUGUGUAAUUAAUUUCGGGAAUUCGUCCAGUGAUCGUAUUUCAUUCCUGUCACCUUUUCCAUUUCCCAAAACUUUCCAGUCAGCCAUAUUGUGGUCAGAAAACCCUCAUCACCAUCAACAUUUUUCCGGAGACUUUUCCGGCGACUUUUUUUUCCGGCGAUAUUUUCCGACACUGACCACAUCAUCAGGAGUGCAAAGAGGAGAUCUGCAACUUUUCUCAAUGCACCGGAGCCAAAAAAUGAUCCACGUGCCUCCCACGCGCCGUUUUUCUCCGGCGGCCUGAAUCCCAUGCGCCAGCGUGUGAGGGCGCGUGACCCACUUUCUGGUGUCGAGCUUCUACCAGCAGGCUCGUCCGGCACCGUCUUGCACUUCUAAGCCUCCGUCAGUCCUCUCCGAACCCUACUUCUCCAUUUUUUUGGCAUUUCAGCCUCCGCGGGUCUUCUUUCAGCCUCCUCCGGCCUCCGACGGUAGCUCCCUUCCUUGGUCGAGACCUGUGUGUGCCUUGGGAAGGCCUCUUCUUCAUCUCCAGUCACUUUUCUCCUUUGUUUGGGUCCCGACAUACCAAGUUCUUUUUCCACAGCUGUGAUCCGACCUCCCUUUAGGGCUCUCUUCGAUCCAAACGUGAUUCAAUCUCAAGUGAAGUGGAUAUGGCAACUAAAAAUCCUAUUUUUACAUCUGUCAUCUUUGGAUCUCCUACUAUCACAUUGGAAAAAUUGAUUGGUAGUGAGAAUUAUCUCUCCUGGUCAGCGUCCGUGGAACUUUGGUUUAUGGGACAAGGUUAUGAGGAUCAUCUUGUUACACCUGAUGUUGACAAAGUGCAAUGGAAGAAAAUCGAUGCACAAUUAUGCAGCGUAUUAUGGCAAUCUGUUGAUCCCAAAACUUUACAUCAUCUUCAUGCCUACAAAACCUGCUUUAAAUUUUGGACUCAGGCUAAAGGAUUAUACACGAAUGAUAUUCAACGAUUUUAUAAGGUGGUUUAUGAUAUUGUUCAUGUGAGACAGUAGGACAUGGAUCUGUCUACUUAUAUUGGCUGAAUUGCAUCUCUUAAGGAGGAGUUCUUAACUUUGAUGCCCUUCACUAAUGGUGAUGAAGCUCAACAAAUACAGACUGCCAAAUUUUUUAUGGUGUUAACCCUCAUUGGCCUCCGUCUAGAUCUUGAGUCUAUCCGAGAUUAGAUUCUUGCUAGUCCAUCAGUACCAUCAUUAGAUGAUGUGUUCGCUCGUCUCUUACGCCUUUCCUCUACUCAGACCUUGUCGACUGAUGGUCCUUCAGAUUCAUCUGUGUUAGUCUCUCAGACUAACUCUUGAGGAGGACGUAGUGGCAAUCGGGGUUGAGGACAACGUCCUCAAUGCACCUAUUGUAAUAAGCUUGGUCACACUCGAGAUCGUUGCUAUCAGUUACAUGGACGACCUUCUCGCACUGCCCACAUUGCUCAGUCAUCUGAUCCUCUACUAUCUCAACCUGACUUUGUUGCGAGCUCCACAUCUCAAAGUAUCACCCUUACUGGUAGUGAUUAUGAUGCCUAUCUCCAAUAUCAGGUAGCCACAUCAGCUUCUGUUGCCUAGACCGGUAAUGUCUCUGUCUGCUUUACUCAGUCUCCUUCUCUUGGCCCAUGGAUUCUAGAUUCUGGAGCAUCUGAUCAUAUCUCUGGUAAUAAACACAUUUUCUCCUCUAUUACUACUACCUCUGCCUUACAUAUUGUUACUUUAGCUAAUGGUUCCCAAACUAUGGCUAAAGGUAUUGGUUUGGCUCAUCCUCUCCUUUCCCUACCUCUCCAUUCUAUCCUUUAUGCCCCUGAGUGUCCUUUUAAUCUUAUUUCCAUCAGCAAAAUAACUUACACUCUUAACUGUUCUAUCACUUUUUCUGAUAAAUCUGUGAUCUUGCAGGACCGGAGUACGGGGAAGACGAUUGGCAUAGGGCGUGAGUCUCAAGGCCUCUAUCACCUCACAUCACCUUCAUCUCUUGCAGCUUGCAUUUCCACCGAUGCUCCUCUUCUCAUUCACAGUUGUCUGGGUCAUCCUAGUCUCUCCAAGUUCUAGAAGAUGGUCCCUCGUUUUUCCACUUUGUCGUCUCUUGCGUGUGAAUAGUGUCAGCUUAGGAAACAUACUCGUGUCUCGUUCCCAAAGCGUUUGAAUAAUCGGGCAAAGUCUCCUUUUGAACUCGUCCACAAUGAUGUUUGGGGUCCGUGUCGGACCGCAUCUAAUUUAGGAUUUUAGUAUUUUGUCACUUUCAUUGAUGACUAUUCAAGAUAUACUUGGUUAUUUUUAAUGAAAAAUCGAGCUGAGUUAUUCUCUAUUUUCCAGAAAUUUUAUGCUGAAAUCCAAACACAAUUCAAUGUUUCUAUUAGAGUGUUACGCAGUGACAAUGCUCGGGAAUAUUUUUCUACAUCCUUUACUUCUUUUAUGUCCCAACAUGGGAUCCUCCAUUAGUCAUCUUGUACUCAUACUCCUCAACAAAAUGAGGUUGCUGAACGUAAAAAUCGACAUCUUGUUGAGAUAGCUCGUACCCUCCUUCUCCAUAGUCAUGUUCCUUUUCGUUUUUGGGGGGAUGUUGUUCUUACAGCCUGUUACUUGAUUAAUCGUAUGCCCUCAUCUAUAUUACAUGACCAAAUCCCUCAUUCCCUCUUUUUUCCUACCCAACCUCUUUAUUUCCUUCCUCCUCGUGUCUUUGGUUGUACUUGUUUUGUUCAUACUCUCAUACCUGGACAGGACAAGCUCUCCGCCAAGGCUAUGAAUGCAUCUUCUUGGGAUACUCUCGACUUCAGAAGGGCUAUUGUUGUUAUUCCCCUGACACUCAUCGUUAUUUUCUCUCCGUUGAUGUCAUCUUCUUUGAGGACUCUCUAUUCUUCUCAUCCUCUGAAUCUCUUCCCAUUUCUAAAGUAUUGUCACUUCCCUAUAUAUCCCUUCCUUUAGAUGCGCUCUCUCGUCCUCUUCAGGUUUAUCAUCGUCGACAUCGUGCUAUUGCUCCUCCUCUCUCUUCAGUUGAGGUACCUGAUGACUCACCUCCUGUCCCACCGAUUUCUCCUACCCCGGCCCUAUCAUCUACUGACCAUUUGCCUAUUGCUCUUUGGAAAGGUAAUCGAUCUACUUGUAAUCCUCAUCCUAUUUAUAAUUUUUUGAGCUACCAUCGAUUAUCUUCAUCCUAUUCUGCCUUUGUCUCUACUUUAUCCUCUGUUUCUCUUCUUAAGAGCACUAGUGAGGCACUUUCUCAUCCUGGGUGGCGAUAGGCAAUGGUUGAUGAAAUGGCUGUUCUGCACUCCAAUGACACAUGGGAUCUUGUUUCUUUACCUCCUGGUAAAUCUACAGUUGGAUGUCGUUGUGUCUAUAUUGUUAAAGUUGGUCCUAAUGGUCAGGUCGAUCACCUUAAGGCCCGCUUGGUUGCCAAAGGUUAUACUCAGAUUAAUGGUUGUGACUAUGGUGACACCUUUUCUCCUGUUGCCAAGAUUGCUUUUGUUUGCUUAUUUCUCUCCAUGGCAGCUAUGUGUCAUUGGCCUCUUUAUCAGUUGGAUAUUAAGAAUGCUUUCCUUCAUGGUGAACUUCUCGAGGAAGUGUAUAUGGAGCAACCACCUGGUUUUGUUGCUCAGGGGGAGUCUGGUUUAGUGUGGAAGUCACGCCACUCUCUAUAUGGCUUGAAACAGUCUUCUCGGGCAUGGUUUGGGCGUUUUAGUUCAGUUGUUCAAGAGUUUGGAAUGCUUCAGAGUGAAGCAGAUCAUUCAGUUUUCUAUCAUCAUAACUUUUCAAGCCAGUGCAUCUAUUUGGUAGUUUAUGUGGAUGACAUUGUCAUUACAGGCAGUGAUCAGGAGGGUAUCCAAAGACUAAAGCAACACCUUUUCAACCACUUUCAAACCAAAGACUUGGGCAAACUCAAGUACUUUCUAAGACUUGAAAUAGUUUAAUCCAGUUCAGGUGUGGUUAUGUCACAAAGGAAGUAUGCCUUAGACAUCUUGGAAGAAACAGGUAUGUUAGAAUGUAAACCUGUUGACACUCCUAUGGAUCCAAAUGUCAAACUUGUAACAGGACAGGGGAAGCCUCUAAGAGAUCUUGGGAGAUAUUGACGACUUGUAGGCAAACUGAACUACCUCACCAUCACUCGGCCAGACAUCUCUUUUCCUGUGAGUGUGGUUAGUCAAUUUCUACAAUCACCAUGUGACAACCAUUGGGAUGCUAUGAUCCGCAUUCUUCGAUAUAUUAAAGGAACACCAGGCCAAGGUAUGUUGUAUGAAGAUAGGGGUCAUACCCAAAUUGUUGGUUACACGAUGCAGACUGGGCUGGUUCACCCUCAGAUAGGCGUUCCACCUCAGGGUAUUGUGUUUUUAUUGGAGGUAACUUAAUAUCCUGGAAGAGUAAGAAACAAGAUGUAGUGGCCAGAUCAAGCGCCAAAGCUGAAUAUCGAGCUAUGGCUUUGGCAACAUGUGAACUCAUAUGGUUGAGGCAACUCCUUCAGGAAUUGAGAUUUGGAAAAGAUGAACAAAUAAAGCUAGUCUGUGACAAUCAGGCCGCAUUACAUACUGCAUCAAAUCUAGUUUUCAUGAAAGGACCAAGCAUAUUGAAGUUGACUGUCACUUCAUUAGAGAGAAAAUCGCAUCAGGGUGUGUUGCUACAAGUUUUGUUAAUUCAAAUGAUCAACUAGCAGACAUCUUCACUAAAUCUCUCAGAGGUCCUAGGAUUAAAUAUAUUUGUAACAAGCUUAGUGCAUAUGACAUAUAUGCUCCAACUUGAGGGGGAGUGUUGAAUAUAAUGUAUUUAUAGUGUACAACAUUUCUUUCCUUUCUUAAUAUAGGUCAUAUAUAUGAUAGUUAGUUCAACCUAGCCUUGUAUAUAUAUUUCUCUAUUGUAAGAAGUUAAUCAUAUGAAUGAGAAUUAAGGUUUUCUCUCUCUCUCUUUCAACAUAUAGGAUUCAUCCAAAUGGUUGGAACACCAGCAUUCUAGUUAGGUGGUCACAUAGAUGCCCUUAGAAGGCCAUUGCUCAAGUUUUCUAAGAUUUCAUUGGUCAUACUCGUUUUGUGAUAAGCGAUGGAGCAAGGAUCCACUUCUAGGAAGGCUUAUGGUGGGGGAUCAACCUCUAUACUCUCAAUUUCGAAAUCUUUUCAGAGUUGUGAUGAUUAGAAAUUCUUCUAUCUCAUAUGUUCUUGCAACCUCCCAUCCUUUAUUUUUCUUGGAAUCUUAUCUUUCAUUUUAAUCUCACUAAUGUGGAGAUAGGAUUUGAAAAGACUAAUUUCUUCUCUCUUUUGUGAGCAUUUGAUUCCAUCUAUCCUUGAUAAGAGAGCUUAAUCUUUAUAUUUUUCAAGUAUAUUUCACUAAAAUCCUUCCUUUUAGUCGUGUCCACUCUACUAGUUUCUAUUUAUUUCUCUAUCAAAAUUCAUUUGGCAAUCUAAAAUCCCAUCUAAGGUCAAGUUCUUUGCCUGGUCAACACCAAUGACUUGCUUCCGGUGAGAAAACCUCACAAAAUCCUUAGUCCUCACCAUCGCACUAGGCAUAUGAUGAAUGACGGGAUGAUUGCUCAUCAUUUUUUAUACUGAUCAACGACUAUGGUGCUUUGACAUAGAUUGUUCAAUGUGGUCAGGCUAGAUUAGGUUCCUCUAGGGGGCAUAAGUGAUAUGAAGACCAUUUCCUUUACAGGCAUGGCUUGGGAAGUACAAGUAGAGGCAAAACCCUUUAGAAAAGCCCAUGCCUCAAUUUGAUUUGGAUAUAGUAUGGUGGGAAAGAUAUGCAAGGAUUUUCAAGGAUAAAUGGAGAAGUAUAGAAUCGAAAUGAGACAUAAUUUACUUUUAUUCCUCUUUUAGGCCUCAACAACUUCAGAUUUCAAGGGCACUCCUCUUAGUAUUCUUCAGCUCAAUUGGAACUUGGUAUGUAAAUCGAGGUUUUAAUACAACAUAUCUUGGAGCAAUGCUUUGACCUCCUUUUGUAGCUGCAUUGAUUUCUUAGGAGGUUUUGAAUAGAACCUCUUUUCUUUUGUGCAGUGUGUGGUAUGUAAGUGUCUUAUUUUAUAUAUAUAGGCUUGUUACACAUUACAAAAGCAAAAAUAAACAGGACUCAAAUAUAAAAUGCAAAUGAUAGAACAAAGUGUCACAACCAGUAUUGUUGUUCAAGUGCACCCUCAUAGUUCAAUAGUGAACAUGUAGAUUAGUGGUGGAGUUAGAAAUUUGUUUUAUACAGGGCAGAGAUAAGGAAUAUAUUUCCAGUGUGAUGGGUUGGGAAAAAAUAAAUCAAAUUUCUAUUGUGGCUUGAUGAUAGCCACCUUAACCUCUUCAUGAAAGGCAAAGGAUCAAAUCUCAUUUUAGGACUGUUUUGGUUUUCAUUUUUCUCUCGGCACCAUGUGGCUCCGCCACUGAUGUAGAUCAUCAGCUGAAAUAGGUUCACCAUGAGUUGUGACUGAGUUUAUGAAGGAGUCAUGUUUUGUGCUAAUUCAACAUGAAUAUGCAAGAACAAAAUCUUCUUGAGAUAUGGGUUGGGUAGCUGCAAUAAGGCUAUUUGCAAUAGUUUUCAUUUUUAAUAGAUAUUCAAUGAUACAAAGAGUUUGAUUUCCUGUAAUUGUAAACAAAGAAGCUUGAUGUGAGCAUAGUUGAAAGUACCAGGUAACAAUGUAGUGUUUGAUGAAGGAACCACCAUUGUUGAGGAAUUGAGGUUGACUUGAACAGAGAAGAUGAAGAUGCAGCAAUGAUAUUGAGGCAUUAGAGUAGUAAAGACAAUAAUUUGAUGAAGAUAAUUUCUCCACUUCUCUUUUUGGAGACUAUAUUUAGAUUGUGUCACACUAUAAUUGAUCUCUCUACCGGGCUUUAUUAGAGAAUCAUAUAUCGCAUAUAUAGUUUCCACACAUUAUUCUAGUAUAAAUUUAAUAGGAUUUAAAUACAAAAAACCCAUAAUAAAACAUAAACAAAUUCCUUGGAGAAAUACAUAUACUUAUCCUUACUUGGUGUGUGUGAAUUCUCAUCCUUGUUUGGUGUGGCUGAAUCCUUAUCCUUAUUUUAUGUAUUGUGUGUUUGUGUGUAUAAAUGUGUGCAUGCACUUACAUGUGUAUGACCUAUAUCUGGAAUCUACCUUGAGGUCACCUAAAAUUCUACUGAUUGCACUUUUUUGAAUAUGACAAUUGUAAUGUCCUCAUAACAUAGAUGUAGCAUGUUUCCUAUAUUAAAUCAUUGUAGAGUUAAAGUUAUAAGCUUUUGUAUGUUUGGCUUAUGAGCCCUAACAAAGAGAUUUUUCUCUUUUAUUUCCUAUAUAUUACUCGUUUAUUAAAAGAAACUAUGGAAUAUUUUCAUCCAUUUAUUCCUCUAAUAGGUUUAUACAGUAUGAUGAUAAUUAAAUUGUACAUACAAACCUCUUCUUCUUCUUUUUCCCUUAACAAAUACAUAUAUCUAUUUAUAUGAUUUUGGCACUCAUAUUUGUACAACUAAUGGUCCUAAAAUGCGUUUGUGGAGGGUAGACAAAUAUUGGAUGUAGUGUUUGUUGCCAAGGAAGCCAAUAAUUCGAUUUUGAAAAGCAAUGUUGGCACGAUUUUGAGCAAACUUGACAUAGAGAAGGCUUACGAUCAUGUGGACUGGUCCUUCCAGAUUUCAGUCUUGGAAAAUAUGGGUUUUGGGGAGAAGUAGAUCAGGUGGAUUAAGUGGUGUAUAUCCACUACCAGUUUUUUUGGCUUUUUCCAAAGCUCUAGGAGCCUAAGGCAAGGAGACCCUUCGCCUUAUUUGUUUGUGAUUACUAUGGGAGCUCUUAGUUGCCUCCUAAAGAGAGCUGUAAGCAGGGGUUAUUUGUCGGCUUGUUAGGUGAAGGGUAGAGGUGGAGGGUUGAGAUCUCCCACUUGUUGUUUGCAAAUGAUACGUUGGUUUUUUGUUAGGCUUCUCAGUACCAGAUGACUUAUUUAUGAUGACCGCUUAUAUGGUUUGAGGCUAUUUCAGGGUUGAGAGUUAACUUGGAUAAAAGUGAGUUAAUUUCAAUGGGAAGUGUGGCUAAUGUGGAGGAUUUGGCUUCAAAGCUUGGUUGUAAGUGGGAAGCUUACCCUCCACUUACUUGGGGAUGUCGUUGGGUGCUCUUUUCAAGUCUAUGGCAGCUUGGGAUGGAGUAGAAGAGAGGUUUCGUAACAAAUUGACUAUGUGGAAGAGAUUAUAUAAUGCCAACGGAGGGAGAAUUACCUUGAUAGGAAGCACUUUGUUGAACCUACCUAUUUAUUUUAUGUCUAUCCUUUAUAGCCAAGUAUGGUCAGAUUAAGGUUUGAGGAAAUUCAAAGGGAUUUUUUGUGGGGAGGUGGGGCUUUAGAGCGAAAACCUCAUCUAGUAAGAUGGGUGACCAUUUGCUAGAUAAAGGAAAAUGAGGGAUACCUUUCUAUGACGAUGUCAACAUCUGCUUUGCUCUUGGGACCAUACAUGAGGACUCUUGUGAGGCUUAAUAUGUCCCGGUAAUCACCCAUUUUAUGCACUUCAUCAGAAUCCCGAGAAGGUGAGUUCUCUUCAAGUGUAGAAAACAAAUUUGGUGUGCUAAUCAAAGGUUCUGGAACCUUUGGUGCAAGCUUUGCCUCUGCAUCAAGUUUAAUGCAAAUAAUAGCCAUUGCGUAUGCAACUCCUCCAAACCCUGUAUGUGAGACGAAAAGAUAACAACCUGCAGAGCUGUAAAUAAAAGUUAUUAUAGUUCUUGACAUCAUUUUCGGGUUGAAAAUAUAAUUUCAGAAAGGAAAUUUUUCUAAAAUGAUGCUAAAAGAAUGCUCUCUCCUUAAAAAUUAUUGACUAAUUUAUGCAUUAGUCAAUCCUCAAAAAUGCCAAGAUCAAUACCCAAACCCAAAGUAACAGUUUGAUCAAUUUCCAUCAACAUCCGCAACUUUAGAAAAAGAAAGAUGUCCUUGCCAUAACAAUUUGGACAAAAAGACUAGCAGAAUUAUCAGAUCCCUUUUACCCUUUAGGGAGGAUAACUUUUGCACUUAAAAAUUUCAAAACCAUAAAGAGUAUUUUGAAAUUGGGAAUUUUAAUCUUCUUGUACCAUGUACAAAACAAUGUUCCUGACAUCUAUCCAUCCGAUUUUUCUUAUUUGAAGAAUCAAAAGCUAUGGCAAUUUGGUAUCAACGCAAGUUCUGAACUUCUAGAAAAAAAAAUGAUUUAUCCCCACAAAUAUGUGAAAAAACAAAAAAGAUUAUCAAAUACAUUAACAUUAAUUGUUCUUAUAGAAUUAAAUUAACCUUUGGCAAAUGCAAUGCUGCAGCUACAAACUAUUAUAUUUAAAGAUUGAUUGCUAAAGAUGAUGGGGAUAAAUCUCCAAAAUCUACUCAAGAAGAAAUAAAAGGAAAUAAUGAAAUCCGAAAUUACUCUAUCAAGGUGUUUAGGCAAUUUUGAAUCGUUUUAGGUUCUUUACUGUCAUAGCUGAUUAAUACUUGGUAUUUGAGCUGCAUUUAGAAUUGGGAAGUUUAUUUAUUGGAAAUUUCCUUACAAGAAGUUUCUAUAUUUCUACACUUUCUAAUUUUUUUUUUUUUAAAAAGGAAUUAUUUUUUUUCUUGAAGUUUCUAUUUUGAGUCCCUAGAAUCUAGAAUUUUCUUUAUUAGAAACCUUUAUUACAAGAAGUUUUUAUAAAGUUUCUAAUUUUGAAAGAAAAGUCUCUAUUUUCUUUUAAUUUCAUUAUUUAGAAGUUUAGAAGUUUUAAGAAAGAAAUAAGAGUCCUAUUAAGUUAAUAUGUAGGUUAGGUUUCUUUUUUCAUAGUUUUACUAAGUUUUUCGGGUUUUCUAAAGCUUAUAAAUAAGGCUAAUUGACAUAAAACAAGAUUAAUGAUUGAUGAUGAAUAAUAUUAAGUUUUUUGCAUACCUUGCAACUUUCAAUAGUGAGACUGCAUUGAUCUUCCUUAUCUUAAAAGGUCUUAUUAAGACUCUAAAGUUUCUUCUAUUUCUUCUUUAUCUUUUUUUUUUUUUUUUGUUAUCUUUUAUUUUAUUUUAUUUUUCCCCUUGUUAUACUCUUAUUCUUGUUUCCCUCCUGAACUUUUAAUAGAUUGAAACUCUAGCGAUGAAGAUAAAGAUGUUAAACUACACUUACAUUAGGUGUAAAUAUAGGAAGCGAUAGAUUUUGUUAUUUAUUAUUUAUUAAUUAUUGAUAAUGUUUUAUUAGAGUUAGGAUUCUUCUAAUCAGUUUCCUACUAGAGUUAGAAUUGUCUAUCUAUAUAUAGGCACAGUGAUGUUAACUACAUGAGACUUUUCUGAUUAAUAAUUUUCAUAAUUUCUUUGCAAUCUCUCUCUUCUACUUCUAUUCAUUCUUUUCUCUAUACUGUUCUGCAUCAUUUCGUAUCAAAUCUCUACUGUUCGACAUCACCAAGCCUCCCUUAUUUGAUUGUAGACCACCAUCCUAGGGUUGUACUACAUCAUAAGAUGACAUGUUCAACUAGCAAAGUGAAACAAACGUGUAAAGAUAGUGUAGACUUCUAGGUUCUCCAAAUAUUUGAUUCCAUGGAUUGGGACAUUGCAAUACAGGCACACUUUGAGGUUGAGUUUUCUACUUGGGGAAAUAUGGUAGGACUAUUUACAUGUAAUCAUGGGAAAUGCAAUAGAACUAAAAUUAGGAUUUGUUUUAGUAAGUAUUUUAAUUCUAACAGAAGCUUAUUCCAUUCAAGUUUUAUUUAUGAAUAUUUUGUACAUGGAAAGAGGUAAAUUUCCAAAUGCAUUGGGGUUUAAGUUUAGAAGGUACUAGAAAUAGUUUAUUCUGAUUGUCAUCCAAAUAAUAAAUGGGUAUUAGAUUAGGUGUCUUUUGGCAUGCUUGGAGUAUGUAUUAGAUUAGAUGUAUGUAUAACUAAUACAUACAUCUAACUGAAAUAAAAGGCUAAAAUAAUGCUUGAAGGGUGAAUGCCAGAUUUUGAUGAAUAAAAUUUAUUAAAUAUAUGUUUGGCUCAAUGAUCAUGAAACUAGCAUGCCAAAAGGCUCAAGUUGAGCUUGUCUAUGCUUGACACUCUGAAGUCAAGUCUAGGCCAAACUAAAUUUUUUAAAAUUAAUCCUCAAAGGGUACUAUAAUAAUUUCAUCCUGUAUAAAUAUUUAAGAAGAAAACAAUCCACAGAGAGAGAGCUUUUUGCCCUUUCUCUAACCCUGUCCUGACUUCAGCCCCAUUUCCUUCCAAAGUUCAGCAGUAAACAUGACUCUCCCUCUCCCAAGCCUACACCACAGGUUGCAAAAAGCUCUCUCUCUCUCUCUCUCGCUCUCCCUGAAUUGUUUUCUUCUUCUUUCUCUUCCUUAUUUCCCAUUGGGGAACUGUCUUCAUCUUAUUUCAAAGAACCAUGCAAGGUAUAUCACCUACUUUAAGAGUUGGUAAAGAGGAACAAUUUACAUACAUGGGUUUGUUGGCACAAUUACAUCACCUGAUCCAACAGCUGGUUCAGAACUAUGCAAGUUGCAACACCUACUACAGUGAUUGGUCAAAACCAACAACUUCUGAAGCUAAAGCUUUUAAUAUAGAAAUUAGUUUAAAAGCUUCCCUUUUAAUGUACAAAUUACUUUCAAUGUAGAAACUAGGAAUUGAUACUUACUCAUCUUUACAGUACUGGAUUGCAUCAACAUCUGAAGCUAAAGCUUCCCUUUCUCUUGUUAAUGGUAUCCUUCUAUGUGCUAUAUUAUACCCCUCAUCUUUCAGAGCGGCAUAUACUUCAGCAGGCGUCUUGACAUCAUCCACAAAGAUGUUCUCCCAGUAUCCUAUGACACUGCACUGAUUUAAAGCAGGGCUAUAUUCUUCACGAUGUAAAAGCAUUCGGCCGCCAGACUGUCUGACCUCAGAUAAUAUGUCUUCCUUCAACCGUGCCUCCAUGUGUUCCACCUGCAAAAUGUUUACAAAAGGAAAGUCAGGAAUAUAUUUGGCCUAAAUUACUCCUUAGAAUAAAUUGAAUGUGAUGACAAUGACACACCACUGGACCAGUAAUUCCCACAUGCUUGAGUGUAUCAACAGGUUUAUUUAGUUCCCUAAGGACAAAGGGUGUGCCAUUAAUGUAAACAACUGCCUCUUCUCUCAAAUCAGUUAAUAUCACUUUCUGAUGAAAACUUCCUUCUGCAAUGGGCUUGGCACCUAAAUAGGCUAACAUCUCUUUAGCACCAGUAAUAGUUGGAGUUGCCAUGCUAUACACAGGGUAUCCAUCCACCUGAAACAUAUGAAAAUUUUAGGCCACAAAAAAAGUGCAGUAUGCAGUUUAUCUCCUCAUAACAAGACAAGAUUCUAAGAAAAGGGAGUAGAAUACAAUCACAUGUUAAAUCUUUAGGCGAAAAAAGAAGAAGCAGAAAUAACAUAUAAACAAAGGCUCAGAAGUGACAUUUUAUGAACUUUAUCUCCUCACAAGAAGAUGAGCUUCUAAGCAAGUCUCCUUCUCUCUCUCUCUCUCUCUCUCUCUCUAUAUAUAUAUAUAUAUAUAUAUAUAUUUAAGUUCAAAAGUAACAUUUUAUGAUGAAGUUCAUCUCCUCACAACAAGAUGUGUUUCUAAGGAUGUCUCUUUCAAUUUCUAUCUCUCUCUAAUGCAAUACUCAAGUGCACCAUCAAUUUUAUACAUCUAUUAAGCUAAGGCCCAACCUGUACCCUUUGACCAAGCUAAGACCACACCCCAACCUGUACUUUUAGCCACCCUACAUAUGUAGACCUCUCUCCCUCUCUUCUCUGUUGGAAAAAUAUAAUCUUCUUAUUAUUUCUUUGAAAAAUUAGUACAAAUAUAUAUACAACUUUCAAACUUAUACAAUAAAUGGAAAUAGAAUAAGAUAGUUGACCUAUUUCUAAAAUUCCUCCUACAAAUCUUCUAAAUUACAAUUUCCCUAAUUUACAUAGUCAACUAACCUAAAUAUGCACAAAAUCAGGAAUAAAUCAAAUAAACUCCAUGAAAUCAAGAAUAAUUAUUGGAUUCUAACACUCCCCUCAAACUGGUUCAAAGAUAUCUUUCAUUCCCAACUUGCUAACCAUAGAGUUGAAUGUAGGAUUUUGAACUCCCUUUGUGAAGACAUCAGCUAGUUGUAGUUUGGAUGCAACAAAUGGAGUGCAAAUCAAUCCACUAUCAAUCUUUUCUUUAAUGAAAUGUCUACCAAUCUUAACAUGUUUAGUCCUAUCAUGUUGUACUGGGUUGUGAGCAAUGUUGAUUGUAGACUUGUUACCACAAUAUAGUCUCAUGGGAUUCUCAAGAUUAACUUGUAGUUCCCUCAAUAAACCCUUUAGCCACAUGAGUUCACAAAUGCCAAGGGCCAUGGCUUGAAACUCCGCUUCAGCACUAGACCGAGCAACUACAUGUUGCUUUUUGCUUCUCCAAGUAACCAAGUUGCCACCCAUAAAAGUACAAUACCCUAAAGUAGAUCUUCUAUCAGUAAUAAAACUUGUCCAAUCUGCAUCUGUGUAAGCCUCAACUCUAAGGUGAUUGUUCUUUGAGAACAAUAAACAUUUUCCUAGCGUUGACUUCAGGUACCCCAAGAUUCUCAAGAGUGCAUCCAUAUGCUAUAUCUGGUCUUGUGUGGGAUAAAUAAAUUAAUCUCCCAACAAGUCUUUGAUAUCACCUUUUGUCAACUACUAUUCCUUCAGUGAUGGUGCCUAAUUGAUGAUUUUGAUCAAUAGGUGUACCCGCAAGUUUACAUCCUAGCUUCCUGGUUUCAUUUAGCAAAUCAAGGAUAUACUUCCUUUGAGUAACAUAAAUUCCCCUUUUUGAUCUUGCCACCUCAAUGCCAAGAAAAUAUCUUAAAUUUCCAAGAUCUUUGAUUUCAAAUUCUUUUGCCAACUUUCCCUUAAGAUUCUACAUCUCUUCUACGUCAUUUCCAGUGACAAUUAUGUCGUCUACAUAAACAAUUAGUGUAAUAAUCUUUUUUUUAGGUGAUUGAUUGAUGAAAAGGGUAUGAUCUCUUUGGUUUUGGUGAUAGCCAAAUUUGAGCAAAGACUUAGCAAAUCUCUCAAACCAUGCCUGAGGAGACUGCUUCAAACCAUACAAUGAUUUCUUCAAUCUACAAACCUUUCCACCACUGAAUUUUCCUUCAAAACCAGGAUGCAAAUCCAUAAAUACUUCUUCUUCCAAGUUCUCAUGCAAAAAGGUAUUUUUUACAUCAAAUUGUUGUAGAGGCCAAUCAAGAUUUGCCACUAAGGAUAAAAGAACUCUAAUCGAAUUCAUCUUUGUCACAGGUGCAAAAGUUUCUUUGCUCCUAACCUAGAUUUAUAACUCUCAAUCGAACCAUCAACUUUGUAUUUUAUAGUGAACACCCAAUUGCAUCCCAUUGGUUUUUUUUCUUUAGGCAAAUCAACAAUAUCUCAUGUUUCAUUUUUAUACAAGGCUUUCAUCUCCUCAUUUAUAGCUUCAUUCCACCUAAGAUCACUUAGAGCCUCUUGUACAUUUUUAGGAACUAAAUCUGAAGACAAAUGAGUGGUAAAGGCCUUAGAUUGGUGGCAAAGUCUAUGAUAGGAUAGGAAGUUUGACAAAGGAUGUUUAAUACAACUUCUAGCACCUUUGCAAAUAGCUAUAGAAAUAUCAAGAUCAGUGUCAAAACCAUGAUUAAGAAGAGAGGGAUUAGAAGGAUUAGAUGUACCUAAUUUUGGAGUUGAUGAUUGGUCAUGUGUAAGAGAUUGGGUCUUGCUCUUGCAUUGGUAGCCUUAGCCUCCUAGUGUAAACCAUCAAGUUUGAAUCAGCAUUUUCUGCUACUGCUGGUUUUAUGAUGUCGAUUUCUUUUUUUGUCGUUGGUUGUAUGAUGCCUAUCUCCUCUACAUCACCAUGUUCAAUAGCAUUUUCUACUACUAUUGGUUUUAUGAUGUCGGUUUCUUUUCGUGAUGUUGGUUGUAUGUUGUUUACCUCCUCUACAUCACCAUGUUCAAUAGUACGACUCCAGAUAGGUAAAGGAAGCAUCCAAGACUAAUCUUCUUGUAAUAUUUUCUCCUCCUGAAGAUUAGAUUUCUAGUAAUAGGGUUGGUUUUCAAAAAAACUUACAUUCAUAGAGUCAAAUUUCCUUUGUGUAAGUGGAUGAUAGCACUUGUACCCUUUUUGUGUGGGGGAAUAGCCCAAAAAAAUACACUUAGUCGCUUUGGGAUCAAGUUUGGAUCUAUUUUUAUAUAGGAUAUGGACAAAUAUAAUACAACCAAAACUUUGGGUGGAAGGGAGCCAAGGCAAUUUAUGUGAGGUAGGUGGUGUUUUAGGAUGUCUAUUUGAGUCUUGGAGUUUAAGCUUUUUGUGGGCAUCCUAUUGAUAAGGUAGGCAGCUAGCACCGCAUCUCCCCCAAAAAAAUUUAGGAACAUUUCUAGCAAAUAUUAAGGCUUUAGCUACUUCCAACAAAUGCCUAUUCUUCUUUUCAACUACCCCAUUUUGUUGAGGAAUACUUACACAAGAGGUUUGAUGAAUAAUCCCAUUCUCCAAGAAAUAAUUUCCAAGGGUUUGGUUUAAAUACUCCCCUCCAUUAUCCGACCUCACAACUUGCAAUUUUGCAUUAAACUAGGUUCGGAUCAUUUGAUGGAACUGUUUAAGAGUGAGGAUAGUAUCAAAAUUUUCUUUUAGGAGAUAGAUCCAUGUGGUUCAAGUACAAUCAUCAUUAAAACUUAUGAACCAUUUUGCUCCUGAAUGACAAGGAACUUGUGAAGGACCCCAAACAUCAAUGUGAAUAAGAGAAAAAUUAAUUUCACUUCUUUUACUACUCAAAGGAUAAGAAAUACGGUGGUUUUUUGAUAACUCACAAACUUCACAUUGGAAUUUAGAAGGAUCCAGGUUGACACACAAUUUAGGGUACAAAGUUUUCAAAGAGAAAGAACUUGGAUGCCUUUAUCUUUAAUGCAUUAACCAGAGUUCUCCUUUUAUUUGAUGAGCUUGAAUCUUUCUUUACUCCUUAGUAACCAAGUAAUAGAGACCCUCUCUCUCUUUAGCACUACCAAUCACCUUCGCCGUAGUUAGGUCCUCAAACACACAAUGAGUGGAAAAGAAAGUUACAGAAUAAUUUUGAGAUUUUGUUAAUUUACUGAUGGAUAAUAAAUUACAAGACAUAUUUGGGACAUGCAAAACAGAUGAAAGAGUGAUAUUUGGAGUGACUGAAACAUUGUUUUUACCACUAACAGGAGUCAAAGAUCCAUUAGCAACCUGAAUUUUUUUUGUUACUAAAACACGAAAUGUAAGAUAAAAAAACAUUAGACUCUUUAGUCAUGUGAUUAGUUGUCCUUGAAUCAAUAAUCCAAGUGUUAGAAUGAAAAACACUAGAAGUACUAAGUGUUGUUUUAAAAGUACCUAAUUGUGCAAAAACACAAGAAGUGGAGGAAGAGGAAACAUCAGAUUUUCUGAUAAUCUUAUACAAGAGAUCUAGUUGUUCUUUUGUGAAAGGGAGACUGUUUGAGGUUGAUGUUUCUAAAUUGCAUCUUACCCUUGUGGCUGUCCUUAGCCCUUGAUUGUGGCUUUCCAUGCAAUUUCCAACACGUCUCUCUAGAGCAUCUUAGCUUAUUGCAAUGAUGACAAUAAAAGGUUACAAAUAUGAUAGGCAAGGCUUAACAAUGAGGCUAAGAAGAAAAAAGAAAACUGCUAAAAACCUUUUUCCAACUCUGAUACCAUGUUGGAAAAUAGAAUCUUUUUAUUAUUUCUUUGAAAAAUUAGUACAAAUAUAUAUGUAACAUUCAAACUUGUACUAUAAAUGGAAAUAGAAUAAGACAGCUAACCUAUUCCUAAAAUUCCUCCUACAAAUCUUUUAAAUUACAACUUCACUAAUUUACAUAGUCAACUAACCCAAAUAUGCACAAAAUCAGGAAUAAAUCAACUAAACUCCAUAAAAUCAUAAAUAAAUCAAAUAAACUCCAUGAAAUCAGGAAUAAAUCAAAUAAACGCCAUGAAAUCAGGAAUAAUUAUUGGAUUCCAACACUCUCAUUGUUCCAUGUGCCAUCAAUUUAUAUACAUAUUAAGCUAAGAUAAAAAGCCCAUUCUGUACCCUUGGGCUACCUAGACUUCUAUAGCCUGAAGUACUGAGAGCAAAUCUGACCCCAUAUUACACCUCUAUAUAUGUAGCCUUACCUGAUCCUGCCCCAUCAAUUAUAUAUAUAUAAAGAAAAGACGGAGGCCCAACCUGUACCCCUUGGGCUAGCCCAACUUCUAUGGCCUGAAGCCCCAAGACCAAACCUGAUCCUGUUCUACCCCUUAGAUAUUGUAGCCUUAUGAUACAAAGUAGGAGUUCAUGAACAUACCUCAUAAACAUGGGGCGCACCAUGAAUUUGUAUGUGGCUGGAGGUUCUCUGACCAGGAAAGAAGUACAUCUUAAGUAUAGAGCCCUUCCCCAGAACAGAACCAUUACGAGCCUUGACAAUGGCCUCCAUCACAGCAUCUCCAUGUUGAGACUCAUGUGGUGCUCUCAACUCCUCCUGGAAUAGAAAAUCGAGAAUUGGCAUGCAAUUAAAUCCAGAAACAAAUAGAAACAAGAAACUUUAAGAAAUGAAAUGUUUCUUUAAUCCCCUGAUACCCUAAGUUCGUAAAGAGAAGAAAAUUUACAGGAACAGUAAAAAAUCGUCCAGGCCUCAAUCUUAUGCUCCAUUUCAUUGCUUGGACCUCUGGUCUCCGUUGCAACCAGCUCUUAAAUGUCAUUUUGGAUUCUCCUUGUCCACAAAACCCAUCAAAUGCUUCACUUCCAAGAUAUGCUGCAAAAGCAAUUAAACGGAAGUACCGCUCCAAGUACUCAGCACCACGGUUUAACGCUACUCUUCUUACCCUUGGCUCAGCAUGCUGUUGAUUGAAUACCUUCCUGUAUUGCAGAACAGCUUGGCGAAUGUUCUGCAAAGCUGAACAUCUAUCAAUAACAGCGUCUAACGCCUCUCGACAUUCCACCCCAUUAUCAAACAAUCUGGUUAUCUUCCACAACAGCAGGAUAUCAUCUAUACCAAAUGCACGACCUUGCUCUUUUUCAGUUCUUACAUUUGAAAUACUUGAUGUAGAUGCAGCACCAUUACCUCCUGUCUCUUCACCACUUGAGCUACCACCAUCAACCUCUUCAUGGGAUAUAUCAUCGAGGAGGAUUCUAAUAGGUCUCCCAUAAUCAAUUCGAAGUUUAAGAAGACAAGCAAUUACAGUGCCAGUGGUUGUUCUUCCUAUACCCAUCUUUGGACAUUAAGAAGACAUUAGUUGAGAGACAGGAAAAGGAAAGAUAUUUCACAGAUUCUUGUGAGGUCAUGACAUAUCAAUAUAAAAGUACAAUCAAAGCAGAUUAAGAAUGAAAAAUAAUACCUGGCAAUUGAAAACAAAUGCGGUGUCCUUGGAAGCUGAGGCAAUAUUUACUGCUAACGUGUCAAAGUCAGAACUUUUGGGAGCUUUACCAUCAGUAAUAGGGACACGUGCAUACUUAAUGGGAAAACCAUUAGCCUCUAAGCAUCUGAAAACCUCCAGUGGUGUCUGGACUGAAUCAGAACUAACAUGUUCCCAAGCAUCAAAUAUUUUCCGAUCAUCUGUUUCAUGAAUAACCAUAAUAGCGUGCCCAUAGUGUUCAGCCUCUCGCAGAAUAUCUUCUUUCAAUCGAGCUUCCAUUCUUUCUACUCUCUCACGUUCAAUUCCCUGGAUGCAGAUAUCAUAUCAUUUCAACUUUAAUAGGAGGAGGAGGAUGAGGACGAGGAGGAGCAGAAGAAGAAGAAGAAGAAGAAGAAGAAGGAGGAGUAGGAGGAGGAGGACGUUCAAUUCUCUGGAUGCAGAUAUCAUAUCAUUUCAACUUUAAUAGGAGGAGGAGGAUGAGGACGAGGAGCAGAAGAAGAAGGAGGAGGAGAUACAAUCCUUGAUAUCUAUCACACAUCAAACCAUCUCCAACUCAAUGCAGCACACUAUGUAAUAGGUUCUCUGGUCUGAAGAGCAUUGACAUCAACUAUAUGGACAUGGUUUUAUUGUCCGGGUACAUUCUACUGACAACUUAUAAUGAGAAAAACAAAUAUUCACACAAUCACAACCAUUUGUCCCAUCAUGCGCAUGAAUCUGUUAACAAAGUUAAAUACAAGCCAGACACUCUAAUCCAUAUUCCCAUAUAACAAAGUUGAUACAGAUAUAAUGGGAAAAGUAGGCAUUUACCGUGUACUCCAACAUGUUUUUGUAUGGUCUUUCAACCUCACGAAGCACAAAUGGUUUGCCAUUGAUGUAGAUAACAGGUUCUUCUCGCAUAUUGUGCCAAAAAACUGGACGGCCAGAUUUAGAGCUACCAAUCCUCCAAAUGACAGAUUGAAUGCCAUCAAUGGUUGGAUUAGCAACUCCAUAAACUGGAAAACCAGGAACCUCUCUGAAGUUAGGUGCACCCUCCACUCUCUCUGGCAAACUUGAGUUUUGACAACCAGGACAGUGGUCACUUUUUAGAACUGUCUGACUUCCAAGAACCUCCCCAUUUCUCCGGGCAGCAACUACACCCAUCUCGUAAGGGCGGCCAUCAGCAGAAUCAGCAAUCUUUGUUAGAGAUGGCUCCAAGUUUGCAUAACCAAGUGCACCCAUGGGAUCCCUCCUGAGCAACCUGUAGAGAAAUACUGCACUGUAAGAAGUGAACUUUCCCAAGAUUUGAACUCAAUAUGGCAAAAGACCAUACAACAUAAAAAUCAAAAUAUGUCAAUAAUUAAUAGUUAUGAUAUGUUAGGAAAAACUAUUCUUCAAAUAAACUCCAAAAAAUUGGCUUUGGAUGAUCAUUCAUCCAGAGAAAAUAUGUCUUUUAAUCUCCAAGGCAUAAAUCCAUCCGUGUUGGUGUCUUUGCAGACACAGUAUUCUGCAAAUCUAUACAUAAAAAUGAAGAGAUUGCACUAUAAGAAUAACGAGUAUCAGGAAAUACCAUUAUCAAAUUUGAACAGCAGUGUUGUGGCCUUCAUAAGAAUGUAAUUCAUUUGCGUGAAUCAGGAGUGUAAAAGUCAAAACUUGAGCCACGAGAAGUCUUGGUGAGAGUUGGUCAAAUUCAAAGCCUGACUUUUUACCCAGGUCCCCCCUGGGUCCUCAGGUGUGUAUCCAUGGUUUAAUUAUUACAUGGAUGAAUAGGUCUUUGUAGGUUUAUUUGCCAGUUGAAUCUAGCUUCUAAGUUUCUUUUUUCAUCUCAUUCUUCAGUUGUAUUAAGCAACAGAAAUUUGUCUAUGAAACCAUGGAAGAAAGUAAAUGAUCAAGGAUGAAAAAUUGAAAGUCUCCCAGAAAAACCAGUUUCUUCUUUUACCAAGGAGGUCAACCAUGCAAGCUAGAAGCCAGGAAAUCAAUGUAAAGGUUUACAGGGAAGAAUAGAAUCUUCACAUGGUUCUUAUUGACUUAGAUAAAGCAUGUGAUUGAAUGUCUUUUAAGAUAAUGAGGUGAAUUUUAUGGAAAAGACGGUACUGAGUAGAUGUACUGAUGUGAUCAUUGCCACUUAUAAUGGAGCAGUAACUACAAGUCAAAUCCCAUCAUGAUAGCCUUACAGGAUUACACUGAGGUCGGCCCUACCUUUUGGUGUUGGUCAUGAACUUACUAUGAUGACCCAGGAUGAGGUCCAACAGUGUAUGUUCUAUGCCGAUGGCAUUGUUUUAGUUGAUGAAACUUGGGCUUAGAACUAUGGAAAGAACCUUAAGUAUGAUUAAGGCAGAGUAUAUGGAAUUUAACUUUAGUAACAUAGGCAAAAAAUGGGGGAAUAGUUGAAAUUGAUGUCAAAGGACAACUUGCUGUCCACACUUCUUCUUUCCUUAUUUUAGCCCACACUUCUUUCCUUAUUUUAGCCCACAAUUGUUUCCUUAUUUCCCUAUUUAUUAUUCUGUACAAUUAGCAUACAUUAUUUGACAGAUUAUAGUUUACAUGUACAGGGCUAGAAUCAUGCGGGAAUUUAUUUGCUUUUAUUUGCUUUCCAUGUAUAGCAUCCUUGUAAAGUCUAUAUAUAAUAUACAAAACUCAAGGCCAAGGUAUUCGGCCAUUCACACAAUAUUUUGACAUGGUAUUAGAGCAAGGUUGCUAAUUUUUCUUCCCUCAAAUUAUUUUUUGUUUUCUCGGUUUCGGAGGUGCCUCUCGUGUCUUUCGGUCAAGUCUGUGUUGAUCCGUGCUGCACCCAACCACAACCAUUUUUCUCGGUAUUUCUAUGGCUGUCAUGGGUCAGUUUUCUUCUGUGAUUUUUUUUUUUGUCUAUCCUUUUGUCUCGGGUUCUAUUUAUUUUCUAUGGAUUCCGCAUCUCUGUGUGUUAAGUUUACAGGCACAAAUUAUUCUACCUGCGCAUUUCAGUUUGAACUUUUUCUCAAGGAAAAAGACCUUUGGGGUCAUAUUGAUGGCACGGAUGUUGAAAAACCAUCCACUUUUGACAAAUCUCAGGAUGUUGGGUCUUCUCCUUCAUGGGCUGUGCUUGAUGCACGCAUCAUGUCUUGGCUUCUUGGUUCAGUGAAGCCUCAUAUUGUCACCCACUUGCGGCCCCAUCGCUCCGCUCAAUCUAUGUGGGCUUAUUUGAAGAAAGUUUAUCAUCAGGAUAACGAUGCUCAUCGCUUUCAGUUAGAACAUGUGAUUGCCAUGUUUCAACAUGGUAGUCUUUCCAUCCAGGACUACUACUCGGCAUUUCUGACUCUUUGGCAUGAAUAUGCUGAUUUGGUUACAGCGGAUGUUCCUAUUGCCGCUCUCUCAACUAUUCAGACUAUUCACGCGACUACCCGGCGUGAUCAGUUUCUUAUGAAACUACGUCCAGAAUAUGAAUCUAUCUGCUCCUCUUUACUGAAUAGAUCUCCUGUUCCCUCUCUUGCUAUUUGUUUUGGUGAGUUACUUCGCGAAGAGCAACGCCUUAGUACUCAAGCUAUUCUAGAGCAAUCUCAUGGCAGUUCCGGGACGGCAACUGUAGCUUAUGCCGCCCAAGGACGUGGACCACCUAUGCAUUCUAAAAACUUGCAGUGUUUCUGCUGCAAGGAAUAUGGGCAUAUUGUUGCCACUUGCCCUAAGAAGUUUUGUUCUUAUUGCAAGAAGAAGGGUCACAUUAUCAAAAAAUGUCGUAUUCGCCCCCAGAAUCGUCAGGCCCAAGCAUUUCAGACUUCGAUUAUUGUCCCUUCUGUAGCAACUUCUGUAGCACACGACUCUCCUUCAGAUGCGUGCUCUGUUCCUGCACCUCCUGCACCAAAUUACUGCACCCCAGAAAUGGUGCAACAGAUGUUAAUUUCAGCAUUAUCAGCAAUGGGGUUUCAAGGUAACAAUUCUACUAAACUUUGGUACGUGGACUCGGGGGCCUCUAAUCACAUGACUAACAAUCCCACCGCUUUGUGUCAUGUUCGGCCCUACAUUGGUUAAUCUUCCAUUCAGACUGCCAAUGGUAGCUCUUUGCCCAUAGCUGCUAUCGGCGAUGCCUCUUCUAAGUUCAUUGAUGUGUUUCUUGCUCCUCAGCUUUCCACAAAUCUCAUUUCUGUUGGCCAAUUAGUUGAUAACAAUUGUGCUGUUAAUUUUUCUGGUAAUGGUUGUGUUGUGCAGGACCAGGUAACGGGGAAGCCGAUCGCGAAGGGACCUAAAGUGGGGCGCUUGUUUCCACUAUUUUUACCGGUUCCAGAUUUUUCUCCACUUUCUUCUAUUAGGUCUUUUGCUUGUAAUAAUGUUUCAGAUCUUAGUAUGGUGCGGCAUCGUCGUUUAGGCCAUCCCAAUACUUAGAUCUUAUCUCAUGUAUUGAACUCUGAUUUACCUGGUAAUAAGGAUCGUUCUUCUUUAUCUCUUGAGUGUGAUUCUUGCAAACUUGGUAAAAGUAAAACUCUUCCCUUCCCUUUGCAUGCAAGUAGAGCAUCUCACUGCUUUGAUCUUAUCCAUAGUGAUGUUUAGGGACCUUCCCCGGUUAGUUCACAUGAGAAAUUUAAAUAUUAUGUGACUUUCAUUAAUGAUCAUAGCAGAUUUACUUGGGUCUACUUUUUUCGUUCUAAAUCUGAAGUCUUUCGUACUUUCAUUGAGUUUUUAGCGCAUGUUGACAAUCAAUUUUCUACUUCUAUUAAGACAUUACGCACAGAUUCCGAUGGUGAGUAUUUGUCUACUGAGUUUCAAGCAUUCUUGGCUUCUAAGGGUAUUAUUCAUCAACGUUCAUGUCCCUCUACUCCUCAACAAAAUAGAGUUGCCGAACGCAAAAAUCGUCAUCUUCUAGAUGUGGUACGUACUCUCUUGUUAGAAUCUUCUGUUCCAUCCAUGUUUUGGGUAGAGGCUCUAAAAACUGCUACUCACUUGAUUAAUCGUUUACCUUCUCAAGUCCUACAUAUGGAGUCUCCCUAUUUCCGCUUAUUUGCUAAGCAACCUAGUUAUGAUCACCUUCGUAUUUUUGGUUGUAUAUGCUUUGUUCAUUUACCUCCUCAUGAGCGACAUAAAUUAUCUGCUCAAUCUGUUCGAUGUGCUUUCUUGGGAUAUAAUGUGUCAAAAGGGAUUUGUUUGCUAUGAUCCUACAUUACAUUGUACACCUAUUUCUAGGAAUGUUAUUUUCUUUGAAAAUCAACAUUUCUUUCCUGUAUCCUCUUCUACUGUGGUCCUCCCCUCCUUUGAGCAGCAGUUCUCAGAUCUUCAUCCACUCAGUUCUCGCUUUCAACCAGGUAUUGUGUAUACGAGACGCUCCCGCCCACAGUCUCUUUCGGUGGCUCACUCGAUAUUUGAUCCUACCACGCUCCAGAUUCAGUUAGUUGCAGCACCUCCAGCACCUUCAGUACAUCGCUCUUCUCGAGUGUCUAUACCUCCGAAUAGGUAUGGAUUUCCCUCUUCCAGUUCUGGCAAUUCUAUUUCAGCCCUUACUGCUGCAUUGUCCAAUUUUGAUAUUCCCACAUGCUACUCACAUGUUGCCAAGCAUGAUUGUUGGUGACAAGCUAUGCAGGAAGAAAUUGCCGCUCUAGAGGCCAAUCACACUUGGGACAUUGAGCCCUGUCCUCCCACUAUUGUUCCUCUGGGUUGCAAAUGGGUUUACUCAGUCAAGGUCCGAUCUGAUGGAAGUUUGGAUCGUUACAAAGCUCGGCUUGUUGCACUUGGGAAUAAUCAGGAAUAUGGUGUCAAUUAUGAAGAGAACUUUGCUCCUAUGGCUAAAAUGACUAUUGUUCGUACGAUUCUAGCUCUUGCUGCUUCCAGUGAUUGGCCACUACAUCAGAUGGAUGUAAAAAACGUUUUUCUUCAUGGGGAUCUUAAAGAGUGUAUUUAUAUGAAGCCACCCCCGGGAUUGUUUCCCUCUCCGACUUCACAUGUGUGUAAGCUUCGUCGCUCUCUUUAUGGUCUCAAUCAGGCUCCGAGGGCCUGGUUUGAUAAAUUCCGCACCACUUUAUUACAAUUUUCAUUUAGGCAGAACAAGUAUGACACUUCCUUGUUUCUUCGGAAAUCAGACAUAGGUAUUGUUGUUCUUUUGGUUUAUGUUGAUGAUAUUAUGAUCACUAGUUCCGAUUCUGCUUUACUUGGUUAGCUUAAAACUCAUCUCUCCGAGUCCUUUCAUAUGAAAGAUCUUGGGUCUCUCACAUAUUUUCUUGGUCUUGAGGUGCAUCAUAGUCCCUCUGGUAUUUCCCUCAAUCAACAUAAGUAUGCGAGUGACUUGGUGGCUACAACUGGUCUACAAGGGGCUACUUCUAUUGAUACUCCCAUGGAAUUAAAUGUCAAGCUUCACAAAGAGGAGGGCGACUUACUUGUUGAUCCCAGUUUAUACAGGAAGUUGGUGGGUAGCCUUGUUUAUCUCACCAUUACUAGACCGGACAUUUCUUUUGUUGUACAGCAAGUCAGCCAGUUCCUUCAGACUCCUCGUCAUCUUCAUUUGGCUGUUGUCCGUAGGAUCAUACGCUAUGUUCAAGGCACUUCUACUCGUGGCUUGUUCUUCCCUGCAUGCAAUUCUACUCGCCUUGUUGCUUAUAGUGAUGCUGAUUCAGCUGGUUGUGUGGAUACCCGUCGCUCCAUCACUGGUUGGUGUGUGUUCUUAGGUGAUGCAUUGAUAUCUUGGAAAAGUAAGAAGCAAGACAGAGUCUCUAAGUCAUCUACGGAAUCUGAGUACCGGGCGAUGUCUCUUGCUUGUUCUGAAAUCAUUUGGCUUCGAGGUUUGCUUGCGGAGUUAGAUUUUUCUGAGAUCGAUCCUACACCUCUACAUGCCGAUAAUACAAGUGCUAUUUAGAUCACGGCCAAUCCUGUCUAUCAUGAGCGCACAAAGCAUAUUGAAGUGGACUGUCACUCUAUUCGUGAAGCCUUUGAAGCUCGUGUUAUCACUCUUCCACGUAUUUCCACUGACUUACAAGUUGUUGAUAUCUUCACCAAGGCUCUCCCUCGUCAUCGAUAUUGCUUGCUAAGUAGCAAAUUGAUGCUUGUUGAUCAACCUGCAUCAAUUUGAGGGGGGCUGUCAAAGGACAACUUGCUGUCCACACUUCUUCUUUCCUUAUUUUAGCCCACAAUUAUUUCCUUAUUUCUCCAUUUAUUAUUCUGUACAGUUAGCAUACAUUAUUUGACAGAUUAUAGUUUACAUGUAUAGGGCUAGAAUCAUGCGGGAAUUUAUUUGCUUUUAUUUGCUUUCCAUGUAUAGCAUCCUUGUAAAGUCUAUAUAUAAUAUACAAAACUCAAGGCCAAGGCAUUCGGUCAUUCACACAAUAUUUUGACAGAUCAUUCAUCAUAGAAGGGAGAUUGAAGAGGCAUUGCAAAUAGCAUUAGUGUAGGAUGGUUAAAGAGGAAGAAAUGCUUCUGAAUUAUUGUAUGAUCAUCAAAAUAGACAUCCAGUUAGAGGAAAAAUAUUACAAGAUAGCACAUUUUCAUAAGCGAGCACCAAGAACAGAUUACAGAAUGUCAAAGGGAGUGUAAACCAAGUCUAAAAUAUGUAGACAAAUUCCACUCCUAGAAAAAACAAAGAAGCCAUGUAACCAUCACCCCUCAAAGCAUGAGAACAACACAUGCUAUCAAUGAAAUCUAUCUCCUGUCCACUAGAUUUUGUCAUCCAAGUAUAUCAUGAUCACAAGAUUAUGUCUAUCAUCUUCCUCAUAGAGUUUGGCCUCCUAAAGAUUUCUUCUAUUGCACUCCUUCCAAAUUUAUACACCAAGCCUCCACUCUUCCCUGGCUUAUGUGUGCAUAUUUUCUUCCUUUACAAAUGAAAGGGUUUGAUCAUUGACAUUCUUAAGACUUUUCACGGUGAACUCUUUUUACAAAGCUCUCUAUGCUCUCCACCACCCCACACCCCACCCCCCCUGCUCUUUUGUCUUGACCUCUUUUGCACCUAGUAAUUUAAUCUAGAACUCAAAAGUUCCAUUGAAGGUUAUGGAAUUUGCUUGGCUUGUGGCUAAUAAGAGGGUUAAUACCAACAACAUGUUUCAGUUGAGGAGGCCUUCUAAAGCUCUUGGUCCAUAUCAUUGCAUUAUGUGCAUGAAGAGUAAUGAAUCAGCCAAUCAUCUCUUUUUCAUUAUCCCAUUGCAAUAGUUAUUUGGUAAGGAUUGUUUUGCUUCACCAAUCUUGAAUGGGUCCCUCCUAGAGGCAUAGAAAAAAUGAUGGAAAUCUCCCUUAAGGGCUUUGAAAGCCUUCCAAAAGGGAAGAUUCUUUGGUAGGUGGUUGUUUUAUCCUUAAUAUGGUUGGAAAGGAAUGUAAGGAUAUUCAAGGAUAGAUAGAGAUCUAUGGAUGUCAUUUGGGACUUGAUUUACGUUCACUCUUCCUUUUGGGACUCAAUGACCAAGCCUUUUGCAUAUAUCCCUUUGUUUAUUUUAAUGUUAGAUUGGAAGAGUGGUUGUUUCUCAAAGGUUGAUGAAGAAAGUAUUGAUUGGUUGUUGUCUCCCUCCAAUAGAUUUGGUAAAGUUAAAUUUUGAUGUAUGUUCCUUAGGUAACCUUGGUCAAUGGGUAUUGAAGUUGUGAUUAAGGAUCACUCCGAUACAGUGCUGAGAGUCUUCUCCAAGUAGGCAAAAGUGGGGUUGGCUAUUGAGGCAAAGAUAUGCAUUGUUGGAGGGUUUGUUGCAAGAUAAAGCUUUAGGCCUUUCCACCCUAACUAUAGAGGAUGAUUCAAUUACUGUUAUAUCUUAGGCAAUUAAUAAGGAAAGAGCUCCAUGAAAGUUUGAUAAUUGGAUGUGCAAAACAUAGAUGUUGUCGGUGAGUUAGGUUUCUCCCUCACUUAGAUUCCCCAUUCAGCUAACCAUGUCACAGAUCAAUUAGCCAAACAAAGAGCUAAGCUUUUGGCUUCCUUUGUUGGAGACUUUCUUCCCCUUUGAGUGUGCUAUAUUUUUAUUCUUCAUACAUUGGUUUUUAUUUGUAAGGUUGGGUUGGUCAUUGCGAGGCUUUUUUUUUUUUUUUUGUUGGGACAUCCUUGAAGGAUUGCUCAUCCUUCAUGCAUUUAUCUUUCAGGAUAAAUGAAUUUGUUUGUUUCUGUUCAAAAAAAAAAAAAAAAUUGAGUAGUUUGAGAACAAAUAUGCAAAAUGUGUAGUUUCCAUACACAUUUUGGAGUUUUCUAGAAGCACAUCCAAAAAACAAGUGAAUAAAAGUGUUGAGAAACAAGCUAUCCAAUUGGUUUUUGGGCAAGUAUCAGAAUUGAAAAUCAAUUUAGAAAAAAACAUCCUAUUUGGUAUUAAUACAAGUCAAGAGUUGUUGUCUAGUUUGGCUUUGAUCCUUAAUUGCAAAGUGUUAGAGUGACCUUGGUCUUAUCUGGGUCUUCCCUUAGAAGAGAACCCAAUGACAAUAAGUUUUUAAAAUCUGGUGGUUGAGAGAAUUUCGAGGAGGUUGGAUGGUUGGAAAAAGGCCUUUUUGUCACUAGGGGGAGGAUUGCCAUAAUGCAAUCAAGUCUAUCUCACAUCCCUAGCUAUUUCAUCUCCUUCUUCAAGAUCCCAGUAUCAAUAGCCUCAAAGAUUUGAGAAAUUGCAAAAGGAUUUCCUCUGGUCAAGGGUAGAGGAAGGAUAAAAAAAUCAUCUUAUUAGGUGAGAUGUUGUUUGUAAGCCAAAGGAGUUAGGAGGUAUGGGAAUUGGGAAGACUUCCUCAAGAAAUCGUACUCUUUUAGGGAAGUGGCCUUGGAGGUUCCCUAGGGAAAGGAGUGGUCUUUGGCAUUAGGUUAUUACGAGUAUCUAUGGGACACAUCCUAAUGGAUGAGACACCAACAUGGUGGUUAAAUGGUCACACAGUUGUCAUUGGAAGGCUAUUACACAAGUUUUUCAGAAUUUCUCCCCAUAUAUCCGUCUUGUGGUGGGGAAUGGGGAGAAUAUCCAUUUUUAGGAAGAUCUAUAGAGGGGUGACCAACCUUUGUGCUCACAAUUCUCUAGUCUUUAUAAAGUUAUUUCUGUCAAAAACCUCACCGUCUCAGUUGUCCUUGGUAAUUCCUAUCCACUCUCUUGGAAUUUUAACUGUCAUUGCAAUCUCACUGAUAUAGAAAUUGAACUCCUUUAGAAACUCAUGUCUUUCCUUAGUUCAAUGCAUUUGUCUCCUUCUAUGGUAGAUUCAGAAGUUUGUCUUUGUCCUCCUCAGGCUUGUUUACUAUAAAAUCUUUUUUCUUGGCAUUGUCUAAUUUCUCAAAUCUCAUCUUGUUCCUUUUACCAAGUUUUUGUGGAAAUCAAAAGCCCCUUGAAAGGUUAAGGCCCUAUAAAUCCCUUGGUCCUCAAUGGUGCAUUUUAUGUAAAGGAAAUGGAGAAUCGAUUGACUACUUUUUUCUACAUUACCCAUUAACUAUUGGGCUAUGGCACAAGCUCUUUAGUUUAGCAAGAGUGGAUUGGGUUCCACCAAGGAGUAUUGGAAACAUGAUGAUUAUUGCUUUUAGAGGUUUGAGGAAUUCAAUCAAAGGCAAGACACUUUAGCAAAUUGCAUGCCUUACUUUAAUGUGAAUUGUGUGGCAAGAGAGAAACACUAGGAUUUUUUAGGAUAAGGGGAGAUUGAAAGGGAUGUUGUGAGAUUUACUUCACUUCUACUCCUCUUUGUGGGCCUCUUGUACUGUUGCUUUUAGAGGAGUUCCACUUAGUGUUAUACAAUUCAAUUGGCUUGCAAUUUAUGAUUCAAAAGUUUGAGAUAGUUGAGGGUUAUCUUUGUAUAUAGAUUUGUAUAAAAGGGUGUCUUCUUACUUUGAUUAGAAUUUGUAUUUUGCUGGAAGAACCUCUCAUCCUUCUCUUGUACCUUUACCAUUGUUAUCAUUAAUAUAAUUUUUUUUUUUGUUUCUAAUAAACAAAAAAAAAAGUGUUGAGAAACAUGGAACCAACCAAGCUGGUGGAUGGCCUGUACAUAGAGAUUUGUUUCUUAACUAAAGGCUGAAGUUUCUCCUUAGUUAAGGCUGAUUUAUUUCCUAAAUUAGCCUAAUUGAUUUUCCUGCUCUAUAGUAUAUUUUCUUAUAUAUAAUUUUUUUCCUCAUUAGUAAUUUACUUCAAUUGUUUUAAUAUUACAUAAAUUUUAGUUUCUCCUCUGUAUGUAAACCUGUUGUAUAUGUUGUAAUUUUCAACACAUCAAUUGAAUGAAAUUCAGUUUAUUUCUCCUCUAAACCAGCAAGAAACAAGAGCCCUAAAACUGAAAAACAGACGCCUAAUGUUUUUUUUUUUUUUUUGAUAGGAAACAACAAAGGGAUAUAUUGAUAGAAAAAAGAAGUACAAGAGAAGGAUGAGGAAUCCUUCCACCAAAAAAAACUAAACUACAAGAAUACAAAAACAAGAAAAUACAAAGUAAGAACAUACAACCUCUCUAAAUUAGACCAACCCAUUGGAAUUACACACCGCUAGUCAAUCAAGUUGUAACACAUUAAGGGGAGCCCCCUUAAAAACCUUAGAACAAAAAGCCCAAAGAGAAGCAAGGAAAUGAAUAGAAUCCCAAAUAUUCUCUGAAUUCUUUGUUUUAUCCUAAAAAAUCCUCUCAUUUCUUUCCCACCACACAACCCAAAUUAAAGCAAUGCACGCAACUUGCCACAAAAAUAUCCCUCUCUUAGAUAAACCAAAACCAUUAUAAUUGAUGGAUAGCAUGUCGGAAAUGCUCCUCAGGGGAACCCAAUCCAUCUUGGCUAACUGAAAUAAUCUGUGCCACAACCCCAUCGUCAAAGAGCAAUGUAGGAAAAGAUGAUCUACCGAUUCUCCAUGCUUCAUGCACAAUUUACAAAUAUCAGGACUAAGAGCUUUGUAGGGUCUUCUCAAUUGUAACAAGUCAUUAGUAUUUACCUUCUUGUAUGCCACUAACCAGACAAAUGACUUGACUUUGAAAGGGACUUGAGAAUUCCCAACAAACUUAGUAGGGAAAACUGGAGGAGAACCAAAAAAUUGGGAUAAAGCAAGAAAGAAAGAUUUGACUGUAAAAAACCCUGAAGAAGAUAAAGACCAGGAUCUUGCAUUUGAAACCAAAUGUGAUAAAUGCAAACCAUCAAGUGACCACAUGAGGCCUUCUAAAUCUUCUAUCUCAGAAUCGGAAAGGUUACGGCGGAAAUUAAAAUUCCAAGAGAAGGGAUGAGUAGAACCGAGAAAUGAAGAAAUAGGAAUAUUUUUAUCCGUGACUACUCUAAAUAGUCUUGGAUAUUGGGAUCCCAAAGGUUGGUCCCCUCCCCAAAAGUCUUCCCAUAAUCGAAUUUUUUCCCCAUCUCCUACCACAAACCGAGUAAACUUGGAAAACUCCUGAAAGACUUGUGCAACAGCCUCCAAGGACAACGAUGUGACCAUCUGACUAUAGUGUUGGCAUCCCAACAUUAGAGUGUGAUCCAUAAAUGCUUAAAAUAACCUAAUGCCAUAGAGCUGAACUCUCUCUAGGCUACCUCCCCAACCAUUUCCCUAAGAGAGCGAGAUUCCUUAGAGAAAUCUUCCCAAAUCCCAAUCCCCCUUUUGCCUUCAGAUUACACACUACAUCCCAACUAACAAGAUGAUCUCUUUUACCUUCCCCAACCCCUGACCAUAAAAAAUCCCUUUGCAAUCUCUCAAUUUUUGCAGCCACUGAAGCGGGUAUCUUAAACAAGGAUAGGAAGUAGCAAGGCAUGUGGGUGAGGCAAGAUUUGAUAAGAGCUAUCCUACCUCCAAAAAAUAAAUAAGCCUUUUUGUCACCCAUCUAAUUUUUUUGAGAUCCUCUCAAUCACUGGAUCCCAAAAGCCACAAACCUUAGGAUUCCCUCCCAAAAGAAGACUCAGGUAGAGUAUAGGCCAACCAGAAGCUUUCCAAUCAAGCAACUCGACUAACCUAGAAAGAUGAGUCUGUUCAAGAUUGAUGCUAUAAAUAUUACUCUUGUCAAGGUUAACCUUAAGCCCAGAAAUAUGCCCAAACACUAGCAAUAAACUCUUAAGAGUCUACAAUUCUUCCUCACUAGUGUUAGAAAAGAAAAUGGUAUCAUAUGCAAAUUGCAAAUGGGACACCCUUGUUCUGUUCCUACCCACCCUGAAACCCUCCAACGAAUUUCUUUCAUCUGCUCUCAAUAACAUCCUGCUUAAUACAUCUACGACUAAAGUAAACAAAAAAGGGGAUAAAGAGUCGCCUUGUCUUAAGCCUCUAGAUGCCUUGACCCACCUUUUAGCGUUUCCAUUCACUAAGAUUGCAUAAGAUAUCGUAGACAAACAACCUCUCAUCCAUUUCCUCCAUCUAGGACUAAACCCCUUCUUCUCCAACACAUGAUCCAAAAAAUCCCAACUCACACGGUCGUACGCCUUUUCAAAGUCAAUUUUGAAGACGACUCCUUCCUUCCCUGAUCGUCUUUUCUCAUCCACUAUCUCAUUGGCUAUGAGAACUACAUCCAAUAUUUGUCUCUCUUGAACAAAAGUGCCUUGAGUAGAAUGGAUAGUUUCAUAUAGUACCCCUCUUAGACACCCCGAUAGCACUUUGGCUAUUAUCUUGUAAAGACUAGUGAUCAAGCUAAUAGGUCUAAAGUCUAAGAUUUUCUUUGUCAUGCUUUUUUUUGGGCAAUAGAACUAUGAAGGAGGCAUUAGUGCUUUGAUUGAUAAUCCCGCUUCUGUGAAACUCUGCAAACACUCUCACUAAAUCCUCCUUGAUCACAUCCCAACAAUUUUGAAACACUGCAAUGGUAAAGCCAUCAGGCCCCGACGCCUUAUCCCUAUCCAACUGAAAAAUGGCCUUAGAAAUCCCUUAUUCAAUAAAAAGGGAGUCCAACCUAGACGCACUCUUUUCAAAUAUAAGGGACCAAUCUAAGCCUUCAACUCUCCAAGACUCUCCAGUAGGACUCGCAUAGAGCUUUUCAAAGUAAAGUAAAAUCUCCUCUGUGAUGCUCUCAGAAUUAUUCAACACUAAGCCUCUUUCAUUCUCCAACACCUUGAUAAAUUUCCUAUCUCGCCUGUCAUUAACCACUUUAUGAAAAAACUUUGAGUUACGAUCCCCUUUCUUAACCCAUUUCACCCUAACUUUUUGUCUCCAAUGAAUUUCUUCCCUCAAAAUUAAUUUCUCUAGCUCCCCUUUUCUUAAAGCUCUUUGAACUAAAAGUUCAGAAGUGAGACCCCCUACUUGCUCAAUGCCAUCAAAGUUAGCCAUUUCAUUCAAAAUGCUUUUUUUCCUUUCAUUUAGCUCUCUAAAACAAACCUUAUUCCACUCUUUCAAUUUGGCCUUAAUGAAUUGUAAUUUCCCCAUGAACUUGUGACCUUCCCACCCGUUUCCUUGAAAACCUCUCCACCAACUUCCAAAGCACUCCUUGAAACUAGGAUUUUUUUAUUAUUAUUAUUGGAAACGACACAAAGAUAUAUAGAUAGAAAAAAGAAGUACAAUAAGAAGGAUGAGAAAUCCUCCCACCAAAGACAACUAAAUUACAGGAAAAUACACAGAAAACAAACGAAGUCUCUAUAAAGGACCAAUUCUUAUGGAGUACACACCACUAACCAAUCAAGUUGUAUCACAUUAAAGGGAGUCCCUUAAAUGCCUUGGAACAGAAAGCCCAAAGAGAAGCAAGGAAAACAAUAGAGUUCCAAAGAAACUCUGACUUCCUUGCUUUAUCCUCGAAAACUUGAAACUAGGAUAUUGCAACCACAUAUUCUCAAACCUAAAAUGUGUUGGGCCCCACUUGAACGGGUUGGUAUCCAAAACUAUCGGCCAAUGAUCCGAUGUCCUUCUAGGAAGAACUUCUUGAAGGCUUUGAGGAAAGAAAUGCUCUCACUCAUUUGAGUAAAGAAAUCGAUCCAAUCUCUUACACACGGGAGACUCUUGCAUGUUUGACCAAGUGAAUGGUGCGUUCCGUCAAGGUGGAUCAAGCAAUUCACAUUCUCUUAUAAAACCAUCAAAGUCCUUCAUGCUUGAAGUUAAACUAGAACCUCCCAAUUUUUCUGAACUUCUCCUUAUGACAUUAAAAUCACCGCCCACACACCAUAACGGAAAAGAUAGGCCAAAAAUGUCUAAAAGCUCCACCCAAAAAUCCUUCCUAAGUAAGGGACUGUUUGGGCCAUAAACUGUGGACAACCAUAGAGGUCUGCAUUCAUCCAAAGCAAACUUGAUUAAGACCAAAAAGGAUCCUAUUACCACCUCCUCACUGCGCAGUUUUUUAGAAUCCUAAAUAAUCAAAAUCCCACCUGAAGCCUCGCAUGCCGGAAGAGCAGCCCAUUCCUUAUUUCUGACUGUCCAAACACUACCCACAAACCUUCUAUCACACUCCACCUUUUUUGUUUCCUAAAUCAUCACAACAUACAGAUUCUCUAACCUUAGAAAAUCUUUAACCACCCUUCGUUUUUUCCUUGAUCCCAAACCCCUGGUAUUCCAACUAAUUAUUUUCAUGGAAAAACCUCACAGACACUAAACCUCUGAUCCAGUUCCAACAGGUCUCACAUACCAGUGGAGCAUCUGCUCUUCCUCCUGGAAUAUACCUUAAUAUCCAGAGAGCUUAAAACCUCACGCACUUUAGCCAUUUUCCUGGGGGAAAGGCCUUCUAUUUGGAACUCGCCCAAUAGGGAGACCACAGCAUCACCUUGGCUAAUUGUAACCAGGUUGGAAACCUCAUUAGGCAAAUUGGGUUUAGACUUAAUGGGGUUAAAACUCUCGGGCAACUAGUUUGAAUAAGCAAACUGGGACUCCACCACAUCAAGGUUAGGAUUGCCAAUAGAUUUUUGACAUAAAGUACCAUCAUCGUCUUUUUUGGAAAAAAUUUCAAAGAUUACUCGAUUUUCCAUAGGAAACUGAGACUGAAUGACUGAACUAGGAAGAUUUGGAACAGACGGACUCAGAAAAGGAAGUGACAAACCAUAAGAAGGGGGAAAAGAAGACAAAGGUGACUAAGAAUGUGAAGACGAAUUUACCUCCAUGUUUUCCACUACCAACAUUCCACAAUUCCCCUUAAAGUUGAGCCCUUUACCUCUGAUUUCUGGAUUAGAAGGCAAAACCGUGACUGAUGAACCACGAAGAUCGGACCCCACUCGGCCCGAAAAUCCUUCUUUGUCUUCUUCAAAAUAGGGUUUGCGCAAAGCCACUUCGCCUUUUGACAACGAAGUCCCUUCCCCUGAACACCGCUUUUGAAUCCUUGACUAUUGACAAUAAAUGAGAGGACUCGCACUAAAUCCUCGUUCCAACUGAGAUCCCGCCCCGAAAGCCUCUUCCUUUGGAAACUCUUCGCUAUUUGACGAUGGCUUCCCGUGCAAAAGAGGCUCGCUGCGACUUCAAAGUCCUUGUCGGCGAUCAAAACUUGGAGGAAAAAGGGUAGUCCACAACUUCUUUGAACUAAACUUCACUUCCUUCUUCGCGGAGCCUCUCAUCUGAUCAUCAGGAUACUGAUACAACUUUCCUCUUUCCCACUGCAGAAGCUUCUUCUCUUCGUAACAAACCCAUCUUAUCAAAGGGCUUCUUUCCUCCUUUUCUUUGGCCCAACCACGAUGGGCCUUUUAAAUUACAACCCACUUUUGCAAUAGUUAGUAGACUAGGAUUGGGAAGAGACUGGGCCUUUCUCUCAAAGGCUCGACCAUUCUCAUCUGAGAAAGCCUCGUCCCCGCCGGCCCUAGCUACGCCCGCCUUCUUUGUCCCAACUUGCCCAAUGUUCAGUUUUUUUGAAUUCAAACUGGGCAACGAGGGAGGUAGGAACCAGCUGUUCCCCACCUCUUAACCUUUCUUUCCACGUGUCCCCACUGGAAAAACUUUAGCCAUAAUCCUUUCUCCUCCCUUCUUCUUUCUGCCAGCUUCCCUAACACGAAAACUUCCUCUAGCCGUUGAUCUAUCUCUCUCCGCCCACCUUCCACCACUUGUCCCCGAGUGAGAAUGUUGUUGAGACAAGAAGGUUAACAACUACUAGAAAGAAAUCUUAAAAUGGUGUCUGAAUAACAACAUGUGCAAGGAAUGCAGAACCUAUUAAGGAUGUUUCAAGGGUGAAGAAGUUGGCCACAAAUCAAUAUUGCCUUAAACCCUACACUACCCCUGGUACUAAAGGUAAACAACUGCCAAUUGAAGAAAGAAAUGAAGAAUGUGAAGAAAUAAAUGGAGGACCAACUUUUGCUGGUGAGAUUGAAGGAAAUUUAAAUUACAAGGAAUUCCUUGCAUUAAUUAUGACAAAUAUAGUCUUGAUGCCUAUGCAUGAGAUUGAGGAAUUCCUUGCAUUAGUUUGACUUUGGAGGGAACUCUGGCUUUCCAAAUAAAAAUUAGCCUGAGGCAAAGCAAAACAAUGAUCAUUAUCAGAAAGAGCACCAAAAAUUGACCUAGGAGAGAACAAGCUUGAAGGAAGUGAAGUCCAAAACCCCUCGUCUUGUUCACAAAAGAUGAAGACAAACAAACAAAAAUCAAAAAGAGCAAAAGAGAGAAGAAGUCAUCAAUUUUCUUAUUUGAUAGGUUAUACUGAAAGUUAGAAUUCCAAGAAAGGACACUCGAGACCAGAAGGAUAUGGGAAAUAGGGAUUUCCCAAGCCUUUAGAAUUAGAAAGAGAUUUGGACAGAGAAUGUUGCAGGUCUUAUUCACCUAUCAGAGGUCAUCCCAAAAUUGAAUUGUGGAGCCAUCACCAAAUGUGAAACAAGUAAACUGAGAGAAAUCUGUGAAACCAUGGGAAUGGCUUUCUAGGCAAAUAAGUGAACCAUCUAACCUCGACAUUGGAAUCCCAUCAAUUAGCAUCUAUCCUAUGAAAGUCUUUAACAACACUUGAUCAGGGAGAGUCAUGAUCCUAGGAAAUCUCUGAAGCCACUUACCUAAGAGAGCUCCAUUCCUUAGGGAAACCCUACCUAAUCCCAAUCUUCAUUCACUCGAACACUUCCAAACCUAACACUAAUUUAAGAACAAUAACUUUUUCCCAACACUUGACCAAAAGGUGGUGGUCAAUUUUCUAUUAUCAAACAUGCUGAAUAGGCGGAACCACUUAUUCUUUUACUUGGCAGCAGUUACUGUGGCUAUGAAAACAACGCCUAAUAUACUUGAGGAGAUAGAGCAUAUUAAUGUCCUGUAAUUCAACAUGCAUACCUACACUCUCGCGUGUCUGUCAGCAUUUGCUCAAAUGAAUCACUGUUUGACUCAUUUGAUCUAGCAUAAUUAAAUGCAUGCAGAAACAAACACUACUACUACUAACAUCAAUGCUUAAAAUAAUCAUCUUUCUUAUUCCUAACACAAUAAAAAAUCUGAACCAUCUUAAAAAAGAAAGUUGACAAUGAACUUGGAAAUUUACAUAAAAGUAUACAUGUAUGCUACCUGCGAAUUAUGCUAUACAGUUCAGGCCUUGCUCUCAUCCAGUCAGCAAAACUACUGUGGCCAAAUGAAUCAGGGUGGAGUGCUGCCCUAUCUGUGUGGAUAUAUACAGCAAAGCAUAUAAGAAAGUAAUAUCUUUCCAAGUACUCCACAAAAAACGAAAGCAAUGCCUCCCUCUUCAUCUCAUCUCGUUGGCGCAGAAUACUAUUGCGAUAUGUAGCAAUUGCUUCACGUAAGUUCUGUAGCUCAAUCCACAAGAAAAAAAGACUUUAAAAAUGUGAAAAUCUAGAAGAUAAACCAUGAAAACAGAACUUUACAGUCAUGAGGGAAUGAAAGGUUCCAUUUUGGAUGCAACCAAUUCAACAGAUAGAUCAGAAGAAAGUUUAUUUCAGAUGAACUUUUUUAAAAAUUUGGAACCAGAGAAAAGUUUAUUUCAGAUGAACUUCUUUAAAAAUUGGAACAAGAACUUACAAACUAUACCUGCAUGGAGGCACACUUGUCAAUGACUUUAUCCACUUGUCUUUUGCCUUCAACACCCCCCUGAAGUCAUAUAACUGAAAAAUUCAAAAACCUGCUAAAUGUAAUGUGGAACAAAGAUUAUAUGGAAUUAAAAGUCACCAAUUUCAAGCACCUCUAACACCCGGAUCAAGCUUCUUAUGGCUGCAUAUUCUCCCCUACGAAUUGCCUCCUCUGAGUUUGGCAAAUGGUCAGACACAUUGGUACCAGAGUCAAAAACUUUACCAAUUGAAUCAGACCUUGGCAUACCUAUUUAUGUAAACAAAACAUACACAACAAAAAAAUUACUAUUGAGAGCAAACAAAUAGGUGCACUUAUAUGUGGGGAAGAGAGAGAGACACAGAGAGUAAGAGAGCUGGUAAAAUAUUUGACAAUUGAACUCGUUAAACAUAAAAGUAAAAAUAGGUGCAUGGAAAAUCCAGAAUAUUCCCAGUAGUCAUUGUUUAAUGAAUUGAGAUGGGGCAGGCCAAGAUGGUUUGAAGUUUGAAAACAUGCAAGGAGCAGCUAAAAAAGCACUUGUAAGGAUGUUCUAUAAUGUCAGUAGCAGGCUCUAAAAGAAUAAAAGAAUGACAAAGAACAUGAAAUUGCAUUAUGUAAAAAGGAUAAAUAUUCCCACAAUCUAUCAGAAAAGUUGAUCUAGCUAAAAUGGAAUAGCUAAACAAGAUUUGGACAGCUGAGGCUUAGAUCAUGUUCAUGACAUUGAUGGCAUAUUCUAUUAAUGGUUCAAGGAUAAGUAUCUUAAGGUUGGAUAGAGAAAGCAAUAAAGACUACCAGAAGCACCAAUUCGGUUAAGGUAAACCAAAGUAGCAAUCACCAUCCCAGUUGUGGUUCGUCCACGCCCCAUUUGACAAUUGAAAAUUAUCUCUGUAUUUAUAUUAGCUUGAGAAAUUUUAUGAACCUGAAAACAUAAAGAACAAGUGUCAAGUCAGCAAAUACAUUUAAGGGAAAUUGUGAAUGCAGCUUUUACAUUACCAUGCAAAGACUAGAAAUCCAUCCUUCCUGUAGAAAUGUAAUCUGCACAGAUACAUGCACAUGUGCACAUUCUAUGUUCAUGUCUUUAACAUGACCAUUCAGUGAUGUGGCAUUGUAAUUCUUUUUGCUUUUUCGUCUUGCUGGUAGGAAAUUAAAAUCACUAAUGUGGGAGACCCAUUAAUAUCCCUCAGUCUUUUAGCUCUUUCUUUGUAGUUUUAACUAUCAGCAGUCCUUCAGUUACACCAAUUACUUCUGGAAUUCCACUCUCACACUGCUGAAAACAUCAGUAAAACUAACUUUUUUUUUUUAAUUGGAAAGAACAACUUUAUUUUUUAUUUCUUUAUUCAGUUUUUACAGGAAAUAAAUAUUCCAUUAAAUGAUAAGAAGAAAAUCAUGAAUAGGCAAAGGACGAACUAUUCAUAAUCACACUACGAAGAUUUAUUUGCUAAGGAUCCAAGUAACCAAGCAAAAUGUGGGCCCGCAUCAUCAUCUAAACACCAACAAGAAAAGAAAAAAUCCAAGUUAAAGCUCAGGGAGGAAGAAGCACUAAACAAAAGCCCCUAGCAUGAAGCUUGCUUUCCAUUUGAAAGUGAACUCAUUGAGAGUUAAGAGUUAAGUUUUAAUUAUUUUUAAGACCAAAAAUGGUGCAUGUGAUCAUCAUUAAUUUGCUCAAGUUGAAGAUCCCUUUUAUUCUUAUUUUUAAUUUAUUUAUUUUUUACAGGUAAGCUCUUUUUUUUUCAUGGAGAGUUGUCACUGGCAAACAUUUUGAGUCUUUCAGAUCUGUGGGCUGAGGGUGAAUCAUUAUCAUCUUGUAGGUGUCCCAAAAAACAAGGAGAUUCGUGAAGGUAGGAUGCUUUCAUCCAUCAAAAUAUUCAUGUUAUUUACUUGAGAUGUUUUUAUUUUUUAUUUUUUCAUUCUUUUAUUUUGUUUUGUUCUUCUUCUUCUGGUUUUUUUUUUUUUUUUUGUGGGGUGGGGAGGUGGGGGAGCCUAGGAGGGGUUGUGCACAGUUCCACAGCAGAUCAUUUAGCAAGGAGGGGGACCAAGCAAUUGGUAUCUUUUAUAGGAAACUUUUAAAACAACCCACUGUACUAACUAUUUUUCAAAGUAACGGAUUUGUUGCAUUUCUUGGUAUGGCUUUAACAGUUCAUCCACUGGUUGUAGCAUUACCACUUUUAUUUACAACUCCAUGUAACAACAGCAUCAAAGACACACAAGGUACAAAUAAGAAAGAACAAUAUAGGUACAUGAUGAAAUCAAAUAAGGAAGUAAAAAGGGCAUCUAGGGUUUGUUUAGAAACUGUCUUAAGAAUAGUUCUUUGUUCAUCAGAAUUGAAAACAGUUAUCAUACUUAAAAAAUACAUUUGGAAAACUUUUGACAGAAAACUGUUUUUUCUAUUUGUUCUGAAAAUGGAAUGUCUUUUAGAACAAAUUUGAGGUGUUUUCAAUUAAUUUUGUAAAGUGAUCUAAACAAUAAUUAAAAAUAUGGAAAAUAUAAGAUAAUCACAAUUGAAUAAGAGAAAUUGCAAAGGGAUUUUCUAUGGUCAAGGGUUGGGGAGCAUAAGUGAGACCAUCUCAUUGAUUGGGACUUAGUGUGUAAGUCUAAAGGGGAAGGGGGGUUUAGGGUUUGGCAAGAUUUCUAUGCGGAAGCAUGCUCUAUUAGGAAAAUGGCUAUGGAGGUUUCGAAAGUUAUACUCUUUGGCAUCGGGUUAUUCUAAGCAUUUACGGGACACUUAGUAAUGGGUGGGAUGUCAACACUAUGAUCAGGUGGUCACAUCAUUGUCCUUGGAAGGCCAUUGCACAAGUCUUCCAAGAUUUUUCUAGAUACACUCGACUGGUGGUGGAAGAUGGGACAAGAAUUAGUUUUUAGGAAGAUGUGUAGUAAGGGGAUCAACCUUUGUGUUCUCAAUUCUCAGGUCUAUUCAAAAUUAUCACAGUUAAAAACCCCACUAUUUCAUUAGUUCUUGAGUCCACUAAUCCUUUCUCUUGGAAUCUAAACUUUCGUCACAAUCUUUCAGAUUUUGAGAUAGAAGAUCUUGAAAGACUCAUGUCCUCUCUUUCACAUUUGUACUUAUCUCCAUUUGGUCCUGAUUCUAGAGCUUGGUCCCUAUCUUUUUUAGUUUUAUUUAUGGUAAAGUCGUUUAUUUCAAUCCUAUCCAACCAUAUUGAUCCAAUUCCAUCAUUUCCUAUUGAUUUUGUUUGGAAAUCGCAAGCCACAUUUAAGGUCAAAUCCUUUGUUUAGUUAGUGGCACUCAAGAAGAUAAACACCAAUGACAUGUUGCAAUUGAGAAGAUCCUACAAUGCCCUCAGUCCUGAUGUUUGUUUGUUAUGUAUGGAGAGAUGAAACAGUAGAUCAUAUUUUUUAUAUUGUCCAUUGAGUUUUAGGCUAUGACAUAGGCUAUUCAACUUGGCUCAUAUGGAUUAGGUUCCUCCUAGAAGUUAUUUUAUUUUAUUUUAUUUUAUUUUUUUGAUAGGUUCCUCCUAGGAGUAUAUGUGACAUGAUGAUUAUCUCAUAUAAAGGAUUGGGAAGUACCAGUAGAGGCAAGGUGUUAUGGCAAUUCGCUUGUCUUGCUCUAAUGUCGGUAGUGUGGUGGGAAAGAAAUGUUAGGAUUUUUUACGACAAGGCAAGAACUUCAGAAGGUCUUUGGGAGAUAAUUCAUUUCUUAGCCUCUUUUUAAGCCUCUUGCACCACAACUUUUAUGGGUGCUCCCCUUAAUUUAAUCCAACUUGAUUGGAUGUUAGUGUGUAGUUCCAAGGGUAUGGGCUAGCAAGGAUAUAUUAUUUUUGUAUAUUCCUACAUGGGAUAUGGUUUGUGGAACCUCAUAGUUGUAUAGAUUUACUUGAACUUUGGAGGUUCCUAUUUUCUUUUUGUGUAGUUUUUGGAGGAUCUCUCAUCCUUCUAUUGUACUUAUUUUUACUUACUUUAAUAUACUAUAAUGUUGUUUCUCAUCAAUAUAUAUAUAUGGAAGAUAUUAUAGGAACUUUUGCAUUGUCCAGAAGUGUGCAGUACCUUUAUGGAGAAUAAGCCAAGAAAAUUGUUUUCAUAUUUAGGUUCUCAAAUAGAAUUUUAUUCCUGAAAAACAAUUGAGAACUAUUUUCAAAAACCAUCCUCAAAAACUAUUUUUUGCAAACUGUUUUCAAAAACAUUGCCAAAUGGGCCUUAUUUUUUAUGGGAUAGACAUAGAUAAAUUUAUCAUGAGGAAAAAAAUGGAUUACAUCGUUCCCAAAUGCUUGCUUUAAUAUAAACAUGGACAUGCAUCAUGUAACAACAACAGCUAUAGAAAUAAUAAAAAUUAAUAACAAUGAUAACAAUAACAGCAACAACAACAAUAAAGAACAAUUAAAAAGAAAAACCACAUCAUAAUCCUUUACAAACAUUCCGACAAGGCAAUAGAAACAGAGCAUGCGAUAUGCAUAACCACAUUUAAUACAAAGGAAUUUUGUGUAUAUUAUGAAAUAUCAAAUGUACUAGAAAAUAAUGUGGGUGAAACAGAAUAUUUCCUGGUUCUCACGCAGAUACAUACCAUAAAGUGCUGAAAAAGGUACAAUCCAAAAUUUAAAAGAUGAAAACCCACCAAAAUAUCAAAAUCUAGCUCCUUGGGUGAUUUUUCAUCAGUUACAGGAACACGUUCAUAGUCAACAAGGUAGCCUUCUACUUGCAGUUCCUCAUACACCUAGACCAAAACAAAUUUUGGACAAUUAUUAUAUUUCUAUAUUGCAAGUAACUGAAAUGAAUGUGAACAGGCAUACCUCUAGCGGUGUCUUCACAGAAUCACGUGACACUGGUUCCCAUUGAUCCACCAUCUGACCAUCUGGCAGUUCAUCAGUGACAAGGAUCUUAUAUCCAUAUCUGCUUUGUCAAGUGUGCAAAUAAAGCUUGCUAUCAUGCAGAGUAAGAAUGACAAAUAUCCAAUAUUUUUCUAGCCUCUGAAGAUAAAAAGAGGGCAACCAAAAAUACCUUGCAGCUUCCAUCAAGAUAUCUUCUUUUAACCGAGCCUCCAUUUGUUCAACCCUAGCCCUGUUGAUUCCCUAAUUUAAUAAGAAAAGUCAUAAAAAAUUGAAACCAGCAGAUAAAUAUGUAUGUGUUUUGUGAGUUGCAUGGUUGUGUGGAGGGAUGGCAUGCACUUUGCAGUAUCUCUGUUGUUAACUAUCUUUAAGAAACAUAUAUUGAAACAUUUUUUUUUUUUUGAUCAAUAAGUAUAUGAUUGUAUUGCAAAGAGGCGCUAAAGUAGCGACCCACUGAAUUACAGUAUAAAGGGACUUACCCCCUUACAAAAGGGCCCAUACAACAAAGGACAAGACAAAACAAAAAAAUCCUCUCCCUUAACACAUACACACCCACUCUAUAAAUUCUAUUAAGGUUGAAGGACCAUCUUUUAUCCACAAUUUGAUUUCCGACCACAAUAAAUACACAAAAGAUACUUUCAGCCUUUGAAUGGACAGCCCGCAAUCCUCAAAUGCAAUUGAAUUUCUAGCCUUCCAUAUAACCCAAAACAAGCAUAACGGUCCCAAUUGCCACGCCACCUUCCUUUUCUUUCCCACAAAAGAGCCCCUCCAUCCUAAAAGGGUUUCCUUGACCGAAAGAGGAAAAACCCAUGAAACUCCAAAAAAGGAAAGGAACACCAUCCAUACUUCUCUUGUUUUUUCACAAUGAAUAAGAAGGUGGGCAAUUGACUCCUCACACUUAUGGCAUAAAAAACAUCUAUUUGUCAUAACCUAACCUCUCUUUUGCAAGCGAUCCAAGGUUAGAACUCUCCCCCAAGAAGCCUCCCACGCAAAAAUGCUCAAUUUGGGCUGCACACAAGAGUUCCAUAUAAUCUUUGAAGGGAAAAAAGCAAGGGACCCUGGCUGCAUGGUCCUAUACAAAGAUUUCACCGAGAAAUCCCCAUCCUUUGAUUCCAUCCACUUCACCCUAUCCUCCUCAUCCACCCUAACCUUCUUCCCCUCCAAGCAACAAAAUAGCCUUUCCAUUUAUUCCAACUCCCAAUCGUUGAAAGGUCUAUUGAAACAAGGGUUCCAACUUCCCCCCCUUUCCUCCUCGACUGUCUACACUUCAUUUACCCAAGCCUCUUUGUUCGAAGUUAAAGCAAAUAAAGAAGGAAAAGUCUCGCACAAAGGGAUGGUUUCACACCAUUUGUCUUUCCAAAACUUCACCUUCUCACCAUCACCCACCACAAAGCCAAAAGAAGGGGUUACUAGAUGUCCCAUUUUACUUAUUGCCUUCCACAACCCAACUCCGUAGGCCUCCUUACUCUCACAAGAUAUCCACCCUCCUCUUUCCUCCCCGUAUUUCCCUCUAAUCACUUGGUUCCAAAGUGCCUUUCUUUCAUUUGCAAAGCGCCAAACUCAUUUGCCAAGGAGAGCCCUAUUGAAAGCCCCAAGACUCUUAACCCCCAACCCUCCGCUUCUUUUGUCUAAACACACAAUUGACCAUCUUACUAAGUGUGGUUUUUGCUCAAGAGCCCCGCCACCCCACAAAAAGUCCCUUUGAAUCUUCUCCAAUCUGAUUCUAACCACUCUAGGCAUCUGGAAAAUAGACAUAAAAUAAAUCGGCAAAUUUAACAAAGUACUGCGCACUAAAGUAAUCCUCCCCCCUUUUGAAAUGUACUGACGUUUCCACAUAGCCAAUUUCUUUCUGAAUCUUUCUUCUAUUCCAUCCCUCGCUGCAACACAUUUAAACGGAGCACCCAACGGCAUUCCUAGGUAAGUGGAAGGCAGUUUUCCCACCUUGUAACCGAACUCAUCAGCCAACUCAUCCACAUUCUCGACUCUGCCAACCGGAAUCAGCUCACUUUUCUCCAGAUUUGCUCUUAACCCUGAAAUUGCCUCAAACCACAUUAACAACCAGCCCAAAUACAACAACUGAUCCUCCUUUGCUUCACAAAAUAUUAGCGUAUCAUCAGCAAACAACAAAUGUGAUAUCUGGACCCCUUCACCUCUUCUUCCCCGAAUCAAACAAGGCGACAAGAAACCCCCAGCCAUUGCUCUCUUUAUCAAACCACUAAAGGCCUCCAUCACCACUAUAAAUAAGUAAGGCGACAGGGGGUCUCCUUGCCUUAACCCCCUUGAGCUUUGGAAAAAACCCGUAGGGCUUCCAUUCACCAUAACUGAAUACCUAACAGUGGAUAAACACCACUUUAUCCACCUGCACCAUCUUUCCCCAAACCCCAUCUUCUCCAUCACCGCUAAAAGAAAAUCCCAGUCCACAUGAUUAUAGGCUUUCUCAAUGUCUAAUUUACAGAGAAUCACCCCUCUAUUGCUUUUCACAAUGGAGUCAAUUGCUUCAUUAGCAACCAGCACUGCGUCCAUGAUCUGCCGUCCCUCCACAAAAGCAUUUUGGGACGUUGAGAUGACCUUAGCUAAAAUGCCCUUCAUUCUAUUAGCCAACACCUUAGCUAGCCACUUAUACAACCCUCCCACCAAGCUAAUUGGCCUAAAAUCCUUCAAGUCCUCUGUCCCCCCUUUCUUAGGAAUCAACACUAGGAAAGUUGCAUUCAAACUUCUUACAAAGCUCCCAGUCUCAUGGAACUGCCUGAAAAAGUUCAUUACCUCCUCUUUAACAAAUUCCCACGAAAAUUGCCAAAAAGCCAUUGAAAAACCAUCAGGGCCUGGCGCUUUCUCGCCACAACAACCUGACAGUGCCCUAAAAACCUCCUCCUCCAUGAAAGGCUUCUCCAGCCCCUCCACAUCCUCCUCUUCCAGCCUUUCAAACAUCAAGGCAUCUAUCCUGGGCUUCCACCACCACCCCCCUGCCAGCAGCCCCUGGUACACCCUGCAAACCUCCUCUUUGAUCUCCCUUUCCUCAUUGUACCAUCUCCCAUUCACUUUGACUCUAUUCAUCUGAUUCCUUCUUCUAUGAGCAUUAGCCAUCUGAUGAAAAAACCUUGUGAAGAAACAUAUAUUGAAACAUUGCAAAUGAAAGGAUGAACUGACGCCAAUGUACUGCUGGAAAAUAAGACAUCUUGGUUUUAAAUCUCCACAAACAUCCAUGCAUGAACUCAACUUCUGGAGUGACAAAAUCAUAAUCCAAAGUCAAAGUUUAAAACCUUGUGCCACUCAACUAGAUAUUUAAGUUGUAGAUUUCCAUAAACUUCCUUAAAUGUCAAUUACUUAUAUACACUUGUAAGGUCAUUGAAAUCAAACCCCAACCAGGAGUUAAAACCAUUGCUAGCAUUGCCUUGGGGAGAAUUCAAGGGUGUUUCCUUUAUUAACAUAGCCAAAAGACUCAACAACAAUUCAACGAUCAUUGCCCUAGUUGCAAAGGCAAACACUGUAAUAAUCAAAAGUGUGACCUGCAGUAUACCUUGAAGCAAAACAAAAGCUGUUUUGGAAGCUCUCUUUCAUUCUAUCAUUUUUUGGGAUUGGAAGGAGAUCUAUGAGAUAACUGAUUAUGAAUUGACAAUGGAAAUUCAUAGGGCAGGUAUAGGAUCAUAUGCUGGGAAUCAAUUCAAGCUUAAUUUUGACAGUUUUCUCCCAUCUAAUGCUGAAAUCAAUUCAAGCUUAAUUUUGAUAGAAGCAACAUGCACUUUGGAUUUUCUUCUUUUUGUUUAUUAAAAACAAAAAUGUAUUAGUGGAUAAAUCAAGUACAUGAGAAUGAUGAAGAAUCCUCCCCAAGUCUACAAAAGCUGAUCAAAAAAUGGAAGAAUUGCCUUCUUCAAUAUACUAAUAUAACAUGUAACUCGAUAUAAAACCACUUGAGAACAUUCAAUAUAAAACCUCUCAUUUGAGUGAGGUUUUAUAUAUCUAUACAACCAUGAGGAUUGUUGUAGUUAGAGAGAAACAAGAGACAAAAUAAUCCUUUUCUCAUUCACUCUAAGGUCUUGAUACAAGGCAAUAUAUUGAACAAAACUUUUGACUCCAGAAUCUAAACAAGGAAACAACAAAUCCAACAAGGAAACAAAUAAAUCCUAGCAAAAUUUUAGAACCUACAUAAUAUAGUAUAACUAUACAACACCUAAUUAUGGAAAUUAUGUUACACGGUAAACAACCCAAUCCCAAUUCUUCCAACAAGGAUUAACAAAAUCACAUUCAAAAAGAACUUGAAACAAAUCUCCUUUCCUCACUAUACCAACCUUUCUUUUUUUUAUAAGUAAAAGCAAUUGUAUAAAGAAAGCCUGAAGUACACCUGACAGUAUACUCGGAGUAUACAAGGCAACUAGGCCAAAGGGAAAGAAAAAACAAAAAAACCCUUACUUACAACCCAACCAAUCAAUGAAAUCGAAAAUGGACCAUGAAGCACAAUUUACAUGCACCCUAACCCAAUUCGAGAACAUGUACAAAAAAGACCGUAAAAUAGUUUGAUCCGCUAAUUCAGAAUCUUCAAAGAUUCUUCUAUUUCUUUCCUUCCAUAUAGUCCAAAAUAAGCAUAAAGGGGUUGCAUUCCACGUCUUUUUUCUUUUCUUUCCAACAAAGGUGUCGUUCCAACCAAGAAUGGUUUCCUUGAUAGAAUUGGGCAAAACCCAAUGAACACCAAAAAGAGCAAAAAUAAGGUGUCAAAUCAUAGUUGCCUUGGGACAAUGAAUAAGCACAUGAUUAGCUGAUUCUUCAUCCGCUUUACACAAAUAGCACCUACUUGGUAAGGCCCAACCCCUCCUUUUUAGUUGAUCCAUAGUUAGAAUUCUUCCCCAGAGAGCCUCCCAAGCAAAAAAACUGACUCUCUUUGGAACCCAAGGAUUCCAAACUAAGCUUGAAGGGAACUCUCUACCAAUGCAAGGAGCUAGGAAGAAAAGAAAGACUUAACUGUGAAAAUAUCUUUCUUUGAAACCCUCCAAGACAUGACAUCCUCAAUCCCCCUUCUAAGCGCAUGGCCAUGUAACCUACUGAAAAAAGUUUCCACCUCUUCCAUCUCUCAAUCAUUGUUGAGUCUUGUGAAAACAGGGUUCCAACAACCUAAAUUCCUGGACUGAUCCCAUAACUGAGCUACCUAAGCAUCCUUGGAGGAGGCAAGAUAGUACAACCUUGGAAAAGCCUCAUCCAAAGAAUCUUCUCCACACCAUCUAUCCUUCCAAAAACGCACUCUUCUACCAUCCCCCACCUUAAAAGCCACCCUUUCGCUGAACUCCAACCACCAUUUCCUAAUCGUCUUCCAAAGCCCCACUCCAUGACUCUCCCUUGAAUCGUCGGAGCACCAACCACCAUUUUCCUCCCCAAAUUUCCUUACAAUCACUUGUUUCCAUAAAGAAUCUUGUUUCAAAGCAAAUCUCCAACACCAUUUUCCAAGAAGAGCCUUAUUCAACCUAGAAAGAUUUCUGAUACCUAAGCCCCCAUCCUUUUUCUCCAUGCAAACAAUGGACCAAUUUACCAAAUGCGGCUUACUUUGAGAAACUCCUCCCCCCCAAAGGAAAUCUCUUUGAAUCUUUUCCAACCUUAGGCUCAUCUUGCGAGGAAUGAUAAAUAAGGAAAUAAAGUAAAUUGGAAGGCUAGAGAGAGUGCUCUUUACCAAAGUCAACCUUCCUCCUUUGGACAAAUACUGUCUCUUCCACAAAGCGAGCCGCUUUUGAAAUCUCUCCUCCACUACAUCCCAAACCCAAGAUGAUUUGAAAGUAGCUCCCAAAGGCAGCCCUAAAUAACAAAAAGGAAGAGAACCCACUUUACGGCCCAAUACCCUAACCAAGUCCUCAAAAUUAGGAACCACCCCCACUGGAAUCAGUUUGCUUUUGUGAAGAUUGAUUUUUAGCCCAGAAAUUGCUUCAAACCACAUAAAAGCCCAACUUAAGACCUCCACAUGCUCCUUGCUGAACUAGUGUGUCAUCAGCAAAUAAAAAAUGAGAAGCAACCACACCCUCACCUCCUCUCCUACCAGCCAUGAAACCCUCAAGAUAGCCUCCUUGUAAAGCCCUCUUCAAUAUAGAAGAUAACGUCUCCAUUGCUAAAAUGAAAAGGAAAGGAGAAAGAGGAUCACCCUGUCUUAGGCCUCUAGAACUUUGGAAAAAGCCUACAGGAGAACCAUUAAGCAAAAUUGAGAAACGGAUUGAAGAAAUACACCACCUCAUCCAAUUCACCCAAACCCCAUCUUAUCCAAGAUUGCUAAUAAAAAGCCCCAAUUCACAUAAUCGUAUGCUUUUUCAAUAUCCACCUUGCAAAUAAUUCCACCCUUUGCAGUUUUUAAUCUUGAAUCUAAGGCCUCAUUUUCUAUAAGGACAGCAUCCAAAAUUUGUCUACCUUCCACAAAGGCAUGUUAGGAGUUCGAAAUGACAUUUCCCACCACUCUUUUCAAUCUAUUAGGCAAAACUUUCGCUAGAAUCUUGUAAAGACUCCCCACUAGGCUUAUAGGACGAAAAUCCUUCAAAUCAUCUGUACCCCAUUUCUUAGGAAUGAGAACAAUAAAAGUGGAGUUUAAGCUUCUCUCAAAACGGCCAGAACUCUGAAAUUCAACAAAAAAACCCAUUACUUCGUGCUUGACUAUGUCCCAGCAAAAUUGCCAAAAAGCCAAAGUAAACUCAUCCGGUCCAGGGGCUUUAUCCCCAUUCAAACCAAAGACUGCAGCCUGGACCUUUUCCACCGAAAAGACAUCCUCAAGAAGCCCCGCUUGGACACUAUCCAAGGAAGAGAAAGACAACCCCGAAAUACUUGGUCUCCAGUCCCCUUUUUCUGACAAAAUAUUCUGAAACACAUUAACCACCCCCUCCUUUAUCUCAAUUUCCUCAGUCAACUUCCUACCAUCCACUGUAAUAGAAGAAAUAAAAUUCUUUCUUUUUCGAGCAUUAGCCAUCUUGUGAAAAAACUUUGAAUUUUUAUCACCUUCUUUCAACCACAAUUCUCUUGACUUUUGCCUCCAAGAGAUCUCUUCCAAGACUGCCCACUUGCUGAACUCCUCCACUGCCCUUCUUCUGGCCUCACUAUCCUCUAAAGAGAGACCUCAGUCUCUUUCCUUGGCGUCCCAGAAACCAAUCUGACUAAGAGCAACGUUUUUAUUCAAAGAGACAUUACCAAACACCUCUCUAUUCCACACUUUCAGAUCCUGCUUCAGAGCCUUUAGCUUGCAAGCAAGAAUGUGACUGUAGGAUCCGCUGAAAUUAUAGCAAGACCACCACUUCCUAACCAAGUCUUUGAAGCCCUCCACUUUCAACCACAUAUUUUCGAAGCGAAAAGGGGUUUUUCUGCCUCUAAUUCCUCCUCCAUCCAACAAAAUAGGAGCAUGAUCAGAAAUGGAUUUCGGCAACAAGCUUUGAGAAAGGUUGGAAAAGUGACUCUCCCAGUUCUCUGAGACCAAAAACGAUCGAGUCUAGAAGCUGAUCUGUUAUUUAAACCUCCACACCAAGUGUAAGAACCCCCAACCAAAGGUAGAUCCCUCAACUGCAAUUCAUCAAUUACCUCUGAAAAACGCCUCAUUGCCGAAGACAAAUUCAGGCAAUUUCUUAUUUCGCUGGGUAGCCUAAUCACAUUGAAAUCACCACCAACACACCAAGGAUCACUCCACAAACUUUUAAUAUCCCCAAGUUCAAACCAAAGGAAUUCUCUCUCAGAAUAAUGGACUGGCCCAUAAACACCGGUAAAAAUCCAAAUGAAAUUGUCAUCGCAAUUUUUGAAUCGACAUGAUAUGGAAUACUGCCAUGUUUCCAUCUCAAGAAGUUGCAACACUCUGCAGUCCCAGAAAACUAAGAUGCCCCCUGCUUGCCCUCUGGAGUGCACACUUCCCCAAUUCACGAAUUUACCAAAACCCAAACUUCUCACUACCGAAUCCGACAUGAGUUUGCAUUUUGUUUCCUGCAAACAAACUAGGUUUGCCCUUUGUAUCCUUAAGAAGGCCUUCACUACCUUUCUUUUGUCCUUAUAAUUUAUUCCCCUAACAUUCCAUGAGAGAAUUCUAAUUAACAUCAACACUUCUUGAACAUUCCCCAACGAAUUUCCUGUUCCUUUUUCCUGAAUCCGAGGGGGACCCAUACUUAAUGGAACACUCUAACUUUCGUAGCUCUCUCUCGACUCUGGAUUUAAGCAAAGAAUUCUUUUUUCCUCCUUGAACAUAAAUCUUGCCCCUUUUUCUACACUCUAAACUUUGAAACAUAGUCAAGAUUUCAUUUUCGAAGCCAUCCACCGGCAACCCCAUGAAUCUAUUGAAUGAAAGCAAUCUUCCAAAAGUCUCGUCUGAGAAAGUGCCUUCGGUUGCACCUUCCUUGCUUUCGUUGUCUUCGAGACACCCAAGGUGGGAAGGCCACUGGACCUCCGAGCCAUCUAAUUGGACAAUACGCAAAGGCCCUGGCUCCACAGCAUCCCCAUCCAUCGAAAAGCUUCUCGAGUCCUCCCAACAGACCAAUGGACCCAAGACUUUUGCGCCGGAGGGCAAAGAAGAAGGAGAAGGAGUAGAAGAGAAUAACCCGACCCCCCCGAGAGAAAGGACUAAGGGAAUCUGACCUGUAAAGCGAGCGGUCUCCUCCAACAACGCGUCAUUCGUGACGUCUGAACUCAAAGCGUCAAAAAUCUGAGGAUUUCGUUGCUCAAGAACAAGCUUAACAUCUUCCACAGAAAGUUGGGGCUCGCGAGGUGUGCCCUCAUCCAAGAUCAUUCUCUACGAGACCACAAACACCCUUUCAACAGAGGAAAGGGUUUGGGCCGAUCCUUCUAACCUCCUAAACGAGCCCUCAGAGCCCACUAAGGCCCCUUGGGCUUUAGUCAAGCAACCCAGCUCAAACCUUGACUCUGGACGUGGGCCCAUCCCAAUGACUUGGCCCAAAUUCUUCUUUUGGACAAAGGCCCCUAAAGACCUCUCCUUCACACUUAGACUAGCCCCUCGCUGUUGGGCCUUUUCACCACCUGAGGAAAGGCCCAACUCUGUCUCUUCAAUCAGUGACUCAGAGUCAUCCCUCUACGGUGCAGAAACAGAAGACCUAGGCUGCAUCACAUCACCAGAUCCCCUCCUUUGCUCCAACUGCGACAAGCAAUCUAUACCUUUUUCCUUUGAGAAAGUGGCCAACUCCACUCUCGCCCUCACGCGUGAAUCACACUCCAAGUCAUCCCCAACCUUCAGCUUAUGGCCACCUCUCCAUGGUUCCACUCCCGAUACCCGAGGGGACAACUCCCACCAUAGAGGAAUGGAAAAACAGCGCUCUUGCACCACAACCUGCAGGCUACUAGGAGUGCUUUCACCAUUUAUUCUCACCAAAAUCCUCGCCCAGUUAAAAUUCCGAGACCUAGCAGUGUCUUUAUCAACCGCUACAAAACUCCCACAAGCAUCGCCAAACUGUUUGAAAAAAUCAUUGUCCCAGAGAAAGAGGGGAAGGCCUAACAGUCUUACCCACACUUCUCCCACCUCCACACCUUCUCUAACACAGCCAGCCUCAGGGACCCAUUUAUCUAGCCAAAGCCUUUUCCUCCUGUAAAAACAAGGUCCUUCUGAGAGAAUCCGCUCCGCCUCCGAACAGAGUUCAAACUCAAAAAUAAUGAGAGUCUCUCCAAGAAAAGCAAGGUGAAUCUCCCCCUUCAAUCUCCAAAAAGCCUUAGCCCAGAUUCUUAGGGAAGACAGUGAAAUGGGCUCCUCUUCUCCUCAUUUCCCCACAAGACAGUGUCUUAAAUCCUGUAGUUUACUGAAGGAAUUUAUCCCCCUAAUUUGGAGCCACACUUUCUCUUCUAUUCCCCUGCAACUAAGCUUAGCUGCUUCAGCAUACGACAAACCUCUAACAGUACUAUUAGUCAAACCUUGAGAGAAGACGACCAUUUUAGGAACUUCAGGACUAACAGUAGGGGGCACAAUCCCAAGACUUCUGAGUUUAUUGGCCAGCAAGACCCAACCUCCCACCAUCCCACUUCCUUCAGGAAACACAAGGGAAAACCUUCUUCCUUCCGUAGAGCGGACCGAGCAAAGUAAAAAGCAUCCUGUUGUAUUCCUCCUUAGUGCCAAACAGAAACUUCUUCCUCCUUCUAACCACGUCUUAGAGUCCUUCUUCCAAUCAGCAUUGUUGCAAAAUUCCUCUACCCCUUCCAAUAACUGGGACAAACUUUUAGCGCCAAAUUUAAUCCACUCCACAAAGCCUCUUCCUCUCUCCGUGAUCGUACCCACUAGCCUCCCUCUUGCUUGAUCAAUCGAAAUCUCAAAGGAUUUCAAUUCAAUCGCAAACCAACACAUGCUUUCGGACACCUCAUUCCCUUCAGAGCACCCUUGAACUCACCUCAUACCAGGAACAAGAUGUAUCUAUAUCCUCUAAACAAAGAUAAAUGAGCAAAGCCAGAAUGACAUACAAGGAACGAGCUCAGAGCUCCGAGCCUCCAUCAGCCUCACAAACCCGCCCGCCUUAUGCUCGCAAAACACCUUGACAAAGAAGUCAUUCCCUUCUAUCUGAGCCACCUCCACUUGGGGCUGCAGCAUGGGUUCAAAUUUCACUCUUUAUGACCUACACACUGAAUAUCAGUCAAGCCAAACAACAUUCAGAGGGAUGCCCUUAAACAUCGAGGUAUAAGAGGCUCAAAAAGAUGAAUAGAAAUGAAUAUGAUCCCAUAUUUUCUUUGAAGUCCUCCACUUGUCCUCCAAAAUCCUAAUAUUUUUGUCCCUCCACAGAAUCCAUAUUAGCUAAAGACAGCUUUGGAUUGGUUGUUCAUCUUAGAAUAAAUCAUUUAUGCCAAAACAAGCAAACAAAAAUAUAACUUAAUGAAAGGACACUAAAUAGCAAGACAACACCCACAUUGAAAAAGGGUUAUUUGAUUAAAAAGGUCAUUGAAAACCCAAAUUUGAAAAAUUAACCCUCCAUCCUUUUUUGGCCUCAUUUUAACAAAAAUGUCCUUACUUUUUUCUUGCAAAAAUAACCCUUUCUUUUAAAACUACAUGUAAAUACUUGAAAUGGCAAAAGGCAUUUAUGUCAAAAAAAUGUUACUUUUCAAAUAAAAACAUGGGAAGCGUUAGUUUCACAAAGACGAGGAUCAUUUCAUCCCUUUUAACCAAUUAAUUCUUGAAAAAAAAAAACAAUAAACUCAAUCUAACAAUGAUAUAGAUUGAUGUUGCAACUAAAACAUUUUAUAAGUCAUGUUACUGACGAGCUAAGCAAAAGCCUUAAUCUUUAGUGGAGCUUCUGAGUUCCAAAUUAACUUAGCAGGAGCAAAAAAAGUAAUAACAGGAGAAUGAGGAAAAAUAGAGAGAGCUUCAUAGAAGGAGCUCACAUACAAACAUACUAAGGGAGUCAAUGAUCAAUUUCUUUCAUCUAAAAAAGAAGAUGGAUGAUAUAUAUAGAUGAAGCAAGAGUGAAAGAAGGCAUGUUAAUUCCUCAAUCUCUAGAUCCAAAAGGUUUCGACAAAAUUUGAAAUUUCAAGAUGGACUAAAAGAGGGUCUAUCUACAACUAAGGUAACAAGCAAAUUUCUAGUCCUUACAACUCUGAAAAGAUUUGGAAAUUGAAACUUGAGGAGACAAUCACUCAACCAAAUAUCUUCCUAAAAACGAAUUUUCAUAUCAUUUCCCACUAAUAUUGAAUGAAAAUAGAAUGUUUAUAUAUUAAAUUUUUAAGGCAAUCCUAGUAAACUUCUAGUGAGCAUCCUUAGGCUAAGCCAUUGAAAAAAAAUAUUCAUUCUUAAAUCAAGUAAGAAUUUCAAUUUCUCAAAUUGCCUUUUUCUAGACAUGAAAACACUAUUUUUUCACUCUAAAAGAAUGUUCCAUUGUCAUUGAUUAGGCUCCACCUUAUUUAAAAAGGUUUUUUUUUUUUUUUUAUAAGCAAAGAUGCAUAAUAUAUAAAAGCGCCAAAAGGAUGCACCAAUGUACGCGAGAUGUAUACAAAUAGCACCUAAAAGCACAACUAACAAGAGAGAACACAAAAAAACAACAUUGUCUCUUAACAAAAGCCCAACCACUCUACAAAAUCGAAUAAAGACAUAGAAUCUAUCUCCCUUUACAUCUUUACCCAAGUAAACAAAUUACUAAGAAAGGAAUUCUUCAAAUAUUGAAGAUAGAAAACACAUCUUCAAUCAAGUAAAAACGACCUUGAUUAAUCGAGGUGUUAGAAGUGUAAUGAAUGUUGCUACUAGGAGUGUAACAAAUUGUUGCUCUUGAGGAGUACGUGAUUCACAUGAUAUUAAAAUGCCGAAUAGAUACUAUUUGUGCAAGGUAGAAGAGGGAACAAGUGAUCAAAUCCCCCUUCAUUGUUCAAAAAGCACACAUUUUGUGGCAAUUAAUUUUUCCUUUUAUUUGAUGUAUAAUGAAUGAUGCACUCUUUAGUGAGCGGGUUGCUCUUGAGUUGCCGUGGCUCUUUGUUGGCAAGAAAAGAAAAAAGAUUUGGAAGGUUGCACUGCUAUGCCUAUUUUGGACCAUUCAGAAGGAAAUAAACGCCUUUGAGAAUUGUGAAAGUUUGAACCAAAUGAUUAAAGGUUCUAUGUUGUAUCUAUUAUGGGAUUGGGUUAGGAAUUACAUUGGGGAUGGUUCUUUGUCGAUGUUAGACUUCACAGAUUGGUUUGGCUCUCCCUAGGGCAUAGUUGUUGGUUUUUGUGUAUUCGCACUUUUGGUUGCUUCGUAUACAUCAUAUACACUUUCUUCUAUUAAUACAAUCUUUAUUUACCUAUCAAAAAAUAAAAUAAAAUGUGGCUUUAAAGAUCAUGGCAUGCUUCUUGGAUUAAGGUCAAAUCAAUAAGAUAGAGUUAAAGACCAGAUUAGAUGGGAGGGUCUUAAUUGGGUAAUCUUGUAAAAAUUCCUUGUUUAUAACUUCUAAUGGGAAUCCAAGGGUGCUUCAUUUUAGGACCACUAAAAGAGAAUUCUCA